rnacentral:lncRNA from 1 species
CUAGGAACUCCAACUCCAACAACAGCUCAAUCUCUCCUUCCGCCUCAGGCACUGCCUGGCUGCCCUGACCAUUGUGGUAAUCUCACAAUUCCAUACCCAUUUGGCAUAGGCUCUGGUUGCUACCUCCAAAGCCGGUUUAACAUCACUUGUGAAAAUUCCACUCAACAGCCAACAACACGUUUGAUGACGAGCAAUAUCGAAAUUACCAACAUAUCUCUUUAUGACGGUGAGCUCCAAAUACUACAGUUCGCAGCCAAUGAUUGUUAUGAUGCUCAAGGCAACUUGACCGCACGGAACAAUUCCAGGCUCUGGGUUCCUCCUCCUUACACCAUCUCCGAAACCAAAAACAUGUUCGUCGCAGUUGGAUGCGACACAUAUGCGUUUUUUACAGGUCACCGGGAUGAACAAAAGUACACAACUGGGUGCAUGUCCAUAUGUGACAAUCUUGACAACGCUAUCGAUCAGCGGGAUACUUGCUCUGGCGUUGGAUGUUGCCAAACUAAAAUCCCUAGUGGGCUGAAAAAUCAGACUGUGACCUUGAGAAGCUUUAACAAUCAUACGGAUGUGUGGGACUUCAACCCAUGCAGCUACGCGUUCCUUGUGCAAGAAGGCGAGUUCAACUUUAACAGCACAAGUUUUCGAGAACUAAACGAUACAACCCGGCUUCCGGCAAUUCUUGAUUGGGAAAUUGGGAAUGGGAAUGAGUUAUGUAAUAUUCAGCUAAAAACGAGAGCACUUUUGCAUGCAAAGCAAAUAGCUCCUGCCAUAAUCGGUCUUCAGGCUACAUAUGCCGGUGCCUGCCAGGUUACGAAGGGAACCCAUACCUCCCGGAUGGUUGCCAAGGUAAAUAAAUCUAGACACCAUUUGACCAUUUGAUCAUUAUUAUUAUAAACAAUUUUGCGUAUAUCAAAACAUAUUAUAUGUAUGUAUGUAUGUAUGUAUGUAUGUAUGCAUGCACGUGUGUAUGUGUGUAUGCGUGUACGUGUGUGUAUGCGUGUAUGUGUGUGUGUGUAUGUAUGUGCGUAUAUGUGUGUGCGCGCGCGCGUAUAUGUGUGUAGGUAGGUCUACAUAUUUGAUUAUAGUUUAAACAAAUAAAUUGUAUUGUUAGGAUUUGGAUCCCAUCCGGAUUCAAAUUGUGGGGAUCCUAGAGAUCCUCACAUCUUAAUUAAUCAUUCAUCGUGCAUCGUGUGGUCAUAAAUCAUUUGAUUUUUUUUUAUUUAAACUUAAACACAAAUAGUACUUAACGAAAACUGACCACACAAUGUACGAUAAAAGGGUAGAAUGUAAGGAUCUCUAAGAUUCUUACAAAGUGAAUCUGAAGCGGAUCAUCUUCCGUAUGGUUAGGCUCAUUGGGGGUUGCGUUGAGGGAUUCAGAACACUUUUGAUCCCUUUAUCUUAUUAUAUGUUGCAAAGUACUGUACUACUACUAGGAGUAAAAAGCAUUAGUCAGCAAAUAAUUGCCACUUUUGUUUGUGCCGUGUUUGGGGGAUAUGUGGUCCGCUUUGUGCGACAGCUUGAUGUGGUCUUGCCUUCAAACGAUGAUUCUGUGGUUUCGUCUUUUAGCAAUGAUUUUAUGUGGUCUCAUUCUCCAACGAUGAUGUUGUGUGGCCUCGCUCAUCAGCAAAAAUCGGUCUGUGGACUGGUAUAGGUUUGUUACAUAUAUCGUUCUUGUGACAAAUUUGUGUUGGUGCACCUAUGGUUGUGGUAGACGUGUAGGGUUUUUAAUUAAUCACUUAUUUGUGCAAAUUCACUCCAAAUUAAUGUGUUGAUCACUAAAGCAUUGUACCAAUUGGCACAUUUGUAUUUGUUUGUGAUGAUCAAGGAAAUACUACUAUCGUUUCUUGUAAAAAAAAAAAAUUACCACUUUUGUUGGGGUGACUAUAAUAUUAGUAAAGAAAAAUUGUUCGUGGUAAAUAGACAAAGAAGGCACUAUGCAGUAAUAAUCUAGAUGAACAAUUUCUGUUACAGUGGUUUCAAAACGUUAAAAUAAGGAUAAAUUAAGUUUACAUUUCUCAUUUUUCAUUCUUAUCAAUUAAAUUAUUAUUUUUUCAUUUUUGACAAGGUCUUUUGACUUUUGUCCAUGUCAUUAUUUGAAUAUCAAAUUAUUCACAUAUCAUCAUAUGUCAAUUUUGAAAAUAAAAAAAACUUAUUAAUCAUUUCCAAAUAUAUCUUUUCAGUAUUUUUCAUAUAUUUUUUUUAUUUGUACUCAUUUUUAAAAUUUGUACUAAUAUUAUUUUUAACUUUAAUUUGUACCUAUAAUUUUAAAUUUUAAUAUGUACCAUAUUAAUUAAUUUAAUAUGGACCCAUAUUUUUGUGGUGAAUGUACCCAUGCUAAUAACAUGUAUUUAUAUUAUACUUUAAAUUAUAUCAGUAGUUAUUUCUUAAAAUAUAGAAAUAAUUACAUGGGUGCAUUAAUUUUUUUUUUUUUUUUUUUUUUUUUGGGUUGAACUAUGUGAAGAACAGUAUUACUUUAUUAUUGUAAAAAUAUUAUUUGAAUUUGUUUAAAUUUCAUAAUUUGUGAGAUAUUGAAUAUACAAAUACAGGAGUUAAAUCGUUAGGAACCUCGAUCAAAAUAUUUAAUUCAACAAAGUUUCAAUCUAACAAUUAGAUUAACUGGAGACUGAACCCAAAAUAACCUUUAAAAUCAUAUGGAAGCUUAGCUGGCCAUGCCAAGUAGCCGCCAAUUAGGCACAGAUGCUGUUGCUCUGUGAAGAUAGUGCCCACAAGCUAACAGUAAUUGGGAAAGGGAUCAUCUCCAGAUCCCUUCCACCUAAGCCAACUGAGCAUGAAAUUUGAGUCAUUGAAAUUUGAUCAAACGGUUAAAAACAGAGAGCUCUAUUAAAAGUUAUAAUAACUUUACCCGUUUGAUCAAAUUUCAAGAAUCCGAAUUUUUUGCUCAGUUAACUUAGGUAAAAAGGAUUUCAGAGAGGAUCCCUUUCCCAGUAAUUGCACCCAAUUACUAAAUUUGCAGUGGAUUGUCAAAUCUGUGGGUACAUGUACUGUUUCCCUUGGGCAUUUUAUAGUACUGAGUUGUUUACAAAAAGUCUCAAAAGUGGGAAUUUAGUUUUACCUUUUGUUCAUGGAUUUAAUUCAUUCUUUUUCUUAUCAGAUAUUGAUGAGUGCAAGGCUUCAGACUCCUGCAGUAUUGGAACCUGCAUAAAUACAGCGGGAAAUUAUACUUGUGAAUGUCCGAAAGGGUACAAAAAUGACGAUAUGGAUAAAAAAAGUUGCAUCAAGGACAACGGUCGAGCAAAGCUCAGUCUCCUGCUUAUAAUUUCACUAGGUAAUUAUUUUACUUUUUCCUUAGGCGCGUGUUUUUACAUAUACAAGGGAUAUUGGUGGAGGAAAAAGUUGAACUCGGAUCUUGUGUGCAAACUUAGUUACAAAUCUCUUGUUGGGUUGUUAGUUUAUUAUCUAUCACAUCAUAUAGUUCUAGUCUAAAAUUCUAAACGUACUAAUUUUUCUUUGAACAAUUGCACUCAAAUUUUGUUUACUCGACCAUUUUUAGAUCCAAACUUUCAAACAUAUAUUAGAAGUGCUAUCUGGAAGAUAGAUUUUCAAAUCAAUAUUGUUAAUAAUAUACCAAUCGAAAUUGGUAUGUAUACUUUGUUAUUGACAUGAUAUUAAAACUGAUAUCGCCACCUUAUUAACAAAUAUAAUAAGACUCUGUCUUGCCCAAAGAAUGACUAAUACUUACAUAUAUAUUCUUAGAAAGAUCCAUGCAUGUACAAAAUGAGUAAAUAUUCUCAUUGUGUAGUAUAUGUCAUUUUUUGUCACAAAAGAUCACUUUGUCCAAAACCUAAUUUGUUCCAAAACUAGCCAGACGACAAAAACAAGAUUAAUACAUUGAUGAUUUGCUCUGUAUAAUUUCUUGUAAUUUUGCAAUCAUUUUUGCAGGUGCCAGUGGAGGCUUCAUGCUUUUACUAAGUGGAUCUUCUUGGAUAUAUUGGGGAAUGCAGAGAAGAAAGUUCCUCAAACUCAAAGAAAAAUACUUUAAAGAAAAUGGUGGAUUAUUGUUACAACAAAAAAUCGCUAGUCAAGGAGGCUCUGUGGAGACAACAAAAAUUUUCACGGCAGAAGAACUUGAGAAGGCAACAAACAAUUACCAUGAAAGUAGAAUCCUUGGUGAAGGAGGCUAUGGAAUAGUUUACAAAGGAAUAUUAGCAGCAGAUAACAAUAAAGUGGUUGCCAUAAAAAAGUCUAAAAUUGGUGUCCCAACCCAGAAGGAGCAGUUUGUCAAUGAGUUGAUUGUUCUUUCUCAAAUCAACCAUAGAAAUGUGGUGAGGUUAUUGGGUUGUUGUUUGGAGUCAGAAGUUCCUCUACUAGUUUACGAGUUUGUCACUCACGGCACUCUCUUUGAGCACAUUCAUGGUAAAAAGAGGAAAGGAUCACCAUUUUCAUUGGAAUUACGACUCAAGAUAGCAGCUGAAACUGCUGGAGCACUAGCAUACUUACACUCCUCCGCUCUCAUGCAAAUUAUACACCGAGAUGUGAAGGCGACCAAUAUACUGCUAGAUGAAAAUUACACUGCAAAAGUGUCAGACUUUGGAGCUUCACGAUUGAUUCCUCUUGAUCAAGCCCAACUUGCAACUUUAGUGCAAGGAACAUUCGGAUACUUAGACCCUGAAUACUUCCUCACAAAUCAACUAACAGAUAAAAGUGACGUCUAUAGCUUUGGAGUUGUCCUUAUUGAGCUACUAACAAGCAAAGUAGCACUUUCUUUUGACAGGCCUGAGGAAGAGAGAAACCUAGCAAGCUUCUUUGUUUGCUUAAUGGAGGAGGAUCGCUUGAAUCAAAUUCUCGAUGAUGCCAUAAUCAACGAGAGAAACAUUGAGACACUAAAAACAAUGGCCAAUCUCGCAAAAAGAUGUGUAAGGUUAAAAGGGGAGGACAGGCCAACAAUGAAAGAAGUUGCCAUGGAGCUGGAAGGAAUGAGAAUUACAGAAAAGCAUGCAUGGGGAAAAGCUGAAAUUUUUUCAGAAGAGACUGAGUACUUACUUGGGACACCUAACUCAGAUGCUUAUCCUGUGGCUUUUAGAGCUGAUUGUGGUCCUAGUAUUGGUACAGCUAGUGAGUAUGACAGCAUGCAGAUCCAGAUGUUAAUUCCAUAUGAUGAUGGAAGAUAAUUCACUGCUUCAUAUAAUCAACUCAACAUUGUUUAUCAUUCUAGCCAUAGUGAAAUAGUGUUAUUUUUCAUCAAAAGAUAAGUGUAGCCACAUUGGCUAGAACGGAUGUACUUUCUCUAUACACUCGAGUUUGGAAUUUCCUUUGCUGUAAUUUAGAUUUUAAUUAAAAGUAAAGUAUCGCUUGUAUAAAAAAAUAUAUUGCUUGUCAUCAUUUGGAAGUUUUUAUUUAGGGUAUGUCUCAGAGCGGUAGGUGGUGGAGAUCCCAACCUUCCACGUAAGAAGUGGCCCAACACCAAAAACUAAUUUCUUCUUCAAAAGGAUUUGCAUGGAAUUUAGGGUGUGCAUCGGAGCAGUUGGUCGGGGAUACCAAUUGUUUAACUGGUUAAAUGACGUUGUGUAUUGGCAUUUAGUGUUUGCAUGGAUGUUAGAUUUGAAAAAUAACUACAUCAAACUCAGAGAAUGAAGAAAAAUAAUUAUAUCAAACUCAGAGAAAAGUAUUUCAAAGAAAAGGGUGGAGACAACAACAAUCUUUACAGCAGUACUUAAGAAGGGCACAGACAACUAUCAUGAGAGCAGAGUCGUCGGCGAAGGAGGCUUCGGAACAGUCUACAAAGGAAUACAACCGGAUAAUGAAGUGGUUGCCAUAAAAAAGUCGAAAAUCGGAGCUUCAACCCAAUGUGAGCAGUUUAUCAAUGAAGUUAUCGUUCUUUCUCAAGUCAACCAUAGAAAUGUGGUGAAACUAUUGGGUUGCUGUUUAGAGACACCGGUGUCAUUACUAGUUUACGAGUUCAUCACCGGGGCAACUCUUUUUUAUCAUCUUCAUAGCAUAAAGAGCAAAGAAUCAUCGGUUUCAUGGGAGUUACGAUUGAAUAUCGCAGCAGAAACUGCCAGAGCACUGGCAUACUUAUUACUUGCGCUCCUCCACCUCCAUGCCACCUCCAUGCCAAUCAUACACCGAGAUGUGUAAACAACAAAUAUACUAUUCGACGACAAUUACAUAGCGAGUGUCGGACUUUGGAGCUUCGCGAUUGAUUCCUCUAGAUCAAGCUCAAAUAACAACUCUUGUGCAAGGCUAGGGUACUUGGAUCCUGAGUACUUUCAUUCGAACCAGCUAACAGAAAAGAGUGACGUCUACAGUUUCGGAGUUGUCCUUGUGGAGCUACUAACAAGCAAAACGGCACUCUCUUUUCCUAGGCCUCGGGCAGAGAGAAACCUGGCAAGCUUCUUCAUUUGUUCCGUGGAAGAGGGUCACUUGACUGAAAUUCUAGACGACAACAGUCACAAAGAGAAAUAUUGAGUCACUGAAAGAAGUGGCUAAUCUUGCAAGUAGAUUUUUGAGGGUGAAAAGGAAGGAAAGGCCUAGCAUGAAAAUGGUAGCAAUUAAGCUAGAGGGGAUGCGGACCUCGGGCCGCCUUCAUGGCUUAUGCUGGAGGUGAGGGCUGGGCAUUUUUUAAAAAGAAACCGACUGAACUGCACGAACAGCACUGGCGGCUGUUUGGUUUGGUUUUUUUUUUUCUUGUUUUCAAUUUUUGGUCGAUAAAACGAACCGCACUUAUCUUAAUCGGUUUGACAAGCGGUUUCAAAAUUCUAGGGUUGAACCGCAUAUUAAUUUUUAUUUUUAAUCAUAAUUAAUACGUGUAGUAAUAUAAAUAGUUAAUUAUUUACGAGUUAUUGUAUUGAGAAAUUUUAUUUAAAUCCAUCUAAUCUCUUUCUACACCCAACUUAAUUUAAAUGUUUUUUUAUUUUUAACUUAAAUUAAUUACGUGUACAAAAUGAAAAUAAUAAUAAAAAUCAAUUUAUCAAUAGAGUUAUUAUAAUUAAACCCGCAGUAUACCCCUUUAUUUAAUCUACGUUCAUUUAAAACCCUAAUAUCUCUUGAUUAAAAAACAAAUCUAGUUUUCUCUUUUUUGAAGUUUUUAACCAACUAAGGUAUAACUAGAUUUUGGAAAUUUUAUUGUUUGCUUUUCUUUGGAUUAAUUAUACUUUUUAAUUAUUAUAUAAUUUUCUUGACAUUUAUGUGGUACAAAAUAACUUUUGAUUAGUAUAAUAAUGCAAAAAGAUUAGCGGGUGGCAUGUCUUGCACCUUUUUUAUUCGAAUAACUCAAUUUGUUUAUUUGCUACCCUAUGUCAGCUUUUAUAAAUAAAUAAACCUGAAGCAUCAAUUUUAAAAUUAUUAUCCAUAGAUGGUUUGGUAGCAGAAAGAAAAAAAACCCUAGAGCUAACCAUCAACACAAAUUUCUAGAGUCUUUGGUGAAAAUUCAAAGUAAGGGAGAUGGUGAAAUGAUCUUCUGGGUAUGGAAUCCCAAAUUUGGGUUUCCAUCAAAGAAGAUGGGUUAUGGUGGCAAAAAGAUUAAAAAAUUUCCUGGCAUAUGUUUCCUAUACAAACAAAGUUUGUUUUAUUAGAAGGUCCAACUCAUUAAAAAAUUUGCAAAAAAAAAUUAAGAAUAAUUUACUUAAGCAGGAAAUGGUGAUCCAAUUUACAUUUAAUUUAUACAAUUAUUAAGUCUAGAUUUUAAUUAUUUAAGCUUUAUGAAAAUAAAGUAAAAAAGAAAAAUAAAAAGAAUUAUCUCUAAAAAAAGCCUAUUUUUUCCUUUAACGCAACGUAUUAGUAUGUUCACUUUUGAGAUAUUAUAAAUAUAGUAGAAUAAACUCGAGAUGAAUCUAAGGAACUUUUCUUUUCAUAUUACUUACUUCAAUAAAAAAGGAGAGAGAGGAAAUCCACACAUUGUUUUUAUUAAGAGAAAUAAAUCUAAAAACCUUUAAUACUCAAUUAAUUUUUAAAUUACUCUUUCUACCACUCAAAAUAAUCCUCUUUAAAUCCAAACCAAUAAUCUCAAACCCAAUUCAAAAUAGUUAAGUCAUUCCUUUAUAAAAUCCCUUGUUAAAAAUAACAUCUGUAAUUGAUUUUUUUUAAAAAAAAAAAAAAAAGAGUGCUCUUGCCCACACCCCCUUUUCCAUUUCCACUUUUUAUUUUUUUUUCUUUUUUGCUUUAAAAACCCCCCACAUUUUGCCUUUUUCUUUCUACUCACUGAUGUGCAAUAAGCAACAAAUCAAACAAUCUAUCCCUUAUAUUUAUCAACAAGCAAGGAAGUUUAUAAUCUAAGAACAUUGGUAAGAAGUUUUUCCUUAGAAUUUUUCAAUUGCAGAAAGCUUAACAAAUCAUUCGGGAUUGAUAAAAAAAAAAUUGAAACCCAAAUACUCAUCUUCUAAACUUAAAAAAAAAAUUGAAAUUCAAACAAACAAAAUAUUCAUAAAUUGAGUCAUACUUUAGUUGGAGGAUUCAAAACUUCAAAAUCACAAUCCAUCAAUAAAAAAACUUGUGACGCAGCAAGAAGAUCAACAGAGGGAUCAUCACGUUCACCCUUAAUGAUUCAUCUAGAAUCCACCAGAAAAAAGUGAGAGAAUUCUCAAAGACUAUAUUGAUUAAUCUAGAAUACAAAAGAUGAACUUAGAGCAACACUUACAUGUCUAUUUUUCUACUACUUGUAACACUAAUAAUUUUAUCAAAAUAUAUGAUAAUGUUAAUUUCUUAAUUUGUGCGUGUAACUCAUGACCUAGUCUUUCAACCUCGCUCUCUCUUCUAUCUUCGCUUCAAAUCCAAAUUCCUCUAAGACGCUCAAACAUUCAAGAACUCGCCCGAUUUAUACCUUCAGAUAGAGCUUCAUCUUAUUGCAAACAAAUUGCACAUCUUCUCCAUAGAUAUGUAACAAAACAAAUUCAAAACUUUUAAUAACCAUAUCGCAGUGGGCUGCAGACAACGACAAAAAUGUAAGAUAAGAGGUUCCAACAGCAAGAAUCACUCACACAUCACUUCUGAAAUUUUGCCUCGUUCUAUGCACCAUUGGCCAUGCAUGAAACUCAAGGUUUAUCGAAAAGCUACAAAGCAUAAUGCAUAUGCUUCUUACAGUUAUGCAGUAGUACCCCUAUGUUGGUUGAGGAAGUCCCAGGAAAAAGUUUCAGGCACUUUUUUCAAUGUUGUUAGCAAACCUAUAGGCAAGGAAUUUUUUCCGACUUCUGUUGACUGUUAUCACACAAAAUUCUUCUAAACAUGUUGCCUUGAAAACUAACGCAAUCCUUUUAGUCCCCUUCUUUCUGGCCAUCGAACCAUUAUUUCUCAGGAUGUUGGUGUGUAUUUGGUAAAAAGUUUCAAGGUAAUCUUCUAAAACGGGUAUUUCCCAUGAAAUUGAAAACGUUUGGCUAUGUUUUUUGGGUAAAAUACACAGUUUAAAGUUUUUAUUGAGUCACAGGCUUCACCCAAACUAGUCCAGCACAAACACAACAAAUCGAUCAAUUAUAGAAACGGUAAAUGGCAUAUAAGACCAGUAUAUUUAAGAGAACUGUGACACCUGAUAAUUAACAUUUUCUCACAAUUUUUGCCAACAUCAUUCUUCAAACUUGCCAAAAAUAACGUUCCUCAAUUCCUGCUGGUUUUGUCCCUGCCUUAAGUUUCUACCGCUCUCGCCAUGACGUCCAAAGCAUCGGCCUUAAACAUGAGUUUUUUUGAACAUCACAAGUUUAUGCUCUCCUCUUCAAACUCCAACAAAAAGGAAUUUCUACCAAAAACCAACAUGCUGAGAGACUCCAAUUUAACAAGGAGCUCUCAAGAUAAAGGAAAUUACUGGGACAUGAAGUAUCAUUUUACUCACACUCUGCACUUUUACUUUACAAUUGUCUUUUCUCUGAAUUAAGAUAAAAAUGGUAUCAAGCCUAUAUAAUCAAUUCCAAAGCCACGUUUGUGUUUCCCAUUGGAUUCCCUUUCUUCCAUUUUUGUAAUAUAUGCUGCUUCUCAACUUUUCACUGAAGAAUGCCACUAUAUUUUUUCUUGAGACAACAAACUCUCACGCGUAUUCGUUUGCAUGACAUUCCUAUUUCGACUCUCAAAUAUCUUCUCGAAAUUGGGGGCUAAACCAGUUGAGUGCUAAGUUUCUCUUUAAUCAACCCCAAAGCCCUUUGUGUCUUCACCCCUACUUUUUUCUUUGAGUUAUAUAAUAUCAGGAUAUAUAGGUUUCAACAAAUGCCUGUAAAAGUAGCCUGGCAUGGAAUAGCCCAACUCAUGAAUUCUGUGAGAAAGUUAUUGCUUGCAUUAUGAUCAAUUAGAGGCGAAUGGCAUUACCAACUUCUUCAAUAUUCUCUUAUCCAAAUGGCUUUUUUGUUUUGUUUCUAUAAAUCAGGGAUAUCAUUCAUUCACAACACAAAUACCUUGUUUUAACCUGGUUUCUACUGGCAUGAUACCACUGUGCAAAUCCUUUCGAAAAACACCUUAGAAUCCUCAAGAACAUCCAGCAUAUCCUUCAACCGCAUAAUUGGAAAUCUAUACUUGAUGAUGAUCUUAUUAAUGGUUCUACUAUCAACACACAUAAGUCAAGUGUUAUCCUUUUUUGGCACUAACAAGACGGGAAUUGCACAAGGACUCAUACUUUCACGAAUAAAUCCUUUUUUUAGUAGCUCUCCAAUCUUCCCCUUAAAGAUUGCAUUUUCUUUUGGACUCAUCCGAUAAUGGGGUAAAUUAGGAAGGCUUGCUCCAGGGACUAAAUCAAUCUGAUGUUGAAUACCUCGCAUAUGAGGAAGUUGUUCUGGUAAAUCUUCAAAAACCAAAUCUUCAAACUUUCUCAAAAUUUCCUGCACUUCUUUUGGAAUGUGACUUAUAGCAACAUCUGUCACCAUGAGCCCCUUAAGUACAACUGGAUACAUGAAUCCAACUUCUUUGAUAAUGUCUUCAAACUCGUGGCUAUUCCUAGAGAUAGCUUGAAAAUUUGAACUCCCAACUUGUGGUUUUUCUAAUAUUCCAGAUUGAUUAACAGGAGCAAGAGCAAUUUUGCGAGAACCCCACUCAAAGAUAAACACAUUAUCACGCCCUUUGUGGGUAGCAUCAACAUCACAUUGCCAUGGCCUUCCCAGUAAUACAUGGCUAGCAUCCAUGUCAUUUACAUCACACCAAAUCUCAUGUUUGUAAUGUUUACCGAUAGAAAAAGGAAUCUUGCAUACUUUUGUCACUUUCACCGACGGUUUUUUCUUCACCUAACCCAACAUAUAAGGAUAUGUACUCUUCUUUGUCGGAAGUUCUAAAUAAUCAACCAGCGUUUAUGACACAAAAUUCUCACAGCUACCAUUGUCCACAAUCAAUGUACACACCUUGUUGUCAACAUAACAUAAGGAGCGGAAUAUAUGAUUUCUCUACCCUUUUUGUUUAGGCGAAAUGAGAGCUCGUUGUAGCACCAUGCAUGUUAAGCACUUCGUCCUCUUCAAUAGCAAUACGAGUCAUCAUCAAAUUCACAACCUCAUGAUUAUCUUCAUAUGCAAACUCAGCCCCAUCAUAAUCAUCAUUAUAAUUUCCAUCGUGAUUAUCAGCUUCUUCGGUUCCUUUUACAAGGUUCGCUUGCUUCCGCUUCGGACAUUUAUUGGACUUGUGGCCAUGCUGGAAACACUUAUAGCAGACAUCACCAAUUGCCCUGGCAUACAGACCAAGGUUUGGCAUCUGAUUUCGAUUCUGAUAUAUGUCAGUGUCCCGGCUGUUCUCUCCUCUGUAAUUCUACCCUUUAUAUUGCUUUUCAAGGAUUGUAUAUCAUUUCUUCCAUAAAUACACUUGAGUGGUUGCUUUAACCCUACUUGAGUGCACUUGAGUGAUUGCUUUAACCUUAACCCUACACACUUGAGUAGUUGCUUUAACCUUACUUCCAAUACUCCCCAUCAAGUUGGAUCCAGAAGAUUUAUGGAUCCAAGCUUGGACAAAAGUCGUUGAAACUGGUGAGAAGCCAAGGGUUUGGUGAAAAUGUCGGCCAGUUGAUCACAACUUCUGGUAUAAUGGGUCUGAAUCACCUUCGACUGGACUUGUUCCCGAACAUAAUAACAGUCAACUUCAAUAUGUUUCGUCCUCUCGUGAAACACUGGGUUUGAUGCUAUAUGCAUUGCUGCCUGAUUGUCACAAAAUAAGGACAUGGGGAGAGUUGUAAACACUCCUAAGUCGCUCAGAAGGCCCUUUAGCCAUAUCAGCUCACACGCAGUGGAGGCCAUUGCAUGAUACUCGGCUUCAGCACUUGAGCGUGCGAUGACAUUUUGUUUUUUGCUCUUCCAUGUGACCAAAUUUCCACCAAAAAAUGUACAGUAACCUGUUAUGGACUUACGGUCGAUUGCGUUUCCCGCCCAAUCAACAUCGCAAUAUCCCAUGAGUUGUGUGUUUUCAUUCUUCUUCAUGAUGAUGCCACGACCCAUAGACCCUUUUAAGUAGCGUAAUAUCCUCUUAACAAGGUUCAAAUGCUCAAUUGUAGGAGAGUGCAUGAAUUGGCUUACGACACUUACAGAAUAUGUGAUGUCAGGUCUGGUGAUUGUUAGGUAGAUCAACUUACCAACAAGCCUCUGAUAAUGGCAUAUAUCAGUGAGUGGCGUGCCCUCCAAGCUAGGUUUGAGCUUGCUAUCCAGAUGAGUAAUUGUAGGUUUGGCAUCUCUCAUGUUAACUUCAUUGAGCAAAUCCAGGAUAUACUUUCUUUGAUUUAGAAAUAGUCCCUUGUGAGAAGUUGCCAUCUUUAUGCCAAGGAAAUACUUCAAUACCCCAAGGUCUUUAAUUGGAAACCUUUGUCUGAGUGACUGUUUGAGUUUGAAGAUCUCUUCAGCACUAUUUCCUGCAAUUAUUAAGUCAUCGACAUAAAUCAACACAACCAUUUUGCCCACAGUUCCAAUGCGAACAAAUAAUGAGGAAUCGGCAUUGCUUCUUUUGAAACCAACACUUGUGAGAACUGAGCUUAGCUUACUAUACCAAGCUCAGGGGGAUUGUUUCAGUCCAUAAAUUGAUUUGUGCAAUUUGCACACUAAAUCAUGCUUAUUGCUUUGAGGGUGCCCUGGUGGCAAUUUCAUAUAGACUUCUUCUUCGAGAUCACCAUGUAAGAAUGCAUUCUUCACGUCCAUUUGGUAAAUGGACCAUCCCUUAUUGACAACCAUAGACAAUAGAACCCUUACUGAGUUCAUUUUCGCAACAAGGGCAAACGUUUCUUUGUAAUCUACAUCCAAAGUUUGAGUGAAUCCCCUAGCCACCAACCUUGCUUUAUGCCUCUCAAUUGAGCCAUCUGAAUUGGAUUUGAUCUUAUAAAUCCAUUUACAACCCACAGCCCUUUUUCCUUUUGGAAGUGUGGUUAUACUCCAUGUUUUGUGUUGAUCUAGAGUUUUAAGUUCUUCUUGCUUCUUUCCACACUGCUUUGUUGUUAGCCUCAUGGAAAUUCUGAGGCUCACUACAACUUGUAAUGUUACUUAGGAAUGCAGCAUGAGAGUGAGUUACCUUUUGGUAUGACACAUAAUUGGAGAUUGGAUGUUUGGGUUUGUAGGUGACGAAGUCUUGAAACCUUGGUGGAGGUUGUCUUUCAAGCAUUGGAUUGCGUCGUGGGGCUGUUGUGUGAGUUGUCUCACACUCGUUCACAUCUUGAGCUACACUGUGAGGAUCAUCUUGAUUGUCACCAUCUUUAUACGUUGUACCAUCAGAGUGAGGGCCUUCAUUGCCCCUUUCAGUGAGUAAUGCCUCAUUGUUGACAUGGUUGAGAACUCUAUUUGUUGAAGCAUCAAGGUCGAUUCUUGGUAGAGGAAACACCUCCAACAUACAAGGUCAUCGACUCAAUUUCAUCAUAUAUUAAGUUGAUUUUUCCCUUUCCUAAAACCUUUGCAUUUUCACCAUUUGCAAUUGAAACUUGGGAAGGAUUUAAUAAUUUUUCAAACUUAUGAAACUUAGACAAAUGGUUGGUCAUAUGGUCUGUGGCACCCGAAUCUACAACCCAAAAAUCAUGCAACAUAUUUAUAUUAAGAGCAGUUUUGAAAGCUUUCAUGAUACCUUGCAUGUCUUCUUGAGGUAUGUGUUUAGUGUCGGCCAAGAAACCAGCAAACUUGCCUAGCAAAGCUGUUGGGUUUCCGUCUUUAACAUUGUCUAUUCGGUCACUUUCAGCCCCUCAUUUCUUUCUUUAAAGAUACAAUGCAAACUCAUUCAUGAGUGCAGCUGGAUUAGCUGUGAAGUUCUUGCCUGUGUCAGACACAUUGGAAGAGGAGGCAGACGCAUGAUUUGCUCGAUGUACAGUACGGUUCACUCUCUGUGAACCCUUGUUGUCCUUCAUGAAAUCAAGUUUUAAUUCUGGAUGUAAAAUCCAACAUGUCUCCUUAACAUGGCCCGUAUAGUUGCAGUGUUGGCACUUCAAGUUUGGAUGCUUCACUUUGUACUUAUUCUCAUUGAUUAGGUAGGCUCUUGCUUCAUAUACAUUGGCCUUUGUACCAAUUUUCAUGACCUUCCUCCUUACUUCUUCACGUUGAAUUGUUGCACAAAUAAUGGUGAAGGAAGGAAGUUCAGUGUUCAUGAGUAUGUGGCUUCGUAGGUCUUCAUAUUCUGAGUCGAGACUAGACAGAAGUUGAAAUAUCUUGUCUUCUGCUCUCUUCUGUAGCAAAGCCGCAUCAGUGGUAUGAGGGCGAUAUAUUUCCAACUCAUUCCACAUGUUUUUCAUGCUACCUAAAAGUUGUACAAAGGGCUUACCUUCUUGUUGCAGGUUAGAGAUGUCCUUCUUUAAUUGGAAAACCCAUGCAGCAUUGUUCUGACUACCAUACAUUUCCUUGACAGUCUCCCAUAGCUGGAGUGAAGAUUCAGAGUAACUGAAUAUUUCAGCUAGUUUACGUUCCAUGGAAUUCAGGAGCCAUGACAUAACCAACUGAUCCUUGCUAAGCCAGGAUUCAUAAGCUGGUGAGGAAGCAUCAGGAACUUCGAUGCUUCCAUUUAUGAAUCCUAACUUGGACCUUCCACCUAAGGCAAGCGAUACAGCCUUCGACCAAGGCAAAUAAUUAAACUCAUUCAACAAGACUGAGCUUAAUCUUUGAUUUGGAUUGACAUCCACCUCGGGCAUAUUCAUGGAGGAAAUAACCAAUGACCUUUCAGCAUCAGACCCAAGAGGAUUGUCUUCAGUCAUUUUGAAGAUUGAACACGUUCAGAUGGUAGUAAAGCAGAAGCAGGUUAUUUUUCCUGCUCUGAUACCAUAUUGCUUUUCAAGGAUUGUAUAUCAUUUCUUUCAUAAAUACAUUACAAAUGUUCAGCCAAAUAUAAGAAGAUGAACUCUCCUUGAGUUAUGCCAUAACCGGUGGACUCCUAAGAAAAGAGAACAAAUCAUUAACCACUUAGGAGACACACUUGAGUGUACUACUUGAGUGCACUUGAGUGGUUGCUUUAACCCUACUUGAGUGCACUUGAGUGGUUGCUUUAACCCUAACCCUACACACUUGAGUAGUUGUUUUAACCCUACUUCCAAUACUUUAUAAUUAUUUCCUUGGGCCGGCUAAACCUUUUUCUUCUCCUUGUUAGGAACAUAAGAAUCUGCUGCCCUUCUCUGGUAAUUAUUAUUAUUGCCAUAGCUCGAUUUCUUCUCAUUUUGUUCACGUUCUUUCAGUUCUUUCUCUAAUUGUUGUGCCUUCAUAGCCAUAUUUUGAGCCUCAUGGACAUCCCAAAAAACUUGUAACCCGAUUCUAUACUGUAUUGACGUCGUCAAUCCAUUGAAAUAUCUUGACACCGUCUGCCCCUGAGUCUCAUUCAAAGAAUUUCUUUCUGCCAACCUUAAGAACUCGUCGGUAUAAUCCUCUACUGCCGUGCUACCUUGGGUACAAUUAUGGUAGAGGCGAUAGAGAUGCUGAUAUUAAUCCACUUGAAGGAAACAGUCCAUCAUCAACUAUUUCAUCCUACGCCAUGUCCUGACCGAUUGUUUGGCCUGCCUCUGUCGCAACUUCUGCAAAUUAUCCCACCAUAUAGCUGCACUUCCCUUCAAGCAAAAAGCCGUUAUCUUAACCAUCUUCUCCUCCGGUACCGACAUAAUCUCGAAGAAUCUUUCUACCUCCACAAGCCAAUCUAAAAAUCCUUCAAUGGAUAGAUGGCCAUUAAAAUAAGAGAUGUCGGCCUUCUUCCGGUAAUCUUCAAUAGGUUGUCGGUUGUUCUGAUUAGUAGCAUGUGGGAUCCCGGGAUGUUCUAUCUCUUUCUCAGAAUCCGAUUCACUAGCCUCUCAUUGAGGAUGACCAUUGCGGUUGCCUCUACCACCACCAUGUCGGUUAUCCCGAUCAUUUUGUAUAUUGUUGUUGUUGUUGUUGUUGUUGUUUCCCAUGUUGAGAAGCAAUUGCCGAAUCUCUUCAACGCUUGCAGCAAGAGCAUCAAACUCUCUCGAGUAAACUGGUUCCCCGCCAGGAUGGGUCCUAUCAUUCGUCGGGUCAUUUGCCAUCGAGCCAAGGCAAACCUGCUCUAAUGCCAACUAACGCAGCAAGAAGAUAAACAGAGGGAUCCUCACGUUCACCCUUAAUGAUUCAUCUGGAAUCCACCAAAAAAAAAGUAAGAGAAUUCUCAAAGACUAUAUUGAUUGAUCUGGAAUACAAAAGAUGAAACUUAGAGCAACACUUACAUUGCCUAUUUAUUCUACUUGUAACGCCAGAUUAAUUAUACAUAUUGAAUGUUAUUUAAAUCAUAACGUGUAACUCAUGACCUAUUGGUCUUCACCCUGCGCCUAUCAAGCUGUGCUUCAAAUUCCUCCGCUAAACGUUCUACGUCAACUUGUUUUUCUCUACAAGACCUCUUAGGGUUUUAGUCAGAAUGAAUGUAGGAUAAACAAAAAGUGAUGGUAGGGUUUAAUCGAUUUAUUGAUAAAUUUGAGUUUUAUUAUUAAUUUCAUUUUGUACUUAAUAGUAAUUAUGCAAUACGGUAAAAUAGACAAUUAACAAUUUACAUUUAAGUUAGGUGUAAAAAUAGGUUACAUGGGUUCAAAUAAAAUUUCCCUUUCGAGAAGACAGCAGUUGCUGCUUUAUUGCUCUCUUUGGGUUGCUUCAUUUGUGCUUUCUUUUGGGCAAUCACUCAUAUUAGUGCUACGUUCUGUAGCUUUUGAGAGAGGAAUUUGUUAUAUAUUUUUGUCUUCACACAAAACGAGAACUGAUCCAAAUCAACCUGCCACUAUCAAUUAACCGACCUAAUCGAUUUUAGACCCAAAUUUGUCUGUUUCAAUUUGCAAUUUUGGCCCUACCAACUGGGUCGGUUUGGUUUCAGUUUUGGCCCAAAACCAACCCAAACCAACCCACACCCACCCAGACCCAAUGUUGUUCUAGUACUAGCAUAAACUAUUGGUGCGACUAGCUUGUACGAAAACGUGGAAAUCGAAAUGUUAAUGCGAGAGGAUGAUGUCCGAGAUUCCAUCGACUUCUCAAUAGCCGAUAAUCCAUCGUUUCUCAAUAGUGUACAUCUUGGAAUAUAAUUAGCAGAAAGCUGCUCAAGGAGAUGAGAAAACUAACAUAACCGUUGUCGGACUUGAAGGUUGGAAAAAUUGCUCCCACUUGAGUAGCAGGAGAUCAUCUUAUCUGGGUAGGAGAACAGAGCAAACCAGAUGCAUCUGAUCCAACCACUGAAAGAUAAAAAACAGUACAGAGUUUUCCUUCCUGGUCCUGAACAAACCGAGAACUGCAGUAUGGGCAUGACACAUCCUUCUGUCCACGGUAAAUAGGCACAUAUGUUGCCCCACAAACCACAAAUGGGUUUCUGAAAUCAUAGUUUAGCUGGGUUGCAUCAGUCAUGUUCUUUUCGGCAGCUUGCAGGAUUUGUCUUGCAGUCUUUGCAUGGUUUUCAAUGGUGGGGUUGGUUUCCAAAAGUCGCCUGGCGAAGUUAGCUGCCGUGUUGAGAUUACCAGCCUUAUAGCAAACACUCAUGGCAUUUAGUAAUGCAAGUCUCAAGUGAGGCAUCUGAAGGUUGCAGUGGGUGAAGUAAGCAGUUGGCUCCUGUUGGCGAACCGGAUCGCCUUUAAGUUCCUUCCUCUUAAUCUCCAUCUUCAAACCCAGAACAUACUCCUUUACAAUGAUAAUUAAUUCUUUUACUUCAUCAACCUCUCUCCUUGAAUCAACUACGAUCACAGGAAUAGUAUGCAGAAUACCAAGGAGAAGACGUAAAGCAUCAGCAAAUUUCCCUUGGGUUGUGGCCUUGUAACCCGCCUUAAGCUUCUCUUCUAGCUCUGAGAAUGUAAAUACAAGAGCAGGAGGACCCCUAACAUUAGGUGUAGCUGAUGUUAGAGUUUUGAGACUCUUGUCCCACAUUGGAGAAAACAAGAUUCUCAAUGUCCUUUAUAUAUGUUUUGUCCUCUACAAUAUUAGUUAGAUGUUGGACCACUUGGAAUGAGAAUUGAGGCUUGGGCCACCAUUUGUGUGGAUUGGGCUUGAUGAUUAUACUAUAAUAUUAAUAUUAAUUAAUCAAGACAAGGGCCUUGGGAAAGAGUUUAAUUAAUAUUAAUUAAUCUGAUCAAUUAGUUUUAAUUUUCGAAUUAAGUUUUUAAUUAAAAUUAAUUCAAAACGUUUUGAUUAAAGACACAACUCUUUGGAAAGAGUUGUAUAGCUUCAGAUACAUCCAAAAGGUAUUUGAAGAGGUAUGAAAGAGCCUAUAUAAUUGGAGUCCUCAGUUCCAUUCCAAUCAUCUUCUUUUCUUCCUCCUUGCUUCUGUACGAAAUUUCCAGAGAGUAAACACACAAAGCAAAUUCGCUAGAAUUCUAUAAUCCAGUGCGGGUUGUAGAAUUAGGUAGUUGAAUCCUGAUCGAGCAGACGUUGUAGAACCACAAGCACAGGAGUGGGACGGAAAUACUGUUCGAAGGACAUAACUUUUACGCUAGCCUUUACCUUCUGUAAUCAAGUUAGUUGCAUUAAUAUUCGUAUAUUAAGUUUGUAUUACUGUGUAAUUUACGUUUUGCAUAGCAAGUAUAUUUUGGUUAAUAAAAUAUUAGAAUUCCUGUUAUUUUUGUUUAUUUCUGAAUUGUUCUCCAACAAUCUUCGAACAGUAUGGAACAAUCAGGAACUAAACCUUAUUCUGAGAAGCCUGAGAAAUUUAAGGGCGGAGAUUUCAAAAGAUGGCAACAGAAGAUGCUGUUUUAUUUGACAACACUGAACUUGGCUAAUGUUCUUCGUGAAACUGAGCCUACUGGAGAUGGAGAAAAUAUAUUUUCUGCAGAAACUUUAACGGCCAUUGAUGCCUGGAAACAUAAUGAUUUCCUCUGCAGAAACUAUAUUCUCAAUGCAUUAGAUGAUAUGUUGUAUGAUGUCUAUGUGGCAUUCAAACAGCCAAGGAACUUUGGGAAUCACUUGAGAAAAAAUAUAAAACCGAGGAUGCUGGUUCAAAGAAAUUUGUCGUGGGCAAAUUUUUGGACUACAAAAUGGUGGAUUCCAAGUCUGUUGUCUCUCAAACUGAAGAUCUCCAAAAAAUCAUCCAUGACAUUCAUGUUGAAUGGAUGGUAAUCAAUGAGUCUUUCCAAGUGGCGUCCAUUAUAGAAAAACUGCCACCUUCUUGGAAAGAGUUCAAGAGUUAUCUCAAGCACAAACGAAAGGAGAUGACCCUUGAGGAUCUCAUUGUAAGGCUGAGAAUUGAGGAAGAUAACAGAAAGAAUGAGAAGGGCCUGGUUUCGAGUAUGGAAGCCAAGGCGAAUGUUGUUGAAGGAAGUUCAUCAAAGCAAAGGCCAAAAUUCCAGAAAACUAAGAAGAAGGAAAGCCACUUUAUCCCUAGUGCGAAAGGCAAAGACUUCAAGAAAAUCAAGGGAAGUUGCUGGGUUUGUGGAAAGCAAGGCCAUAGGGCUCAAGAAUGUCACCAUCGAAGGGAUCAAGGUUCUGGAAAUCAAGGCAACAACAACCGCGCAAACCUGAUUGAAAACAAUGUGGAUGCACUGGCUGCAAUGAUUUAUGAAAUCAACCUUGUAUCUGACCACGCUGAUUGGUGGAUAGAUACUGGUUCAACUCGCCAUGUAUGUGGUGAUAGAAAUAUGUUCUCUUCGUACCAGAAAAUUGAGGGAAACGAGCAGCUGUUUAUGGGAAAUGCAUCCGCAUCUGUUGUGGCUGGAAUAGGGAAGUGUGUUCUGAAAUUCACUUCUGGAAAGGAAUUAACCCUUCUUGAUGUGCUGCAUGUCCCCGAUAUAAGGAAGAAUCUUGUUUCUGGUCCUAUCCUUAGUAAUAAGGGAUUCAAACUAGUAUUUGAGUCCAAUAAGUUUGUAUUAACUAAAGGGGGAAUGUUUGUGGGAAAGGGCUACCUUGCUGAUGGAUUAUUCAAACUCAAUGUACUUGCUAAUGCUAUGAAUGAAAUAAAUAAUGCUUCUGCUUAUAUUGUUGAUUCUUCUAAUUUAUGGCAUUCUAGAUUAGGACAUGUAAAUUUCCGUUCCCUUUUUAGAAUGCAUAAUUUAGGUUUGCUACCCAAAAUUGAUUAUCUAGAUAAUGUUAAAUGUGAAACUUGUACAGAAUCGAAAUUUGCAAGUCAAAGCUUUAAAUCAGUGCAUGAAAAAUCCAAUGAUUUGUUAGAUUUAAUUCAUAGUGACUUGUGUGAUUUUAGAUCAUAUCCAACUCGUGGUGGAAAGAACUAUUAUGUAACAUUUAUAGAUGAUUUCAGUAAGUAUUGUUAUGUUUAUUUACUUCAUAGUAAAGAUGAGACCUUGGAUAUGUGUAAGACAUAUAAGGCAGAAGUUGAAAAUCAACUUAACAAGAAGAUUAAAGUCUUAAGGUCUGAUAGGGGAGGAGAAUAUGAGUCUCAUGCUUUCGUUGAAUUUUGUGCCACACAUGGCAUAAUUCAUCAAACAACAGCCCCCUAUACGCCGCAACAAAAUGGUGUUGCCGAACGGAAAAAUAGGACUUUUAAAGACAUGAUUAAUUCUAUGUUGAAUAGUUCUUGGCUUCCACACAAUUUGUGGGGUGAAGCUUUACUUAUUGCAAAUAAAAUUUUGAAUCGAAUUCCACCUAAAACGAGAAAGGAGUCAUCAUAUGAAUUAUGGAAAGGAAGAACUCCAACGUUUAAAUUGCUUAAAAUGUGGGGUUGCCUUGCAAAAGUACAAGUUCCAUUGCCAAAGAGAACAAAAUUAGGGCCUAAAACUAUAGAUUGUGUUUUUAUUGGUUUUGCAUCUAAUAGUUCAGCUUAUAGAUUCUUAGUUUUUCAUUCCGAAGUAAGUGAUAUACAUGUCAAUACUAUUAUAGAAUCUAUAAAUGCAAUAUUUUUUGAGGAUAUUUUUCCAUACAAAUAGGCAAGUCUAAUUUAUUGAAAAAGAGAUUACAUGAUCUUCCUCAAUCAGCAUCUGCAGCCUCUUCGUAAUCUUCCUCAACAUUCUUGCCCACAUUAUCAAGACCACCCUCAAAUAUUCCUCGCAUGACCCUCAACAAGGGCCAAUCUCCUCCGCAGAUGAUUGGCGUUGGUGGUAACAAAAGAGAAGGAGAUUUCACCUUGGGUAAAACAGGAACAUUAUCUCCCAGUUCAGCCGCCAAACGUUCGGCAAUAUCAUGGAGCCCAUGAAUUACAGUUGUGCUAUAAGCAAGAGGUAAAUGACCUGCAUUCUCCAAGAUCUUAACACGCUCUCUGAUGUCACCCAAAUACAAAGCAUUGGAACUGGCCCAUCACAUCAUUCUUGACUUCAGCAAUUUUCAACAUUUUGGACAAUUUAUCCAAGUUUCCAGUCACAAGAUAUAAAAAUGAUAGCCUCUCAAAAUUCUAUGUCCUCUGAUAUGCAUAUUCUACAAUGCCUGCAUUACCCUGACGAAAAGCCUCCAUUACCAAUCGAUACCAAUGAUCUUUCAGAUUUUUAGCUAUAACUUGGUUGGCCUUCGAAUAGGGAUAAUCUGAGUGCCUUUCUGGGUAGAGAACUCAUAGAAGCGGAGAAAACGAUCUUUAACAUAGUACAUUGAAUCACCGCUAACAGAAAAGGCAGGACGCUCCCUCUCCAAUUUAAAGAAUCCGGAAUCUAUCAUGGCCAGCAAUCGAGAGCAGCCGGUCAACAAAAUCAUUUCUACUUGAAUAAUUUCCCAUCCUGCUUCCACUAGGUGCUUCUGUUAGAAUUUACAUUCAAUGGUCCAUGAUUGUGACACUUGUCACAAUCUUGGUGUAUUAGUUAGUUAGUACUAGUGUUGUAACUGCGUAUAUAAGGCAAGGUUGUUGCUUUACUUAAUCAAUAAGAAAGAUAUCUUACAGAAAUUUCUUCUAUCUCUCUCUACUCUCUCUCUCUAGUUCUUGCAUUUUAUAUAAAGAUUAUAGAAAGAUAUCUUUAAUUUGAUUGGUUUUGCUGGAGUAUGAAUGAUAGAAUUCCCAAUAUGUGAGACUUGUAAACCUUCACCAUUGGCAGUUUGUAUGGUCUCACUGGUAGGAUAAGGGGAUGCCAGGGAUAAGUUGCUCAUGUCAGCCGUCAUAUGAUUGGUUGCUCCUGAAUCAGUCAGCCAAACCUGUGGAGGUGCGGAUGGAGUGGCAGUUUGAGGUGUAGAAUUGAACAUAGUGUGCAUAGCAUGCAUUGGAGAUUGCUGUAGCUGAGGUGUAUGUUGCUGUGGAAACCCUUGAUAUGAAUACUUAGAAGAAUGAGACAACAUGUGAUGGUUAGGAGGGGCAGAUGGAAACCCAUAUGAUUAUGAUGAUCUAAGAGAACCAAUGUAAUUAGGUCCCUUAUCAUUGUAGAAACAAAACCAAGUCAAAUGAUUUGUUUUCCCACAUAUUUGACAACCAUGCCUAUCAGGAGGCUUGGCAUCACAAAAUGGAGCAGUGUGACCACCACUGUUACAUAACUGACAGGUAAGAAACAGAGGUGUAGAUGAAGGCCCCACGGAAGAUAUAGGAGAGUGACCAAGAAUACCGGAUGCAAAGGAGAUGAAACAUGCGCUGGACUUGAGUACACAGGUCUGGGAUUGAAGAAUUUGUGUCCCUGAUACUUGCCUUUGCCCUUAUUUUUAUGCCCAUUGAACACUUUGUAACCUCCAGAGGCAAAUUGGGAUGGACCAAACUAAAUACAUUCAUGAUUUGUUAGUAAAGAUUGACAUGCUUGAAGCCAAUGCCUGUUACACACCAUGCCUUCCAUAUAGUCGACUCCUUAAAGAUGAUGGUGAUCCUUAUGCUCAUGCUGCUGCUUAUAGAAGUAUUGUGGGAACUUUGCAGUAUCUUACAUUCACCCGGCCUGACAUUGCAUUUUCAGUGCAUCAGGUAUGCCAAUUUAUGCAGCAGCCUAUGGUAGCUCAUUAUACUGCUGUCAAACGCAUUCUCAGGUACUUAAAAGGUACUAUGACUGUGGGGGUUACUUAUACUCGAGGAGAUCUUCACCUCAAGGCUUUUAGUGAUGCCGAUUGGGCAGGAGAUCCCAAUGACAGACGGUCCACUACGGGGUUGGUUGUGUUUUUAGGUUCCAAUCCCAUCUCUUGGUCCUCCAAGAAACAACAAACCGUGUCUAGAUCAUCUACUGAAGCAGAAUAUAGAGCUCUUUCUUCCACUUCUGCAGAACUGGAUUGGAUUAAGCAACUACUUGCAUUUCUGCAUCUUCCCGUGACUAUACCUCUGGUUCUUUUCUGUGAUAACUUGUCCGUUAUUGCUCUGUCCUUUAAUCCUGUACAACAUCAGAAGACUAAGCAUAUUGAAAUUGAUGUCCACUUUGUUCGAGAACGGGUAGCCAAGAAACAGUUGACAGUGUAAUUUGUUUCGUCUUAAGAACAGUUUGCUGAUAUUUUGACCAAAGGUUUAAGUGGUCCUUUGUUUUGCACUCAUUGUAUCAAUCUCAUGCUUGGUUCCUCAAAGCAUGAGCUUGCGGGGGGAUGUUAGAAUAUACAUUCAAUGGUCCAUGAUUGUGACACUUGUCACAAUCUUGGUGUAUUGGUUAGUUAGUACUAGUGUUGUAAUUGCCUAUAUAAGGCAAGGUUGUUGCUUUACUUAAUCAAUAAGAAAUAUAUCUUACAGAAAUUUCUUCUAUCUCUCUCUCUACUCUCUCUCUCUAGUUCUUGCAUUUUAUAGAAAGAUUAUAGAAAGAUAUAUUGAUUAAUUCAUGAAGGUUAACAGCUUCCCCUAACUAACAAAAUAAGCUCUCGUCUCUCUCCAAUCUGUCAGUCCUUCUAUCCUUCUUCGCCAACAACGACAGGCCUACCGAAGCCGAUGCAAAGCCGAAAGCCUAGAUGCAGCCCAAACGCUCAAAAUUGGUUUUUAAGGUGAUGGCAAAACCGUAAAUGUAACCAAAUUUACACAGUGGCAUAGACGUAAAUAUAUCAAAAGAACAGGCGGUGGCAAUUUUGUAAAUAAAAUGAAAUCCGGCCAAAUUCACGGUUCAGGAUAACAGUGCAAUUGGAUUUCUUACUUUAGACUAAAGUAAUGAUCUAUUAAACUUCUUAAUGGCAGGAGAAAUUUUUCAUUGUUACGGAAAUAUGAGGGGUAUAUCAAGUGUUUUUAUGCAAGUGGUGAAAAUUUUUAUUUUAUAAGUUAUUAACUUUUUUAUACACAUAUCACACCAUAUAGUGACAAGUGAUAUAGCAUCCUGUAUUCCGAUCACACUAAAAAAUCUGUCUGAUAACGGUGUAAGUCUGUGUUUUAAGAUUAAAAACAAGGAAAAGUUAGAUCGUAGUACAAAGAUCUUAUCAACCUUCUAUACGUUUCUAGAAAAACAAGAAAACAAUAUCUUCAAUUUCAUUUUUUCAGAAACCAAUAAAACAUUGAUAAGUUCUUGCUCCACCAUCUAUCUUUUCUUUCCUAUUUUUACUCAAAAUACACAAACUAUGCAGCCCUCACAAAAGUAUUUAAACGACGGAAAUUUUAUUUGAACUCAUAUUUUGUAUCUCAAUAUUCAGCUUAUUUUUUUAUACCCAUAUUAUAUUUGAUUUAUCUAUCAUUAUCCCUUUACACCCAACGUUAUUUCCAAAACAGCCCUUACUUAUCAAAACUCAACUCAAUCAAACUUCUUGUUACACCCAUAAAAAAUAAAACUCUAACCAGUCCAUCAUCUCCAUGGAGCAAAUCCCCUUCUCUCUCUUUAAAAAAUCCUUCCAUCUCCCAUGGUUGUCAUUCUGCACCCCAUCUACUCCUUUGUAGUCAUCAAAACCUCUUCCUCUUCCUUUUCUUCAUCAUUUGACAUCUCUAAAUUUCUAGAGCAUUAAUUAGCUUAAUAAUUGGUAUGUGUUCAAUCGAUUGGUUCAAUUUUUACGUAUUGAUUCCUUUUUCUUUUCAAUUAAAUGAGCUUUUGGUUAUAGUGUUUAAUGAGUUUGGUAUGUUUCAAUUAAAUGAGAAUCUUCUAGACUCUAUAUUCCUAUAUGUGGUAGAAAAAUGGGUACGUCCAUGAACUUUUGGUAGAUUAAUGAAUAUUUUUAAUCGUUGAUAUUUUUUUUUUUGUCGAAAUAUGCAUGAAACAUACACAUUUGUCCCUUCAUGCCACUUGGUUAUAAGCAAACAUCAUGCAUUUACUAAUACUAUUCCAAGUCAUGCAUGAAACCUACACAUUUAUCCCUACAUCUAACUUACUAAUGCUAUCGAUUGACUUAAAAAAAAAUCGAAAUGUAUGUAGUGGAUAAACACAAUCUCAAACUUUAAUUGAACUCACAUAACAUCGAUAAAUAAAGGCAUUAUCACAACUUAGGGGUGGUGAGCAAUCCCAUUAAAAUAGAACUUAAUAUAUACAUAUUAAAAAGGGAUAUUUUGGAUGCGAUCCCUAAUCCUUAACAUUCUUUGAUUAAAACCUUAAUAGUAUUCAAAGUUUGAUCAAGGUCCCUUGACUUUGUACACCUCAUUAUAUUACUAUUAAUAUUUAUAUUUUUAUAGUUUUGACAUUAAUUGUUUGAUAUUUUAUGAGAUUUAUAAUCCUAUAAAUUUAAAAUCUCUCAUUAUAAUACUAAUAGAAAUGGUUACAAUAAACAAAUUCAAACAUUUUGAUUGAAUAAAUGGAUAAAAACUAUGUAAAAAUAAGAAAUAAUCAAUGGCAAAAGAAUGUAUCCAUAGUGUUAAAAAAAUUGGUACAUUUUACAAAAAAAUUGGUACAUUUCACAUAUAACAAAGUGGUACAUUAAUAAAGAAGAAUGGGCACAUUAGAAAUAAAUUAGAGUACAGAUAAAAGAUUAAAAAUUAUCAAUACAAAUGAAUUUUUAAAAAUAUAGGCGCUAAAAGAAAUUAAUACAUGGGUACAAAAUAAAACUAAAAAGAAAAUACUACAAAUUUAAAAAAAAAUGUUGCAAAUUAAAAGUGGGUACAAACUAAAAAUAUAAAUAUAUGAUACAAAGUUUAGGCAUAAAAACAUAAAUAUACCAUAUGUAAUUUUUCUAUUAUUGAUUAAAUAUACAAUGUCACGUGACGGUAUACACAUGGGUACAAACACAAAUAAAAUUUUAAAAAAUAUGAGCACAAAAGGAAACUUAUAUAUGGGUACAAAUUAAAAAUGAAAAGAAAAUUGGUACAAAUUAAAAAAUAUUUGCAAAUUAAAAAUAGGUACAAACUAAAAAUAAAAAUAUAUGAUAAAAAUUUAGCCAUAAAUAUAAAUAUACUAAUUGUAACAUUUUUAACAUUAAAGGAAUAUAUUUAAAAACAAAAAUAUUUUAUUAUUCAAAUAAUUAAUGAUAAUAUAUGAUAAAAAUUUAGCCAUAAAUAUAAAUAUACUAAUUGUAACAUUUUUAACAUUAAAGGAAUAUAUUUAAAAAUAAAAAUAUUUUAUUAUUCAAAUAAUUAAUGAUGUUAUUAAUACCCAAGGACCUUGAUCAAAAAUUGAAAAUGAAUAGGAUUUUAAUCAAUGAAGUAACAAAAAAAAGGAUGUGAACCUAAUUUUCCCUUAAUACUAUUCCAAGUCAUGCAUGAAACAUACACAUGUCCCUUCAUGCCACCUGAUUAUAAGCAAACAUGCAUGAAACCUACACAUUUGUCCCUUAAUGCCACUUGAUUAUAAGCAAACAUCAUGCCUGCACAAGUUAUUUACUAAUUAGUAUUACUACUAUUCAGCUAUCAUGAUCGUUUUUUUUUCUGUUACUCAUAUGCCCAAGACAUUGUAAAUAAUGUUGAUUAUUCAAAACGAAUCAACAACUAGUUACACAGGGUCACAGUCAAUGAUACUCCCAACUUGAUAAAGAAAGAAAAAUAAGGAAAUCAACUUCCAAACUAAAAUAAAAUGUAUAUAAAUAUAGAAAAUUGUUAUUAGCACUCCAAAAAUCUCAUUUGGCACUCCAAACUUUUUAUAAUUAGAAAGAAAAAUACACUUGUGCAAAGUGUAGAAUGAGAUUAUUUGAGCGCUAAUAACAGUUCCCUAAAUAUGUCUUAACAAAUAUUGUACGUGGCAUUGAAUUAGACUUUCACGAAUAGACUUAUAAUUUCUAGUAUCUAAUAAAUUUCCAGAUUAAAAAUAUUCAUCGAUCUACAAAAUUUUCUCAUAAAGGUACCCAUUGUUUUGCCACAGAUACCAAUAUAGAGGCUAAAAGACAAUAUGAUAUUAAAUUCAUAAGUGGUCAAGAUAUUUAUGAAUUUAAUAAUUAAAAUGCAUAAGCUCAAUUAUACAUUUAAGUUAGAUCAAUUCCUGGAGUUUUAGUCAACAAUAAAACUGCUUACCUAUGAGUUCACCUAUAAAACGUGCAAAAGCGAUAUACUUUUUUACCACAGUUCUAUGUAUUGUGAAUUUUUGUCCUCAACUUUUGUGGCAUAUAGAGGCUAAAAGAUACUACGAUAUUAAAUCCAUAUAUGGUCGAAAUAUUUAUCAGUUUAAUCAUUAAAAUGCAUAAACUCCAUUACACAUCCAGUUUAGAUCAAUUACCGAAGUUUUGCUCCACAAUAAAAACUGCUUAGCUAUGAGUUCGCCUAUAAAACAUGCAAAGGCGAUAUACUUUUUAGCCACAGUUCAAUGUAAUGUGAAUUGUUGUCCGCAACUUUUAUAUCUAAUAAAUAUCCACGGUUAAAAAUAUUCAUUGAUCUAAUAAAUAAGCUCAUACCGAUUAUUAAGCUAAUUAGCGCUCUAGAAAUUUAGAGAUGUCAAAUGAUGAAGAAAAGGAAAAGGGAGAGGUUUGGAUGACUACAGAGGAGUAGAUGGGGGUGCAGAAUGACAACCAUGGGAGAUGGAAGGAUUUUUUAAAGAGAGAGAAGGGGAUUUGCUCUAUGGAAAGAUGAUGGACUGGGUAGGGUUUUAUUUUUUAUUUUUAAGUAGAUUGAGUUGAGUGUAAAAAGAAGUUUGAUUAAGUUAAGUUUUGAUAAGUAAGGACGGUUUCGGAAAUGAUGUUGGGUGUAAAUAGAUAGAAAAAUCAAAUACAAUGUGGAUAUAAAAAGUAAGUUGGAUGUUGAGAUACAAAAUAUGGGUUCAAAUAAAAUUUCCCUUUCAACAACUAGUUUCUUAAAAAAAGAACAGUAAUGCUAUUCUUACCAUGUUUUUAUAUCACAUUUAUAUAUCACCUUAUAUGGCAUUUGAUGUGGACAACCACAUCAUUUAAAUUAGAAUUUAAUUUAAAUUAAAAAUCAUUUAAUAAAUCAAUAAUUAAAAUAAAAGCUAGAAUUAAAUGGUGAUUAUGGCAUACGAGGAGUCUUCUCAUUCCUUUCCCAUUCAAUCAUGCUUCUUCUCCCGUUUCUUCUUCAACACCCGUUCUUUCACGUCAUAAUUUUUUCGCUCCCCUAUCUGGAUUAUUAGUACGCAUCUAUCAUUUUUUUUUUCAAUGAAUUUAAUUUUUUUGUCUGUUUAUUUCUUCUUCUUUCUCUCAAUCUCCAUUGUGUAGCAAGAUAAAUUCUUCUUCGGGUCUUGAUCAGAGUCGACGUUAAUGGUGUCGUGGUGAGGGAUGUAGGUUUCUUGACGAUACGUACUUGAGAUUCCUUUAAUUUGAUUAUAAGUAGGAACAAGAUGGAGUCCUUAAUGAUUCAAAGUGUUAAAUCUUCAACCCCCAGUGUCAUUUUUCUAUGAACAAAAAGGUUUAGGUAAAUAGUCCAAUGGAGAUCGAGAGAAAGAAGAAGAAUAAACUGACUACAAAAAUGUAAAUUCAUUGAAAAAUAAUGGUAAAUGCUUACCAAUAAUCCAAAUAGGGGAGCGUUGAUGAACCUUUGCCGUAUGUAUGAGAAUUAGUUGAGAUUGUAGUAGUCCACACUAACGUAAAAAAAACUGGAGCGAAAAAAUAUGGCAUGAAAGAACUGGCAGAAGAAGAAACGGGAGAAGAAGCAUGAUUGAAUGGGGAAGGAAGGAGAAGAUUCCUCAUAUACCACAAUCACCAUUUAAUUCCAGCUUUUGUUUUAAUUAUUGAUUAUAAAAACAUGGUAAGAAACUCCGCCUAUGUAAGUUUAUCUUACAUUGCCGGUCCCAAGCCCGGAUAAAGGAGAAGGGGGAGGGCGUCUGGUAGUCGACAGCCGGCACUCCACAGUUACGUCGAAUCCUUAUGACAAUGAAUCCAGAACGAAAUCGCGCUAAAGCUAGGACGUCACCCAUAAGUGGCGCGCUGUGUGGCCCGAGCACAGUGAUAAGUGAGCAAGGGUCGCUGUAUCUCCAUCGGCACCCGGAUGCAGUGUUAAAUGAGCAAGGGGGCCAUAGAAACUUCUUUUCGAACGACUCCACUCAAAGUUGUUUGGGAGCAUAUGCUUCUAUCAACUUUACACAGGACACACAAAAGAAGUACUUUGAUCCUAUUAGACGGGGGAUGGUGAAGAAGCUAGGACAGAAGGGUAGAGUUCAAGAGAGUAGAAUGCGUUUAGGAACGUGGAAUAUAGGAACCUUAACGGGAAAAUCUAUGGAAGUAGUGGAAGUUAUGGUGAGGAGAAGGAUAAAUAUUAUGUGCUUACAAGAAACUAAGUGGGUUGGUCUUAAGGCAAAGGAUCUAGAAAACUCAGGGUUUAAGCUUUGGUAUUCGGGCACAAAUAGAACGAGAAACGGUGUUGGCAUCAUUGUGGACAAGACCUUGACACAAGAUGUUGUAGAUGUCAAGAGGGUAGGUAGGAGAUAGAAUCAUGGCAAUCAAGAUUGUAAUAGGACAAGAACUCAUCAAUGUGAUUAGUGCGUACGCACCUCAAGUAGGGUUGGAUACGAGUUCGAAGGAGAAAUUUUGGGAAGACCUUGGAGACUUGGUGCAAGGAAUUGCUCAGACGAAGAAGUUAUUUAUAGGAGGAGAUUUAAAUGGACACGUGGGCAGGGAGACAGGCAACUAUGGAGGUUUUCAUGGUGGCCAUGGUUUUGGGGAGAGAAAUGAGGAUGGGGAAGCUAUCUUGGAUUUUGCAAUGGCAUAUGAUCUCUUCUUAGCCAACACCUUCUUUAAGAAGAGAGAGAAGAACAUGUGAUCACCUACAAGAGUGGGUCGUCAAAAACACAAAUAGAUUUUCUUCUAAUGAGGAAAGGGGAUCGUAUAACUUGUAAGGAUUGCAAAGUUAUACCGGGGGAGAGCUUGGCUAAUCAUCGCUUGUUGGUGAUGGAUGUACAUAUCAAAAGAGUGAGAAAAAAGAACAAGACUUGGAAAUGCCCAAAGACUAGAUGGUGGAAUCUAAAAGGAGAAAAACAAGUCAUUUUCAAAGAGCAAGUAAUCACCCAGUGUGUGUGGGAUAGAGAGGGGGAAGCUAGCCAAAUGUGGGAUUCCAUGGCUAGCUGUAUCCGAAAAGUAGCAAAAGAGGUAUUAGGAGAGUCCAAGGGCUUUGCUCCACACCAAAAGGAAUUUUGGUGGUGGAAUGAGGAGGUACAAACAAAGGUGAAGGCUAAGAAGGAAUGUUGUAAAGCCUUAUACAAGGAUAGGACUGAUGAAAAUGGUGAAAGGUAUAGAAGAGCGAAGCAAGAGGCGAAGAAAGCUGUGAGAGAAGCUAAGUUAGCAGCUUACGACGAUAUGUAUAAGCGACUAGAUACCAAAGAAGGAGAGUUGGAUAUCUAUAAACUAGCUAGAGCAAGGGAAAAGAAGACAAGGGACCUAAACCAAGUGAGGUGCAUCAAGGAUGAGGAUGGAAAGGUUCUUGCUCAGAGAACGCGGUCAAAGACAGAUGGAGAGGUUUUUUUCAUAAUCUUUUCAAUGAAGGACAUGAAAGGAGUACUCCUUUAGGGGAGUUGAAUAACUCAGAAGAGUGUAGAAACUACUCCUUUUAUCGUCGAAUCAGGAAGGAAGAAGUGGUUGUAGCUUUGAAGAAGAUGAAGCAUAGAAAAACAGUGGGCCCAGACGAUAUACCGAUUGAAGUGUGGAAAGCCUUGGGAGAGACAGGUAUAGCAUGGCUCACUGACCUUUUCAAUAGGAUUUUGAAAACGAAGAAGAUGCCAAACGAGUGGCGAAAGAGCACCUUGGUGCCUAUUUACAAGAAUAAGGGCGACGUACAAAAUUGCAUGAACUAUAGGGGUAUUAAGCUAAUGAGUCAUACAAUGAAGCUCUGGGAGAGAGUCAUUGAGCAUAGAUUGAGGCAAGAGACACGGGUUUCGGACAACCAAUUCGGGUUCAUGCCAGGGCGCUCAACCAUGGAGGCAAUCUAUCUUUUACGAAGAUGGAUGGAAAGAUAUAGAGAUGGGAAAAAGGAUUUACACAUGGUCUUUAUAGAUUUGGAAAAAGCGUAUGAUAGGGUCCCAAGAGACAUCUUUGGAGGAUUUUAGAGAAGAAAGGAGUACGAGUAGCAUAUAUCCAAGCUAUAAAGGAUAUGUAUGAAGGAGCAAAGACUGCCGUAAGAACUCAUGAAGGACAAACCGAAAGCUUCCCCAUAACUAUAGGAUUACAUCAAGGCUCAUCCUUAAGUCCUUACCUUUUUACGUUGGUAAUGGAUGAGUUAACAGGACAUAUUCAAGAUGAUAUUCCUUGGUGUAUGCUUUUCGCAGACGAUAUAGUGUUGAUAGAUGAAACUCAGGAAUGGGUAAAUGCGAAGCUUAACCUUUGGAGAGAAGUGUUGGAAUCUAAAGGUCUUCGCCUAAGCCGAUCAAAGACAGAAUAUAUGGAGUGCAAGUUCAGUGCAAAUGGAGGCCAAAAUAAGUUAGGGGUGAGGAUCGGAGAUCAGGAAAUACCAAAAAGUGACCGUUUUCGCUACCUAGGAUCUAUCUUGCAAAAGAACGGAGAAUUAGAUGGAGAUCUCAACCAUAGAAUACAAGCUGGAUGGAUGAAGUAGAAGAGUGCAUCCGGCGUGUUGUGUGAUCGUCGUAUGCCACUGAAGCUUAAGGGAAAAUUUUAUAGGACGGCAAUAAGGCCGGCGAUGCUGUAUAGCACAGAAUGUUGGGCGGUAAAGCACCAACACGUACACAAAAUGGGUGUAGCGGAGAUGAGGAUGCUUCGUUGGAUGUGUGGGCACACGAGAAAGGAUAAGAUUAGGAAUGAGGAUAUCCGAGGUAAAGUAGGAGUAGCCGAAAUUGAAGGAAAACUGAGAGAAAAUCGGUUACGGUGGUUUGGACAUGUGCAAAGAAGGCCUACUGACGCUCCGGUUAGAAGAUGCGACUACGGGACAGAGGUUCAGGGCCGAAGGGGUAGAGGAAGACCUAAGAAAACUUUUGAAGAGACUCUAAGAAAAGACUUAGAGUACUUGGAUCUAACGGAGGACAUGACACAAGGAUCGAGCACAAUGGCGUUCUAAGAUUCAUAUAGCCGACCCGACUCAGUGACUUGGAUUUUUCAAGUCUCCAAUCGAGAAGUUUUCCUCACUCGGGAAAUUAAGGGAACACUAGCUCAACCUACAUGCUCCACUCACAAAGCUUUAACAUACAAGCUUCAACAAAAGAAAAAAAUUCAAAGAACUUAGUGAAGAAGGCUUUGGAUGUAUUUAACACAAUACGUUGAAAUGAAACAAAGCUUAUUUAUUGAUAUCUCUAAGAAGUUACAAAUAUGUACAUAUACACGAGUCAAAAUAAACAAACAAGAGGGAGCCUUUCACAAAGGUUGCUUAGGAGAAGUCUCAGCAGUCGGUAGAGCCCCAGAAAGAGAAGGCACCGGAGAGGGAUCAUUCGGAGCCUCAGUACUGGACAGCACCCUAGAAGGAUGAGGCAUCGGAGGUUGAUCAUUUGGAGCUUCAUUACGCGGUACAGCCCCAGAAGACGAAGGCAAUAAAUGCCUUUGGAACAAACCCACAAACCUCUGAUGAUCAAUGUAAAAUCUGACCAUCAGAUUCCUUCAUCUGGUCAAGCUUCCUCUUCAUGUUUGUAGCAUAGUCAUGAGCGAGCCGGUGCAACUGUUUAUUCUCAUGCUUGAGCCCUCUAAUCUCCUGUUUGAGACUCAUCACUUCAGCCGCCAAUGAUUCAACUUGGCGGGUUCGAGCAAAUAGGCGUUGAACCAUAUUAGACACAGAACCUGCACACUGAACACUGAGAGCCAGAGAAUCCUUAACAGCCAACUCAUCAGACCGUUUGGAAAGUAGCCUGUUAUCUUUGGGAGUGAGAAGGUUCCUGGCCACCACCGCAGCGGUCAUAUCAUUCUUCAUCACGGAAUCCCCAACGGUAAGAGGACCAGUAGGGGAUAAGAAAGAUGGGCGCCAUAUGUUGUCUGGAGAAGGCGUGGCUGCCUCUUCAACAAGGUUCAAGUCAAAACGACGGUCGGAGGGGCCACACAUUUUCAAAGGUGUUGAAGAGAAAAGAGGUCGGACAAAUCAAGAUCUUAGAAAUGCAAGAAGGGAGCUUCUACUGGUGGAGAUUCAAGUGUGCUUUGGAACUUAAUACCAGCCUCUAUAAAAAUCCGCACUCGAUGGAGCUUCAGAAAUCGAAGAGGCGCCUGCUCAGAAAUCGAAAAGGCGUUUGCUUUCUCAAAAGCUGGGCUGCUAAGAGACCACGAGGCCGAUCUCAGGAAUCGAAGAGGCGUUUGCUUUCUCAAAAGCUGGGCUGCUCAAAGACCACGAAGGUCGAUGGCAGAAAUCGAAGAGGCGCUUGCUUUCUCAAAAGCUGGGCUGCUCAGAGACCACGAGGGCCGAUCUCAGAAAUCGAAGAGGCACCUGCUUUUUCAGCCUUGUCAGCACCUGUCACAUGCACACUCAACUUUACGGAAAUUAUGGGCAUUCUGUCGAAGAUUUCUAGUGAAGUAGAAAGCACGUGAAUGUUACUGUUUAAUCAUUCACUUUCCACACGCAACAUCAACUCACGGGUACCACAGAUAACUUUGCCAAAAAUCUCUGACAAAGUUAGACACGUGAAGCUUGCAGCUCCCAUUACAUCGCUAUGACCAAGAAGGGUAAAAGAAUAGCAAAGAAACAGCACUAACAAAGUUUAGACACAUAAAUUUUGAAGGUCUAGCUACCAUAUUAUUACCCACAAGGGUAAAGGAACAGGACCAUUGCUGGAUAAUUGGAAAGUCCCUGUGAGUCAACCUCUGUGCUCCGUGGCAAGGUAGACUAGCAAACAGGCCUAACCUUUACUCACAUUCGAGAAUACACUCCCAACAAGAUUGCUUGCUUCAAGAUCGAAGAGGCACCGUCCUCCGAAUCUCGAGAGCCAGACUCCCAACAUGAUUACUUUCUCAAAAAACAACGAGACACUGCUAUCCGAAUCUUGAGAGCCAGACUCCUAGCAGGAUUGCUUUCUCAAAAAUCGAAGAGGCACCGUUCUCUGAAUCUCGAGAGACAGAUCCUCAACAGGAUUGCUUGUUCGAAAAUCGAAGAGGCACCGCUUUCUCAACUUCGAGAGCCCCUUAAAUAAAGCUUGUCUGUAAUCCUCACACCGUUUUCCCAACUUCGAGAGCCAGAUCUCCUUGGAUAAAGCUUGUCUGUAAUCUUCACACAUAACAUCAGCUUUCCAGAUACCACAUACCACUUUUUCAAAGUGCGCUGACAGAGUUAAAACAUGUGAAGCUGGCAGCUCCCACUACCGUGCUAUGACCAAACAGGGUAAAAGAAUAAUAUUACUCCUUGUUAGGGAGACUCCUAUAUAUGUCGACCUCCAUCCUCAACGGACAGGCAGACUUGCAAAAAUGCUCAACCCUUCCUCAUAUCUGAGAGGGCACUCCCAACGAAGCCUCUCGAAAUACUCAGCUUUCUUUCCCCCCGAGAAUACCUCUGCAAACAAGCUACACUAGAGCAAGAAUAUCUCAUAUCAUCAGGGUUAAAAGCAAGAGUAUCCCAUAUCAUGCUUUUUCCCUGUCUUUUCCUUUGGCCUUGUUCUUACCUGCAAGACAAGGAGAAAGAGAGCAAUCAGUCAGCAUUUGGAAUCAAGCUUCCAGUCCGGAACUGACUGCCUGGAACCCCAUUGCUCUCGAGUACUCAUUUUCAACAUCUUAUGCUUCCCGAGAAGAUACCACAUCUGCCUGAGGAACAAAUAGGGCAAGUGAGAAGGAUACAAGGAAGCAUGUGGAGACAAGCGCAACAGAACACGUGCCCAUACAUCCACUACUUUGUCAACAGCAAAAGUAUCCCAUAUCAGCAGGGUCGAACGUACUCUAGAUUUGAUGGACUUGUUUUGACCCUCAAAUUCUUCAGUCGGCCUUAUACUCUGACGGAAACAAGAAAACCCUCCAGCCCAGUUCAAGAAUAAGCCUGUGGAAAGUUACUUCUUCAAAAGCAAAAGUAUCUCAUAUCACAUUUUCUCCUUUUCUUCUCUAUAUCCUUCAUGCUACCUGCAAGAUAAGGAGAAGGAUAACAAUCAGCCGGAACUCGAAAUCAAACUUUUGAUCUGGGACUGAUUGCUUGGAGCUCUGAUUGCUUACCUUGUCUGUCACCUCUUUCAGCAGAUCCCCUAGCUCGGCGACUUGGGGGACUCCUACUACAUGGUUUUUAUCGCGCUUGACCAAGCCUGAAACUACAAGUAAGCGUCAGGUGAAAUUGAUACAUUACCUUGUGCAUCUCCACCAGUUAAAGAUAUCACCCCUGGAGGGAGGAAGAGUACUCCCAAAGAAGAUGCCACAUCUACCUAUGAGACAGAUAAGGCAAGUGAAGACGAUACCACACUUCGGUACUUAAAAGUUUCGUGAUUACGAGAUCAUUCUUCCACAAUAUUUCCUAAUGUCAUUUAUACUAAAUCAUUCACUUGUACUCACUAAAGGAGAGCUUGAACCUAUAUACUGUGUAAACCCUUCACAAUAAAUGAGAACUCCUUUACUCCGUGGACGUAGCCAAUCUGGGUGAACCACGUACAUCUUGUGUUUGCUUCCUGUCUCUAUCCAUUUACAUACUUAUCCACACUAAUGACCGGAGCAAUCUAGCGAAGAUCACAAACUUAAUAUUUAAGAUGAUAUUCUUUGGUGUAUGCUUUUCGCAAACGAUAUAGUGUUGAUAGAUGAAACGCAGGAAGGGGUAAACGCGAAGCUUAACCUUUAGAGAGAAGUGUUGGAAUCUAAAGGUCCUCGCCUAAGCCGAUCAAAGACAGAAUAUAUGGAGUACAAGUUCAGUGCAAACGGAGGCCAAAAUGAGUUAGGGGUGAGGAUCGGAGAUCAGGAAAUACCAAAGAGCGACCGUUUUCGCUACCUAGGAUCUAUCUUGCAAAAGAACAGAAAAUUUGAUGGAGAUCUCACCCAUAGAAUACAAGCUGGAUGGAUGAAGUGGAAGAGUGCAUCCGGCGUGUUGUGUGACCGUCGUAGGCCACUGAAGCUCAAGGGAAAAUUUUAUAGGACGACAAUAAGGCUGGCAAUGCUGUAUGGCAUAGAAUGUUGGGCGGUGAAGCAUCAACACGUAGGUGUAGUGGAGAUGAGGAUGCUUCGUUGGAUGUGGGGGCACACGAGAAAGGAUAAGAUUAGGAAUAAGGAUAUCCGAGGUAAAGUAGGAGUAGCAGAAAUUGAAGGAAAGAGGAGAGAAAAUCGGUUACGGUGGUUUGGACAUGUGCAAAGAAGGCCUAAUGACGCUCCGGUUCGAAGAUGUGACCACGGGACAGAGGUUCAGGGCCGAAGGGGUAGAGGAAGACCUAGGAAAACUUUGGAAGAGACCCUAAGAAAAGACUUAGAGUACUUGGAUCUAACGGAGGACAUGACACAAAACCGAUCGCAAUGGCGUUCUAGGAUUCAUAUAGCCGACCCCACUUAGUGGGAAAAAGCUUUGUUGUUAUUGUUGUUGUAUAAAAACAUAUUAAGAGUAUCAUUACUGAAAAAAAGAAAGAAAAUAAUCAAUAAAUUCACUUCAGGUGUAAAUACAUAGAUUCACAUCGCUUUAUUUAUUUGUUUAUUUGUAUAUUCCAAGUUGAUUAAGGUAAUUAAGUAAUCUUUCUUGAUUGCCCAAUAGUGAGGUCCAAUGACAGCUCUCGCCAACUACGGAUUUUGAAUGAACAACAGCACCAAACUCUAUGAAAACUGUUGGGUCGAUGCAGGCAAACUUGUGGAAAGACCCACCUCCGUUAUGCCAUUGUUGGAAUUCUGGAUGAACGGUCGGAGCAUCGCCCUCUCAUCUUGAAAUACAGAGCAGGUGCAGAAAUGGUUAGUGACAAAACAGGUGUAGUCUCAGAGACAUUUUCACAAGCACGUUCAGGGCAUACCAGACGAAACAGACGACACAAGGGAACUCUAUCUAUUUCCAAAGCGCAACGGAAGCAAGCUUUGAACGCAUUGAGGAUGUGGCGAGUAGCCGAAUGCCGCUGCAAGUCUUCUCAGAGCGACUGCCAUUGACUGAGGACCGGAGGUCCGAGGAGUGACUCGGCGAGGAGGGAAAUCCCGUUUGUAUUUGAACCUUCGUAUCCAGAAUCCACCGUGUUUGACCGGAAGGGCUUUUGUAAUGGAGGGCAUCUUCGUCUCCUAAAUUUACGUUGGGCCAACAUACAUAGGUGUUGGGCUUUGGGCUUGAAAGUCCAAGCCAAUAGAUUAUUGAGAACAAGUGCAAGUUGCAUUGGAAAUUUCGAUUUUGAUCAGUUCUGACCAAACUGGUGACGAAAACUUUCAAUUUUGGUGCACCCGAAUGGAAUUUGACAUUCAAAAUUCUGAAAUAAUAUGGAUAGUAACUGGGAUGUACAUCUAAAAACUUUAAUAAUCUCAAUAUAUUUUAUACGAACGUAUUAAAGUUUCAACUUGUGAAUCUCAAUAUACUUUAAUAUGGAUCGUAACUAGGAUGACCAAGUUGAAACGUAAGUUCCCAACUUUUCUGAAUUUUUUAUUGUUUGUUUUUUUUUUAAUUUUUUUGUUUACGACAGAAUUGAAUGAAAAUGAAACUCAUAAUUUCAACUAGAUUUUUUUUUUAAAAUCAGGCAUGCAUACAUGGAGAGUAGGCUAGGCAAUGAAGUUUAAUUCUUGUUGUGUGACCUAUCGGACAUGCUAAUCUCGCAUGUAUAUAUAUAUAAAUAAAUAAACCACAGAAAACAUGUGUGACUAUUAUAUUAUUUGAUGGUUCGUGGAAGUCUCUAUUGUCUAUUAGUUUUGAGUUAUAUCUUUCAACUUGUGGCGUCGCAUUGACUGAAUUAGGGGCAAAACCAUGACCAACUGUGAACAAUUUCCAGGAAAAUACAGCCAGUCGAAGGCUUUGUUUUCUUAGAAUUUUUACUGAUGUGAUGUUAACUAAUUUAAUUAAACAAGUCUUCCAAGAAACUACCUAUCAAUUCACAAAAAUUCAAUGGUGCUCGUCCUCCGAGAUUUUUAACCAUUUUUCGAGCAGGAAGGAGAAGACUUAAGAGCUAUAUAUAAAAUUUCCCUAAUCUUUUUCUAUGAUUAGAGAUCAAAACAUGGUUAAUUUCCCUAGUGCUCCGAAAACAAUCUCUCUUUUUUUGCUUUGUUUUCUCAUCACCCUCCUUUUUGAUCUUGCUUAUGCUGAUCCUGAUCCUCCAUACAAGUUGUGCUCAGAUGUUCGCGGUUAUGUCGAAAAUGGUACGUUUCAGAAAAACCUCCAGAGCCUGCUCAAUUCAUUGCCUUCAAAUGCUUCUGUUUCCAAGCUGUACAAUACUUCCGCCGGAAAUCAACCAGAUAGAGUUUAUGGCCUUUAUAUGUGCCUCAAUUAUUUUACGAAUGAGAUAUGUCACAACUGCAUCAACACCGCGCAUUUAGACAUUGUUAGGAUUUGUCCCAACUCAACAGAAUCAGUUGUGUGGGAGGAAACGUGCCAACUGCGCUACUCCGACGUGAAGUUCUAUGGUGAAUUGAAUGUGGCAGACAACAUUGUGUCCGCUAACAAGAAAAACGUUUCAGACCCAAAAAAGGUCGAGAAUACUGUAAAGGAGAAGCUGAGGGAGUUUGCGAAGCAAGCAGCAUAUGAUGCUUCAGCGAAAAUGUAUGCUACUGGAGAUGUACCAUUUGAAGAUAAAGUGAUAUAUGCUCUUGUGCAGUGCACUAGAGACUUAUCUGGAGAUGACUGUGACAAAUGCCUUCAGCACGCCAUAGAAGACGUUUUGAGAAAGUAUUAUUUCUCCGUUGGCGCGGCUUAUGAGCCGGAGUUGCUAUCUGAGGUACGAGUUGUAUGGCUUCUAUAAUGGUGCAACUGAAGCUUCUAUUUCCAGCUCUCCAAAUAACAACAAAGGGGACGGUGAGUACUUUUAAGGUGUAUGUCUAUUUUGACGCUACAAUGUUAAAAAUUAACUGCAAAUACAUAGUUGUUUCCAAUGAAGGUGUAGGAUGGAGGAUCACGAUCCUUACGGUUGUGUCAGCAUGUCUAGCCAUACUACUUUUGGGUUCCUGUGUCUAUCUUGCAAUAAGAAAAAGAAACAAAAAGGGUAAUAAUAAUGCGUUUGGAAAUGCUUUAAAGCUGAUCAUCACUGUAAUAUAUUUUCUGAAAGCAGCUUUUCUUUCGAUCUGUUCAGGGAGUAGUGAGAUUUUAAGACAACAUGUAUUGUUCCCGGACCGAAGUUUUCAAGGCAGAAACCAGAAAGCUGAGGAGUACCCCUAUAUCAGUUUGGCAUCUAUACAUGCAGCUACGGAUAAAUUUUCUGAUUCAAAUAAGCUCGGAGAAGGUGGUUUUGGGCCUGUUUACAAGGUAUAAAGUAAAAGAAAAUUGUUUCUUGAGCAAACCAUGGACAAAAAGUUCACAUAUGCGAAGAUUAAAUCGAUAUUUGUAUUACUAUCUUCCACUUGGUUAGUAUUUCCUGUGGUUUGAUUUAAAAUCUGGUUUUUCGCAGGGUGUACUGAGUGACGGUAAAGAAGUGGCGAUCAAGAGGCUUUCAAGCUGUUCUGAGCAAGGCUCAGAGGAAUUCACAAAUGAAGUUCGGCUGCUAAUGAAACUUCAACAUAAAAAUCUUGUUAGGCUUUUGGGUUUUUGUGUUGAGGGAAAGGAAAAACUGCUUGUCUAUGAAUACCUGCCAAACAGCAGCCUAAAUGUCUUCCUCUUUGGUAUGUUUUCUCUUGAUCUCUCAAAAAUUUCUGUAUGUGGGAUUUAACUUCAACUGUUUCAUACUAUUGCUAAGAUUUUCUUGUCAGAAAUAUUUUAGUCUGUAAAUUCUCCUCCAAUGAUGCUUAGAUUCAGAGAAACGAGCGCAGCUUGAUUGGAGCAGACGUGUAAACAUUAUAAGUGGAAUUGCACGGGGAAUUCUUUAUUUACACGAGGACUCUCGACUUCAAAUCAUCCAUAGAGACUUCAAAUCAUCCAUUAGUAAUGCUCAUUGAUUUGAAUUCACUGUUAAGAUGGCUGUAAUUAUAAUAACUUCAACCGUUAGAUCAAAUUUUAACGACACGAAUUUCCUGAUUUAAUGAAUUAGAAGGAAAUGAUCCUGAUUAUAUCCUAUCUUCCUAUAGCACUCAUCACGUCGUUAACCUCACCUCCAAUUUUUUCUGCCAAAUUAUGCAUAUAUUAAAAUCCAGUUGUCUGAUACUGUUUAUUACAAGUGAAAGGACGAAAAUACCCUUGAUUUCUUCUUUGCUCUGCAUACUGUUCCAUUUUUCUACAGUGGAAAGUCGGCUAUGCCCUUCCCAGCCGCACGUCUUUCAUCUUUUGUUUCUCUGCUUCGACCGCAUCUUUUUCGCUUUUACCCUUCCUCUUCGUUUUUCACCUUCAUUAGUUUGCGAUUUUCUCCCUCUUCGUCAGCCCGUCUUUUGCCCUCAAUUCCUUUCUUUUUCUUUCGCAUUUAUGGCGCGUUUACGUAACGGUAAUGAAAAUAUGAGAAAUUGAAUUGAGGAGGAGUUGGAAUGAGGAGAAGUCAGAAUCGGAUUCUUGUUAAAGUUGUUUACUUAAAUGUUCUGGAAUCGAAAUAGAAUUUCAUAAAGCUGUUUACUAAUUCAGCAGAAUCGGAAUAUAAACAUGUAUGAUUACUAAAAUGCCCUUGUCCCAAAUCAAAUAUUUUAUAUACUUUAAUGGGUUUAUAAAGGAUAGUCUUGGAAAUAGAAAAAGUAAGUGAGGGCAUAAAGGAAACAAAAGUAUCAUUCCGAUUACCCAAACAAUAAGGAAUUGGAUUACCACCUAUAUCUAGGGAAUCCAAUUCCACCAACACAAGGAAUUGAAUUCCAAAAUUUGUGUGGGUCCACUGCUUUUUUGAUUCCUCCAUGUUUAGUAAACACCGGAAUACUCCGUAAUCAGAAUUUAAUUCCACAUUCUCAUUCCGAUUACGGAUACGUAAACACGCCCUUAGUUUCCAGUCUCUCCCGGUAUUGAAUCAUUUGUUAUUCGGCGUUUUGUUCUCAUCUUGCGAUCGUCGGGGCAAGAACUUUAAGGUUAGUUUGUUCUCAAUGUUUUAUCCUUAUUUUGCUAUCUCUAGGCCGAUAAAUUUAAGGUCUUUGUUUUUGUUUUUGCUGCGGAUCUGCAGGUUGGGACAAUUUUUUUAUGAAAUUGGUGACUAAUCGCAUGCUGCCUCUUCAGAUUAUUGACAAAGAAAUUAUAUUGAACUUGGGUAAGUUUUAUAACAACUACGUGUAAUUUUCGAUUCUCAGUUUGUAUUUGUUUGAAAGAAACCCUGAAAAUUGGUUUUCUUUCUGUGUUCUCAAUUGAUUCAAUGCGUAGCAUUAGAAAAAACAUGUAAUUAUUGGGGGUUUUUGUUUUUGGUGGAUUUAGAGUUUUGUUAAAGUUUGAUUAUAUUGGAGUUGAAUUUGGUUGCUCCUUGGCUGUGGGGAGAGAGGUCGGGUUCGUCAUUUGGUGAAGAAGGGUUGAGGAAAGAGACAGGGGGUGUAAGUGUGGUUGCAGAUGAGAACUAUCAAAUUUUCUAUCUUUUCAAUUUCUGCAGAGCACCCGUUUCCUUCCUGCAAAUGGGUCUUACAAACUUUCACUCGGUUCUAUCAAUUUUGUUAGAAUCAACAAUUCUGCGGAGCAUUUUUGCAUUGAAUUUCAGCGACCCAUUUGCCUAAUUAGUUUGCAAUUAUAUGGUAUUUUAAAAAAGUUCAAAAAUUAACUCACACAUUCUCCACAAGCACCUGAUUCUUCAAAAUUUUCCAAAAAUGGAGAACUGAAUCACCCAAUUUUCUUAAUUAAAGAAAAAAAAAAAUCAGUUUUCUUUUUGGUCAAAUUUGAAUACCCAAAGAAGAAGUAAGUGAAUUUUCUCAGAGGGGGGAGAGAGAGAGAGCGCAGCGGGGGACUGACCUCUAAACAGCAAAAGCAGAAACGAAUCACUUGAUUUUUAAACUGCAAUGAUCAGGGAUCUUAAAAACUUAGCAGUUUUUCUGAAUUUGUUUUCUUUAUCUUUUGGUUAAAAAACAUAUUAAAAUUAUAUCUUUGUUAAUCAAUGUUAUGAGGGUUAUCCACUGAGUGGUGUAAUGUGUUUAUAUCUUUUUUUUUCAUUACUUUUGCCUAUUCUUUUUCACUUUCUUUGUAUCACUUAAUUUUUAAGGUGUAUUGAUCAGGAAGGAAAAAAACUUUAACAUUUUUUGUUGCUGUAUUCUUUCGUUUUGAUUAAGAGAUAUAUCUCUGUUUAUCAAUGUUAUUGCCAUGGGGUAAUGGUUUUGCUGUUAUAAAUUCUUGAAACUGUAAUUCCCUCUGUCUUUGUCGUGUUAAAACUAUAUAUUGUGAUUGCAGGUUUUUAAAAACUUGACCUUUGCAGAUUGUUCAAACAAACAAUGAACCUAUAAUAAGUGGGACUUGGAUUGUCUGCCCUCCUAGUUGUGGUGCCCUUCCAUGCCCUCCUAUUUUGUACGGUCACGGUUAAGCCACGUCAAUAUUUUAUAUUAAUUUUUUAAUAAGAUAAUAAAACAAAAAAUAAUAAAAAUAUAAAAUAUUGACGUAGCUUAACCGUGACCGCACAAAAUAGAAGGGCAUGGAAGAGCACCACAACUAGGAGGGCAGAGAAUCCAAAUCCUAAUAAGUGAGGGAUAACUCACUUCGACCCUACCACUAUUAUUUGUCUAGCAUAUUCUCAUCUCAAAAGAAUAAUAAUUACAGUUACAUAAUUAUCAGAUUAAAGUUUUCAACACUUUUCUCACUAAAUGAGGUCGCUAUCAGAUUAAAGUUUAAGAUGAAGAAUUCCACUUUACUCAGAAUCCGACAAUUGUUUCUUCCACGACACCCAACUUUAAAAGUCUUAGUGUGAAUUGUCUAACUUUUGAUUUUGAGAUAAGAUUCCUUCUUAAAAGAUAAUAAUUGUUCAAAAAGUGAGUGUGAGAUUUUAAAAGUCUGUGUGAAUUGUCUAUCUAACUUAUGAUUUUGAGAUAAGAUUCCUACUACAGAUAUACCCUCUCCACAUGCCAUAAUGAGCCAAAGUACACCUUAAUGAUACAGAAAAGAAGAAAGUUUUUAUCUAUGCUUUUAGAUAUCCAUCUUAAACUUCUCAAUAAACAGUUGAAUACUUGAUUAUGUAUAUAGAGCAACCCAAAAGAAGAAAGUUUUUAUCUAUUUAUUGGUAACAACCAAUUCCUCUGAAGAAAAAAAAAGAUGAAAAUGAUGACAUCUGAAAUGCUUGAUCAAAUUACAUCUCUAUAUUUUGCAGAGAAACCAAACCAAAGAUAUCUGAUCCAUCUUUAGCACGUAUUAUAUCCCAUUCUUAUAUGGAAACUUUUUUCAGAUUAAUCACUCCACAAAUUUUAGACAAAUUUAUAUUCACAAUUUCCAAUUUGACAAAAUACUUUAUUGCCCUGUGUUAUCUUUUGUGAUAAACAUAUGAAUGCACAAAAACAACCACACAUGCCUUACCCAUUUAGAUAGCCAUUUGUAUCCAUGUUUAUACAUCUAUCUUAAAUGCUCAAUAAACUUGGCUUGACUUUGCACACUCCCCUCGCUUAUUGACCAAUGACUCAGUACCAAGUCUUUUUUUUUUUUUUGGUCAUAACUCAGUACUAAGUGAGAUCGAUAUUUUCUUGUGCUCGUCCUGGAAACAAACCGGACAAAGCCUAAUGGUGGCCUAAAACAAUAACAGACAAAUCAGCCAAGAUGAGGAACACAAAAUAUGCAACCAUGCGUUCUAAUCCCCUCCUUUUAUAUUAAUUCCUAGAGAAGGCCAACCAUGCUCAAGGCAACGCGUAUCGACUAAUGACCAAUACUAAGUCAGGUGGAUGUUUUCUUGUGCAUUUCCUGGAAAUAAAUGGGACAAAGCCUAAUUGUGGACUACAACAAUAACAGACAAUUAAGAGUAGGGACACAUUUUCCCCCAACCCAAAAUAUUCCACCACGCCUUUUAAUCCCUUCCAUAUAUAUAUAUAUAUAUAUAUAUAUAUAUAUAUAUAUAUAUAUAUUCCUACGGAAGGCCAACCUUCUUAAUUAGCAGUUCCUUAAUUUCUUGGAUCCAUCACCUGCUUGGAUUUUAUUCUCUGCUACUGCUAGGAUCUGCUCGACCCCUUUCAGUUAAUACUAUAUGGCGUUACUUAGGAGGAUGCAUAUUUUGCAUCUCUCUUUAGUAAUGGUGGUGGUAGUUACAAUUUUACUAGGAAUUCCAACUCCAACCACAGCUCAAUCUCUCCUUCCGCCUCAGGCACUGCCUGGCUGCCCUGACCAUUGUGGUAAUCUCACAAUUCCAUACCCAUUUGGCAUAGGCGAUGGUUGCUACCUCAACGACCGGUUUAACAUCACUUAUAACAUUUCCACUCAACCGCCAACAGCAUUUAUGAUGACGAGCAAUCUCGAAAUUACCAACAUUUCUCUUUAUGACGGUGAGCUCCAAAUACUACAGUUCACAUCCAGUGAUUGUUAUGAUGCCCAAGGCAACAGGACCCGACGGAACCGUCCCAAGCUCUGGGUGCCUCCUCCUUACACCAUCUCCAAAACCAAAAACGUGUUCGUUGCAGUUGGAUGCGACACAUAUGCGUUUUUUAUAGGUUACCGGGGUGAAGAAAAGUACACAACUGGGUGUAUGUCCAUAUGUGACAAUCUUGGCAAAGCUAUCGAUCAGCGGGAUACUUGCUCUGGCUUUGGAUGUUGCCAAACUAAAAUCCCCGGUGGGCUGCAAAAUCAGACUGUGACCUUGGGAAGUUUAGACAAUUAUACGGAUGUGCAGGACUCCCACCGAUGCAGCUACGCGUUCCUUGUGCAAGAAGGCGAGUUCAACUUUACCAGCACGAGUUUUCGAGAACUAAACGAAACAACCAAGCUUCCGGCAAUUAUUGAUUGGGUAAUUGGGAAUAAGUCAUGUGAUAUUGCAGCUAAAAACGAGAGCACUUUUGCAUGCAAGGCAAAUAGCUCCUGCCAUACUCGGUCUUCAGGCUACAUAUGCCGGUGCUGGUCAGGUUACGAAGGGAACCCAUACCUCCCAGGUGGUUGCCAAGGUAAAUAAAUCUAGACAGCAUUUGACCAUUUGAUUAUUAUCAUAAAAAAAAUUGCGUUCAUCAAUAUGUAUACGUGCAUGUAUGUAUGUAUGUAGGUCUACUUUUUUUUUAUUAUGGUUAAACAAAUAAAUUUCCAAUUUGCUCGACUUUUUUGCAUAUAUAAUGUAAUAGAAGCAGGAGUUAAAUCCCUUAAAUAGUGUGCUAGGAACCUCAAUCAAAAUAUUUAAAUAAACAAGGUUUUAAUAUAACAAUUAGGUUGACUAGAGACCAGAAUCAAAAUGACCCUUAUCAUUAAAAUAACAUGUAAGCUUAGCUGACGAUGCCAAAGUAGCCACCAAUUAGCCACGGAUUAUCAAAUCUGUGGGUUCAUGAACUGUCUCCUUCAGCAUUUUUUUAGUAGCAAGUUGUUAACAAAAAGUCUCAAAAGUGGGAAUUAAUUUUUACCUAUUGUUCAUGGAUUUAAUUCAUUCUCUUUCUGUUCAGAUAUUGAUGAGUGCAAGGCUCCAAACCCCUGCAGUAUGGGAACCUGCAUAAAUACACCGGGAAAUUAUACUUGCAAAUGUCCAAAAGGGUACAAAAAUGACGAUCCGGAUAAAAUAAGAUGCAUCAAGGCCAACAGUCGGGCAAAGCUCAGUCUCCUGCUUAUUAUCUCACUAGGUAUGCAUAUGUUAGUUUUAUUUUACUUUUUCUUUAGGCGCGUGUUUUUGCAUAUACAAUGGAUAUUGGGUGAAGGGAAAAGUUGAACUCGGGUCUUGUGUGCGAACUUAGUUACAAAUCUCUUACUUGGAUUGUUAGUUUAUUACUAGAAUCAGUGUCAAUUUAUCCAUGUUAUAGCAAUACCUCAUAACAAAUCGUCGGCAAACAAAAUCAGUUUUAAGUUUUUUGAAUUAAAAAAGCCAAAACACAUUUUCAGAGAGUCCAUUAGCCAGACAAAAUCAUAAUAGCCAACCACAGACAAAUCCAGAAAAACAUAGAAACAAAAUAGAAUCAUUUAAAUUUUGUAGGCUGUUAGUUUCUCAAGUAACCUAUACAUAUUCAUUCAAAUUAUGCAUGUAUUGGGGCGCUUUAAGCAGAAUGGUAGUGUAGUAUUCAAAAUUUAUUUUCAAAUGAUCACAAAUGAAUCUCCCACUAUUCUACUCAAAACUUAGUGAAAAUUGCAUUGUUUUUAUAAAAACAUUGAAAAACAUAUGAACUCAUGCCCAACUUUGAUUAAUCCAUAAUUAAUAGCUGACUAUUUCAAUACUAAAAGUUGAUAAGAGAACAUUGGAAAACAUAUGAACAUGCCCACCUAUUAUCAUAUCUGACAUUGCAGUUGAUUAAUCUCACAUAAAUCCACAUCAAAAGAACCCAGAAAUUUAAUGAAGAAUUUUCCAAAACCCACAAUUUAAACUAAAACCCACAAAUUUAAACGAAAAACUCUAUAAAAUCAUGAAAAAUUUAAUAAAAUCCAAGUAUAUUAAUCACAAAUUCGAUCAUACAAAUCUUCACAUCCAAUAAGUCUAGAAGGUACCUAGCUUCCUUGCAAAAUCGUAUCUCUACAGGCCAAGGCUCAAAUUUCCUUGCAGCUGCCUUGAUUCGAUAAGUCCUGAUUCAAGCAGUCACACACACACAUAUAUAUAUAUAUAUAUAUUUAAGUUGAUGGGUUCAACGGGCAUAUACACUUAUCAGAAAUUAUGAUACCGAUUGAACACGUUAGAGUAAUGUCCGUGAUUAAACAAUGAGCAUGAAAAUGACUAACCGGGUAACACAAACUGCUCAAAUUUGGGGGGCUUGAAUUUGAAGAACCCAGAUGGAAUUUACACACAAUCUGAAAAGAAUGAAAGCAACUGUAUUAUAUAGGAAGAGUUGUUACAAUCAAGAAAAUAUAAGAUAUUGCGUCGUUGCACUAUAUGAUCUCGGGAUCCAAACAAAAAAUAAGUAAACAGAGAGAGAACUAUUGGAAAGCAAUUACCUUUCAGAAUCUUCUCAGUUCUCUUCUAGAGCGAGGAGACAGAAGUUUUCUAAAACAAUCAAAACCUUGCUUUGUGUUAACUAAUGAAUGGUCUGAAUUGUGAAAAAAAAAAAUCGAAUUCAAAUCCUCCUUCAGCAACCUAAUAAUUAAGCCUAUAAAAAUUUAAAAACUCUAAAAUGAGAAGAAUAAUAAAACAAUGUGUAUUCAAAUCACAGGAAAUAAAUCAAAAUAUAAACCAUCAGAAACAAAGCUUCGAUCCAUUCAAACUCCAUAUUAAAUUUUGUUAUCAAAUAUAAGAAACUAUCAUGAAUCCCUGCACUUCAUUAUAUAAAAACCCAUCAUAAGAAACGCUGCUAUUUUGUCAACCGUGGACUGGAAGCAUACCAAAUCAUACACCCACAAUCAAAACCCAAAAAAAAAAAAAUGUUCAACAAAAAAUUCAAUACGAAAAACAAAAAUUAUAUACCUUGAUCACAAAGGGCUUGCACACAAAAACCCCAAUAUUCGAAGACCAACGUUUCCUGACAGAAAAAAUCAAACCAGAUCAGACAGCCACACGCAAAUCACCAAAAAAAUUUAAAUCAGGAACACUAAAAAAGCCGCAAAACUCACCAGAAAACGUUAGGUUAUGUGGGUUAAAAACGGAUUCCAAUCGAAUUCAAAAAGGCACGAAAAACUCACCAGGAAACCCUAGCUUUUUUGGGUAAAAAAGUUCCUUCAAAUCAACCUGAAAAACUGAAGAAGCAUUCUUGAGUUCAAUAAAAAUCGAAAUUUAAGCAAGCUUUCUGACCUGAAAAGGUUGGAUUAGAUCAGCCCAGAACAAAUUCUAUUCGGAUUAAAAAUGGGUAGAAGCUUCUAACCCCUUAUUGAUUUUCAAGAAAUCAACUUUGAUAACCAAUUCGCGAACAACAAAACAAGAGGCUGAUUAAUUUGAACAACCAAAAAGAUGAAGCGGUACGGGUAGAGAAAACAAAUCGGAGACGGAAGGAAGGAACUCCAUGUAUGCGCGAGAGGAAAGUGAAAAGCUAAAAGAAAGGUCCAGAACGACUAAAGCCAAACCGUGCACCGAUGACGGACAGGUGGAAUAAAAGGGCAUAACCGUCAUAAAACGCUGACAGAAAAAAUUUGGAGGGUAUUUUCCCCUGUUUGUGUGGUUAGGGUUAAGUCAUAUCAAUAUUUUAUAUUAAUUUUUUAAUAAAGAUAAUAAAAUAAAAAACAAUAAUAAUAUAAAAUAUUGACUUGGUUUAACCGUAACCACAUAAAUAGGAGAGGAUGGAAGUGUAUGGGAAGUGGAAGAGUAGAAAAUCCAUCUCCUUUUUGCCACUCCACUGUUAGUGAACAGUAACCAAGAGUUUGGGUUUUAGGGAGGAGGAUUCUCUCUCUCUCUCUCCCCCCCCCCAUCUCUUUCCCCUUUCCUCCCCUCCUAUUUGAACUGUCACGGUUAAGCCACGUCAACAUCUUAUAUUAACUAAUCUCUCUCCCCUUCCCUCCCCUCCUAUUUGAAUGGUCACGGUUAAGUCACGCCAACAUCUUAGUAUAAUAAGACAAAAAACAAUGUGUAAGAGGAGGAGAGGGAAGAUGAUGAGAAUAGGAUGGGAGAGAAUCCUAAUCCAGAUUUUAGUAUAGAAAUAAUUUACAUAUGUCACAUCAUACAGUCCUAGUCUAAAAUUCUAAACUUGCUAAUUUUCCUUUGAACAAUUGCACUCAAAUUUUACCCACUUUCAGAACCAAAACUUUCAAACAUAUAUCAGAAAUGCUCUUUGGAAGACAGGUUUUCAAAUCAAUAUUAUCAAGAAUGUAACAAUCGAAAAUGGUACGUACACUUUGUUAUUGACAUGAUAUUAAAACUGAUAUCGGCACAUUGUCAAUAACAUAUAUAUGAAGAGUUUGUCUUGCCCAAAGAAUGAUUAAUACUUACAUAUAUGUGGCUUAGAAAGAUCCAUGCAUGUACAUAAUGAUUAAAUAUUCUCAUUGUGUAGCAUAUGUCAUUUUUUGUUACAAAUUAUCACUUUGCUCUAAAACAAGAAAAGUACUCACCAGACGACAAAAACAAGAUUAAUACAUUGAUGAUUUGCUAUGUAUAAUUUCUUGUAAUUCAUGUAAUCAUCUUUGCAGGUGCCAGUGGAGGCUUCUUGCUUUUACUAAGUGGAUCUUGGAUAUAUUGGGGAAUGCAGAGAAGAAAGUUCCUCAAACUCAAAGAAAAAUACUUUAAAGAAAAUGGUGGCUUAUUGUUACAACAAAAAAUCGCUAGUCAAGGAGGCUCUAUGGAGACAACAAAAAUUUUCACGGCAGAAGAACUUGAGAAGGCAACAAACAAUUACCAUGAAAGUGGAAUCCUUGGUGAAGGAGGCUAUGGAAUAGUUUACAAAGGAAUAUUAGCAGCAAAUAACAAUAAAGUGGUUGCCAUAAAAAAGUCUAAAAUUUGUGUCCUAACGCAGAAGGAGCAGUUUGUCAACGAGUUGCUUGUUCUUUCUCAAAUCAACCAUAGAAAUGUGGUGAGGUUAUUGGGUUGUUGUUUGGAGUUAGAAGUUCCUCUACUAGUUUACGAGUUUGUCGCUCACGGCACUCUCUUUGAGCACAUACAUGGCAAAAAGAGGAAAGGAUCAUCAUUUUCAUUGGAAUUACGACUCAAGAUAGCAGCUGAAAUUGCUGGAGCACUAGCAUACUUACACUCCUCAGCUAUGAUGCAAAUCAUACAUCGAGAUGUGAAACUGACAAAUAUACUGUUAGAUGAAAAUUACACGGCAAAAGUGUCAGACUUUGGAGCUUCACGAUUGAUUCCUCUUGAUCAAGCCCAACUUGCAACUUUAGUGCAAGGAAUAGUCGGAUACUUAGACCCUGAAUACUUCCUCACGAGUCAACUAACAGAUAAGAGUGACGUCUAUAGCUUUGGAGUUGUCCUUAUGGAGCUACUAACAAGUAAACUGGCACUUGAUUCUGACAGGCCUGGGGCAGAUAGAAGCCUAGCAAGGUUCUUUGUUUGUUUAAUGGAGGAGGAUCGCCUGAAUGAAAUUCUCGAUGAUGACAUGCUCAACGAGAGAAACAUCGAGACACUAAAAACAGUGGCCAAUCUAGCAAAAAGAUGUGUAAGGGUAAAAGGGAAGGACAGGCCAACAAUGAAAGAAGUUGCCAUGGAGCUGGAAGGGAUGAGAAUUACAGAAAAGCAUCCAUGGGGAAAAGCUGAAACUUGUUCAAAAGAGAUUGAGUGCUUACUUGGGCCAGGUAACUCAGAUGCUUAUCAUAUGGAUGUUAGAGCUGAUUGUGGUCCUAGUACUGGUACAACUAUUGGGUAUGACAGCAUGCAUAUCCAGUUUACUCCAUAUGAUGAUGGACGAUAAUUCAUUGCAUGAAAUAAUCAACUCAACAAUGUUUAUCAUUCUAGCCAUAGUGAAGGAUGUACCAACAUCAAGUAGAAGCCGCUGCUAGUUGGAAAUAACUCAACAUCUAUAUACAACGUUCUAAAGUUUAAGUAUGUUUUAUCACAGUCGUCAGUGUGAUCACAUUUGCCAUAGCGGAUGUGCUUCCUCUAUACACUCGAGUUUGAAUUUUUCUUUUGUUGUAGUUUAGAUUUAGUUGAAAGUAAAGUAUCGCUUGUAUAAAAUAAAAUCUCUUUUUCAUCAUUUUGAAAACGUUUUUAUUUAGGGUAUGUAUCAGAACAUUAGGUGGUGGAGAUCCCAACCUUGCAUGUAAGAAGUGGCCCAACACCACAAACUAUAGCUAAUUUCUUCUUCAAAAUAAGUAUGAGUUUGGAAGAUCCUGAGUUAUGUGUACUAGCCUCCCCUAUUUAAUUAGUGUGUAUGAUUAUUAAUUGUUAAUAUGUUAGUGAGAAAUAUUUCAUAAAUAAGGUUGUAGAAAGAAAAAAAAUCCCCUUAUAUUAUAUAUAUACUAAAACUUAAGCAAAAAGCACUAUUCACCAGUAGUGAACCGCCGAAAAUGUCCUUGGAUUCCCUUGUUACUAGCCAUUUUUUCCAACUUGGCACAGCAAAAAGACGCAUUUGCCCUCAUUCGUGUGCUUUUUGGUUCCAUCCUCUUAUACACGUGUUGCUCACCGUUCCCCUUUUAGGCUACCAAAAACUUUGAUUGUUCCUAAAAAUAAUUUUCAAAUAACAUCACUUAAAAACAAUUUUCUUUUAAAUCUCAAAAUUUCAAAAAUUUGUUUGGUUGAGUUUUUAAAAAUAAAUUUUUUAGUUUGAAUUCAAACUACUUUGAGCAAAAAUUGAAGAAGAGAGACAAUUGGGAAAGAGGAGAGAGGAAAUAGUUGGCGAGGAGGUGAGGGAGAGAGCAAAAAAUUACGGUGAGAAGAUGAGGAGUGAGAAGAAAGAGAGGGUGAUGAGACAAAGGCUGAGGAGAGAAAGAAGACAUGUGUGACGUGAGGAGAGAGGAAAGAGAGGGUUAGGAGAGAAAAAAAGAAAGAAUUAGGAGAGAGGGGGAAAAAAAGAUGUUGAGAAGAAAGCAGAAAAAACUCUAAAAAUUCACUUGGUGUAUUCAAUUGAGAAUUUGAGAGACUUUAAUAAAUUUAUAAAUUCAUGGAUUUUUAUAGAGUUUAAUUGAUUUGUAGAGAUUUCAUAUAAAAUUUAGAUUCAAUUCCCUUGAAAUCUCAUGAGAAGAUGGGAGAUUUGUGGAUGCUUAAAAUACACUACGAAAUCUCUCAAAUUCCCUUUAAUUCCUCAACUUUCUCAAAUUCUUUAAAAUUAAUUUUUAAUUUAAUACACCUGGAAUGUUAUAAACUUCUUUAAAAUCCUAAUUGAAUACAGCCGAAUUUCCAAUGAUUUUAAUAAAAUAUCUUAAAAUUAUAAUUGACUACACCUUGAAUUUCAUAUAAUCACUUAAAAUCUUGAUUGAAUACCCCUAGAUUCAUUAAAAGAAUUAAAAUCCCUCAAAAUCCCAAUUGAAUACACCCCAUGUGUUUUUAAGAAAUUGAUAUGUUUUUAAGUUAGUUUUGAAUCCAAUUUAAAAAAAAAAGGUCAUACCAAACAAGAAUUCAACUCCUAAAACUCAUAAAGUGUUUUUCAGUUAAAAAAGUUGAACUCAAGUAGAAUACCAAACAAGCCCUUAAUUGUUUUGAUUUCUUUUGAAUUUGGCUUUUAUUUUAUUUUCAAGCUUUGAGCCUUUGAAAUUGUUUCUAAUUUCUCCAUUAGUAAACUAAGGAUGAAAUUUAUUCUUUCUUAACAUUAUUUGACUGCAGAUUCUAGGUUCCAACCUCCAGUUACGCAACAUACUUGAUUCCAAUUCUUAGUAAGGGAGAUGAUGCAAAACCCAGAAUUUCUUCGUCAGUUGGCUUCUCCCGAGACUAUGCUGGUAUAUUUAUUUAGGAUGCCUAAGGUUUUGAGUUUUGAUGUUUGUGUUUGACUAAUUGAGCAUUGAUAUAGCCGUCAUAUAUGACACCGCUAAGAUUCUCAAUUCUUAGUCAUUCAUAUUUACAAUUUGAUUUGUGGUCUUUUGACCUCUCUACUGCCUUACCAAGCACAGCUCGACAAUCCCCAGCAUUAGCAACUAUCAGGGUCCUGCAAAAAGUACAAAGUAUGUAUGACUAAGACAUGAAACCUAAUUAAGAUUCACAAAUUCUAAAUACUUUGUAUUUAGAAAGCAAUUCCAGGCAAACUCAAUGCUCAUCAUUCAUUUUCUGUCUCUUUCAUAAUUUAACUUUUGCUUCUUAUUGCCUUUGUUUUUUCUUUUCUAUCUUACCGAUGCUCUUAACUUUGCAGCAAUCACUUCUGUCUCAACUUGGUCGGCAACAGUAACAGUCAGCCCAGUAAGAAGUGACAUAAUUUUUUCUUUGAUAUGUCUGAUAGAAAUAGCCUGAAUUAUUUCUCCCUUAGAUCCCUGCGGAAUCCAUAUUGAUCACUAUGGAUUAAUUAUGCAACUCGAUUGAAGUUUGAAGGUAAUUUCAUAAUGUUAAAAGCCUUUAAAUGGAUGAUAAAAUAUUGUUAAACUCCUCAAACUUUAUUCGAGCUCUACUUUCAAUUUAAUUUCAUAUCAGUGAGAGAAUAUAAUUUUACUUGAAAGCUUGGAAAAAACUAAUAAUUUUUGGUAAAAUGUCUUUACGUCAUAGACAAGCAAACAUUAUCAAAACUAUGUGUUUGAGUUGCAAAGAUAUGUGUGCAAAAGAAUAGGUGACCUCUGUAUUCUAUAUUUCUAACAUUUUUUUUUCCAAAAUCCAUGAUGAGCAAUUUAUGUUUCUCUUUCUUUUAACAUUUUUUCCUUCAAUUUUGCUGGCUUAAUAAUUUGACUGACACCUACUUUUCAGAAUUAGAAUAGAAUAUGGUUAUAAUUUUAUGCAAUUGUGGGGUAAUUGGCAAACCUUGAGUCCCUUUUAUGCGUGUUUGAAGGAACAAACAGAGUUUGUAAACCCCUACCUUGCUCAUACAUGUUUUACUCUUUUAUUGUCGUCUAAUUUAUUUUCCUGUUUUGGUUUAGGCUUUUAGUUUUGUUAAUCUGGUAAGAAUUACGUUUUGUCUGAUAGCUUGGAUUUAGAAUUUGACUAGGAAAUAAGCCCGCACGUUGUUGCGGGAACCAACUGUUUCAGGUGUAGCUGCAUGAAGAAGACAUAUUUCAAGCGUAACUGCAUGAAUAAGACACAAAGUCAGUAAGUAAAGCUCAUAUUCUUAACAGUGUUAUUUUAACAACAAUUUUGAGUCUUACUGCAUUUUAUGUCCAAUAGGAAUUUAAUUGUCUUUCUAUACCAUGGAGUGGUGCCAAAAGAUUAUUUUAUGGAGUUAUUGAUGAAAGAUCUGGAAAAUACUCAGUGGUGUUUUUUGCAACAGGCGUGCAGCAGCCAAAAGUAAGGUUAUAUUUCUAUCUAUUUAAAUGGCUGCCAUAUUGUUGUUUUUAUACAUGUCUACAUUUCUUUUCACUAUUUCUAGUUCCUUGAUGGGUUUCGUUCCUUCAUGUUCUGUAUUUCCAAUUGCCUUAAGCUACGGCGGGAUGGAUGAUGAUUACAACACGUUUAAGUUGAUGUCUUCUCAUAUUCGUGUAGAAGAAUAAUAUUUGCAACAUCGUUUGUCAUUCUUGAAGAAAGAGGAAAAUAUUAGUUUUAAAAAAGGGAAAAUUUCUAGUGCUCAGAGUUAUAUGUUGAUGGGAACCACUGAUCCAACAGGGACUCUAGAAAAGAAUAAAGUUUGUGUUCUUCUGUAUGUACAAUUUCUGCCAUUUUUUUAAUCCCUCCUGUUACACAAUUAGUAGGAUGAAACUGAAUGUUCAAGUACUUGUUUAAGUAGCUAACUUCCGAAGCACAAAUGUUCAAAGCAAAAAAUAUGCAAAAAGGUUGUUCCCAUAAGAAACUGAAGAAACAAAAACAACAACAUGCAGUUAACACUUUGUUUGCUUUUGCAGUUAAGAUGGUUAAAUAUAUGUGUUGCAAGCUAGCCAAUUGUUUUAGCAUUAAGAAAAAACAUUUCCGAAGCACAAAUGUUAAAAGAAAAAAAAAAUGCAAAAGGAUUGUUCCCAUAAGAAACUGAAGAAACAAAAGCAAUAUGUAGUUGACAGUUCCGCAGUUAAGAUGGUUAAAUAUAUGUCUUGCAAGCUAGCCACUUGUUUAGCACUAACAAAAAACAUUAAAAAGUGUUUCGUUCUUGUUCCAGCACCUAAGUUUUUAAGCACAAAUUUUCAACGCAAAAAACAUGUAGCACAUCCUGUAGCACUCGAUGACGAAGAUUGUGGGUGUUCACUUUUUCUGAGAUCGGACAUCUUCCACACUAUAGCAAAAAAACAUAAAUAAUCAUUUAACAGACACUGCCAUCAUUGAUAUUGUGUAGAUGUGGGUGUGAAAAACAAAUUAUAAUUUACCUAUCUUUGGUUUUUUUGGCCUGAGUUUUUAUCUUGAGUGCGGCUAUCGGCACUUUGUCGGCGGGUUCAAUUUUGGGGACAACCAGAUUGUGGAAUUCUCUAGCAAUUCUUGUAGAAUUGGUUGUGUCUGUUUGCUGGGGGCAAGGUUUUUUGCUGUUAACGAAGGUAAAUUUUAUAAGGUUAAAGAGAAACAUGAUAGCCAUGGAGAAGAGUGCGAAAGAGUGGUGCAAAAAGUUUUGUAAACAGUUUUUCAUGAUUGACUAAAUUUACACUGAAGAUAAGCAAGUAUAGUUAUUAAGAUUGACACAUGACAACAUUUAUCGUCAGGAAAACUUUACCUGUCAGGUUUGUUCGUUUGAUCAGGGAACAAUACUCUCUUUGAAGUUAUGGCGGGUGCAACUGAUUUGGGUUGUUGAUCUGGUUGUUGGGAAAGUGUCAAUGGGGCGGGGGUUGCUUGACUGGUAAUUUGUUUGCCUACACUGGUAGCGGGUGUUUGUGGUAUGACUGAGGCAAUCGUUGGGUUGGAGAGCGGUUGGUCUUCAACCAGUCCAUUAACGAUGAAGUCUGUUUUUGCAAAGUCGCUGUUUUUCUUUCCAAAAGAUAGUUGAAAGGUUUUUGACUUGCCGACCAAAUUGUUAAGAAUUGGCGGCACCACGAAAGGGUCCUCGUGUCCGUUCUCUAUCACCAAAGUGUAGCAAGAAAUGCCAAGCCUCUUUUCGGCUUGCCUUCCUAUCAUGAGGAAGUUGUGUUGGUUCGUGUUAUCUUCGACAAUCAGAUUGAUCUUGAACCUGUGCAAGAGGAGGAUAUUUUGUGUUAGACAAUCAUACAUUCUAAGCGAAAGUUGGUAACCAAAAUGGAGAGGUCCUACAAUAUCCAUUUCGUCACUGAACUUAUUGAAUUCAACAUACCAGUUAACUUUAAACUAAAGAAAGUGUGCUACAAUAUUUAAAAGCGGUCAUAUGACAAUAGCUAAGAAAACAGCCAUUCCUCCUAAGCGAUGUAAAUUUUAUUGACUUAUUACAUCAAAGCAGCAUUCACGUAUCAUCAUUAUGGUUGUUUUGGAAACUCUUAAGUUUCUUCUUUAAAGGUGGGAAAAAGACUAUAGGUGUAGACUAUCCUAAACACAUUAUAGCAGGAAUAUUUACGAUAAUGUCACUAAUACACUCCCAAGGGUCAAACAGUAGUCAAAGUAUAAUGGAGAUGGAGACCACUGUAAAUUUAUUUGUAUGCACGCAUUUUAGAUCAUGAAUCAAAGACCAACAUAUGCAUGAGAGUGAAUGCAAAAAUAUAUGCUGGCUGAAGAAAGCUGUGUGCUCGUCACAUGUUCUACCUUCUUGUCGCAUAAAAUAUCGUAGAUAUAAAAGCAUUAUUAUGUGUGAAUUUGAUAAUCAUAAGAAUUUCAAAAAGGACUCAACAACUUAAUAUAACCGUUAGACGUAAAAUAGAUGCAAAAGAUUAUUACCAUGGCUCGGGUAAUUUGUUUAUCAAACCAUGUUCGUUGCACUGAAAUGAUCCACACAUCUUCUUACAACUUUAUGACAGGAUGGGCAAGAGUUGUACCACCAACCUCUGGCCAAAUCGAAGUCAACAACAGUCGCUUUGCAUGUGAAACUUGCAUUCUGUUAUUGAAACAUAGGUUUUAAAAUGAUCAUCGACAUUUAAUCAUCACCUUGGAAACAUGGUGUAUAAACGAAUACACACUCUGUCAUACUUUUAAUAUCUUGGUUAUUGGAAGUUAUCAACAACAUAUUUGUGGACUGCUUGUUCACUUUGAUUGUUUCUCCUAUUCAUGUUAGUUAUUAUUCUAAAGCCUAUGUUUACAUUAAUAUUAAGCGUGAUAACCAUAAAGAAAAGGUAUCUAAUAGCUUAAUGAACUUUACAUGUUGCAUUUGACUUUUCUUUUGAGAUGUCUUAGGGGUAUCAUAUCUUCAUUAAUCAUUUAAGCAUCGCCUUGGAAACAUGGAGUAAAAACGAAUAGGCGCUCUGUCAUACUUUUAAUAUCCUGGGUAUUGCAGGUUGGCAACAGCAUAUUGGUCGACUGCUUGUUCAGUUUGAUUGUACUUCCCAUUCAUGUUAGUUAUUAUUCUAAAGCCUAUGCUUACAUAAAUAUUAAGCAUAAUAACCAUAAAGAAAAGGCAUCUAAUAGCUUAAUGAAUUUUACAUCUUAUAUUUGACUUUCCUUUUGAGAUAUCUUAGGGAUAUCAUAUCUUCAUUGAUCUUGAUAUUAAAUAAUUGAUUUCAUUCCGGGGCAUUAUAAUUAUUGGUGCCUUUUUUUUUGUAACAGUUUGAAUUUUUUUUAACAGGUUGGUAAUGAGAGACUAACCUUGUGCAACGUAGGAUCAAGUAAAAGCAACUCGUCUAUCGUUUUUGGUUCAGAAUCAGCACCAAUAACAUGCCCCGUAUACAUGUCAGUUAAGCUGGGCAAGAUCCGAAUAGGUGAUUUUAGAUGCUCAAACCUAUUUUUUGCAUGUUUUGGGUGAGAAAGAUUAAACUAAGAAAUAUAAAUGUAAAAGUUCUUAAAGAAGGGUUGUUUAUUUACCUGCGCUUGUAUUCAGAGAGUUGUGGAAUGUCCGGAUUGAAAAUAUAAAUGGUUGAUCCUGUGCUUCCAAGAACAGGCUUUCCUAUAAAUAAAAAGAGAAUAAUGAACAAAUUUAAACUUUAAGCAGUUUAAUAAAGCAUGUCGAGGUAUGACCUUGGUAUUGUUUAGCUUUGAGGCCUGUCAAAGCAACAAACACGGGUGGCAAUAACGAUUGUAUUCCACUGUCCUCAAAAUUUGUCGCAGUCUCUCCCCAUAAGGUGAUUCUCACUGUUUCACCCCUGUAAAUAAUUAAGAAGGUGUCAGUCAGUUAUACGUUACGCCUACGGUGUCAUAUGUGAAAAUUGUAAUCAAAGUUUAACGCAUAUAGAAAUUACCUGAUAUUUUGGAGGUUAAGAUUUCUCUUCUUUGCAAUUCUUGUGCGUUGGAUGGUUACCUCUUCAAUCGGCUGCACAGCCUUCAAGCAACCAAAUAUAUCUAUAGACGAUGUUCAUUAGCGAGAAUGAGUGUGCACCAAAGCCAACAAAAAAAUUUAAAUGAUUCUUAAAAAAAAAAAAAAGGCCUAUUAGCUCAGCUGGUUAGAGCGUCGUGCUAAUAACGCGAAGGUCGCAGGUUCGAGACCUGCAUGGGCCAUUUCUCCCCUUUUCAAAAGAGUGAGAAAAAAGAACAAGACUUGGAAGUGCCCAAGGACUAGAUGGUGGAAUCUAAAAGAAGAAAAACAAGCCAUUUUCAAAGAGAAAAUAAUCACUCAGUGUGUGUGGGAUAGAGAGGGGGAAGCUAACCAAAUGUGGGAUUCCAUGGCUAGUUGUAUCCGAAAAGUAGCAAAAGAGGUAUUAGGAGAGUCCAAGGGCUUUGCCCCACACCAAAAGGAAUCUUGGUGGUGGAAUGAGGAGGUACAAACAAAGGUGAAGGCUAAGAAGGAAUGUUGUAAAGCCUUAUACAAGGAUAGGACCGAUGAAAAUGGUGAAAGGUAUAGAAAAGCGAAGCAAGAGGCGAAGAAAGCUGUGAGAGAAGCUAAGUUAGCGGCUUAUGACGAUAUGUAUAAACGACUAGAUACCAAAGAAGGAGAGUUGGAUAUCUAUAAACUAGCUAGAGCAAGGGAAAAGAAGACAAGAGACCUAAACCAAGUGAGGUGCAUCAAGGAUGAGGAUGGAAAGGUUCUUGCUACAGAGAACGCGGUUAAAGACAGAUGGAAAGGUUAUUUUCAUAAUCUUUUCAAUGAAGGACAUGAAAUGAGUGCUUCUUUAGGGGAGUUGAGUAACUCAGAAGAGUGUAGAAACUACUCUUUUUUAUCGUAGAAUCCGGAAGGAAGAAGUGGUUGUAGCUUUGAAGAAGAUGAAGCAUAGAAAAAACAGUAGGCCCAGACGAUAUACCAAUCGAAGUGUGGAAAGUUUUGGGAGAGACAGGUAUAACAUGGCUCACUGACCUUUUCAAUAGGAUUUUGAAAACGAAGAAGAUGCCAAAUGAGUGGCGAACGAGCACUUUGGUGCCUAUCUACAAGAAUAAGGGUGAUGUACAAAAUUGCAUGAACUAUAGGGGUAUUAAGCUAAUGAGUCAUACAAUGAAGCUCUGGGAGAGAGUCAUUGAGCAUAGAUUGAGGCAAGAGACACGGGUUUCGGACAACCAAUUCGGGUUCAUGCCAGGGCGCUCAACCAUGGAGGCAAUCUAUCUCUUACGAAGAUUGAUGGAAAGAUAUAGAGAUGGGAAAAAGGAUUUACACAUGGUCUUUAUAGAUUUGGAAAAAAAGCGUAUGAUAGGGUCCCAAGAGACAUUCUUUGGAGGAUUUUAGAGAAGAAAGGAGUACGAGUAGCAUAUAUCCAAGCUAUACAGGAUAUGUAUGAAGGAGCAAAGACUGCCGUAAGAACUCAUGAAGGACAAACCGAAAGCUUUCCCAUAACUGUAGGAUUACAUCAAGGCUCAUCCUUAAGUCCUUACCUUUUUGCGUUGGCAAUGGAUGAGUUAACAGGACAUAUUCAAGAUGAUAUUCCUUGGUGUAUGCUUUUCGCAGACGAUAUAGUGUUGAUAGAUGAAACUCAAGAAGGGGUAAAUGCAAAGCUUAACCUUUGGAGAUAAGUGUUGGAAUCUAAAGGUCUUCGCCUAAGCCGAUCAAAGAUAGAAUAUAUGGAGUGAAAGUUCAGUGCAAAUGGAGGCCAAAACGAGUUAGGGGUGAGGAUCGGAGAUCAAGAAAUACCAAAGAGCGACCGUUUUCGUUACCUAGGAUCUAUCUUGCAAAAGAACGGAGAAUUAGAUGGAGAUCUCAACCAUAGAAUACAAGCUGGAUGGAUGAAGUGGAAGAGUGCAUCCGGCGUGUUGUGUGACCGCCGUAUGCCACUGAAGCUCAAGGAAAAAUUUUAUAGGACACAAUAAGGCCGGCGAUGCUGUAUGGCACAGAAUGUUGGGCGGUGAAGCAUCAACACGUACACAAAAUGGGUGUAGCGGAGAUGAGGAUGCUUCGUUGGAUGUGUGGGCACACGAGAAAGGAUAAGAUUAGGAAUGAGGAUAUCCGGGGUAAAGUAGGAGUAGCCGAAAUUGAAGGAAAGAUGAGAGAAAAUCGGUUACGGUGGUUUGGACAUGUGCAAAGAAGGCCUACUGACGCUCCGAUUCGAAGAUUCGAUUAUGGGACAGAGGUUCAGGGCCGAAGGGGUAGAGGAAGACCCAGGAAAACUUUGAGAGAUACCCUAAGAAAAGACUUAGAGUACUUGGAUCUAACGGAGGACAUGACACAGGACAGAACACAAUGGCGUUCUAAGAUUCAUAUAGCCGAUCCCACUCAGUGACUUGGAUUUUCCAAGUCUCCAACCGAGAAGUUGUCCUCGCUCGGGAAAUUAAGGGAACACUACCUCAACCUACAUGCUCCACUCACAAAGCUCCAACAUAUAAGCUUCAACAAAAGAAAAUUCAAAGAACUUAGCGAAUAAGGCUUUGGUGAUUUAACACAAUACGUUGAAAUGAAGGAAAGCUUAUUUAUUGAUAUCCCCGAUAAAUUACAAAUAUGUACAUAUACUUGAGUCAAAAUAAACAAACAAGAGGGAGCCUUCACAAAGGUUGCUUAGGAGAAGUCUCGGCAGUCGGUAGAGCCCCAGAAAGAGAAGGCACCGGAGGGGGAUCAUUCGGAGCCUCAGUACUGGACAGAACCCUAGAAGGAGGAGGCAUCAGAGGUUGAUCAUUUGGAGCUUCAUUACGCGGUACAGCCCCAGAAGACGAAGGCAAUAAAUGCCUUUGGAACAAACCCACAAAUCUCUGAUGAUCAAGUAAAACCUGACCAUCAGAUUCCUUCAUCUGGUCAAGCUUCCUCUUCAUGUUUGUAGCAUAGUCAUGUGCGAGCCGGUGCAACUGUUUAUUCUUAUGCUUGAGCCCUCUAAUCUCCUGUUUGAGACUCAUCACUUCAGCCACCAAUGAUUCAACUUGGCGGGUUCGAGCAAAUAGGCGUUGGGCCAUAUUAGACACAGAACCUGCACACUGAACACUAAGAGCCAGAGAAUCCUUAACAGCCAACUCAUUAGACCGUUUGGAAAGUAGUCUGUUAUUUUUGGGAGUGAGAAGGUUCCUGGCCACUACCGCAGCGGUCAUAUCAUUCUUCAUCACGGAAUCCCCAACGGUAAGAGGACCAGUAGGGGAGACGAAGGAUGGGCGCCAUAUGUUGUCUGGAGAAGGCGGGGCUGCCUCUUCAACAAGGUUCAAGUCAAAACGACGGUCGGAAGGGCCAGACAUUUUCAAAUGUGUAGAAGAGAGAAGAGGUCGGACAAAUCAAGAUCUUAGAAGUGCAAGAAUGGAGCUUCUACUGGUGGAUAUUCAAGUGUGCUUUGGAACUUAAUGUCAGCCUCUGUAAAAAUCUGCACUCGACGAAGCUUCAGAAAUCGAAGAGGCGUUUGCUUUCUCAAAAGCUGGGCUGCUCAGAGACCACGAGGGUCGAUCUCAGAAAUCGAAGAGGCAUUUGCUUUCUCAAAAGCUGGGCUACUCAAAGACCAUGAAGGCCGAUCUCAGAAAUCGAAGAGGUUUGCUUUCUCAAAAGCUGGGCUGCUCAGAGACCACGAGGGCCGAUCUCAGAAAUCGAAAAGGUUUGCUUUCUCAAAAGCUGGGCUGCUCAGAGACCACGAGGGCCGAUCUCAGAAAUCGAAGAGGCACCUACUUUUCCAGCCUUGUCAGCACCUGUCACAUGCACACUCAGCUUUGCGGAAAUUAUGGGCAUUCUGUCGAAGAUUUCUGGCGAAGUAGAAAGCACAUGAAUCGUACUGUUCAAUCACCCAUUUCCCACACGCAACAGUAGCUCAUGGGUACCACAUAUAACUUUGCCAAAGUUCUCUGACAAAGUUGAGACUACUUUUCCAGCCUUGUCAGCACCUGUCACACGCACACUCAGCUUUGCGGAAAUUAUGAGCAUUCUGUCGAAGAUUUCUGGCGAAGUAGAAAGCACAUGAAUCGUACUGUUCAAUCACCCACUUCCCACACGCAACAGUAGCUCAUGGGUACCAUAUAUAACUUUGCCAAAGUUCUCUGACAAAGUCGAGACACGUGAAGCUUGCAACUCUCACUACAUCGCUCUGACCAAGAAGGGUAAAAGAAUAGCAAAGAAACAACACUAACAAAGUUUAGACACAUAAAUUUUGAAGGCCUAGCUACCAUAUUAUUACCCACAAGGGUAAAGGAACAGUACCACUGCUGGAUAAUUGGAAAGUCCCGGUGUGUCAACCUUUGUGCUUCAUGGCAAGGUAGACUAGCAAACAUGCCCAACCUUUACUCACAUUCGAGAAAACACUCCCAACAAGAUUGCUUGCCCCAAAAUCGAAGAGGCAUCGCCCUCCGAAUCUCAAGAGCCAGACUCCCAACAUGAUUACUUUCUAAAAAAUCGAAGAGAGGGUAAAGGAACAGUACCACUGCUGGAUAAUUUGAAAGUCCCUCUGUGUCAACCUCUGUGCUUCGUGGCAAGGUAGACUAGCAAACAUGCCCAACCUUUACUCACAUUCGAGAAAACACCCCCAACAAGAUUGCUUGCUCCAAAAUCGAAGAGGCACCGCCCUCCGAAUCUCGAGAGCCAGACUCCUAACAUGAUUACUUUCUCAAAAAUCGAAGAGAGGGUAAAGGAACAGUACCACUGCUGGAUAAUUGGAAAGUCCCUGUGUGUCAACCUCUGUGCUUCGUGGCAAGGUAGACUAGCAAACAUGCCCAACCUUUACUCAUAUUCGAGAAAACACUCCCAACAAGAUUGCUUGCUCCAAAAUCGAAGAGGCACCGCCCUCCGAAUCUCGAGAGCCAGACUCCCAACAUGAUUACUUUCUCAAAAAUCGAAGACACCGCUAUCCGAAUCUCGAGAGCCAGACCCCCAACAUGAUUGCUUUCUCAAAAAUCGAAGAGGCAUCGUUCUCCGAAUCUCGAGAGCCAGAUCCCCGACAGGAUUGCUUGUUCGAAAACCGAAGAGGCACCACUUUCCCAACUUCAAGAGCCGGAUCUCCUUGGAUAAAGCUUGUCUGUAAUCUUCACACGCAACAUCAGCUUUCCAGAUACCACAGACCACUUUUUCAAAGUGCUCUGACAGAGUUAAAACUUGUGAAGCUGGCAGCUCUCACUACCGUGCUAUGACCAAGCAGGGUAAAGGAAUAGCAUUAUUACUUGAUGUUAGGGAGACUCCUAUAUAUAUCGACCUCCAUCCCCAACGGACAGGCAGACCUGUAAAAAUGCUCAACCCUUCCUCUUAUCUGAGAGGGCACUCCCAACGAAGCCUUUCGAAAUAUUCAGCUUUCUUUCCCCCCGAUAAUACCUCUGUAAACAAGCUAUACUAGAGCAAGAAUAUCUCAUAUCAUCAGGGUUAAAAGCAAGAGUAUCCCAUAUCAUGCUUUUUCCCUGUCUUUUCCUUUGGCCUUGUUCUUACCUGCAAGACAAGGAAAAAGAGAGCAAUCAGUCAGCACUUGGAAUCAAGCUUCCAGCCAGGAACUGACUGCCUAGAACCCCUUACCCUGGCAUUGCUCUCGAGUACUCAUCUUCAACAUCUUAUGCUUCCGGGAAGAUACCGCAUCUUCCUGAGGAACAGAUAGGGCAAGUGAGAAGGAUACAAGGAAGCAUGUGGAGACAAGCGUAACAGCACACGUGCCGAUACAUCCACUACUCUGUCAAAAGCAAAAGUAUCCCAUAUCAGCAGGGUCGAACGUACUCUAGAUUUGAUGGACUUGUUUUGACCCUCAAAUUCUUCAGUCGGCCUUAUACUUUGGAGGAAACCAGAAAACCCUCCAGCCCAGUUCAAGAAUAAGCCUGUGGAAAGUUACUUCUUCAAAAGCAAAAGUAUCCCAUAUCAUCUCUUCUCAUUUUUCUUCUCUUUAUCCUUCAUGCUGCUUGCAAGAUAGGGAGAAUGUGAACAAUCAGCCGGAGCUCUGAUUGCUUACCUUGUCUGUUACCUCUUUCAGCAGAUCCCCUAGCUCGGCGACUUGGGGGACUCCUACUACAUGGUUUGUAUCGCGCUUGACCAAGCCUGAAACUACAAGUAAGCUUCAAGUGACAUUGAUACAUUACCUUGUGCAUCUCCACCAGUUACAGAUACCACCCCUGGAUGGAGGAAGAGUACUUCCAGAGAAGAUUCCACAUCUACCUAUGAGACAGAUAAGGAAAGUCAAGACGAUACCACACUCCAGUACUUAGAAGUUUCGUGGUUACGAGAUCAUUCUCCCACAAUAUUUCCUAAUGUCAUUUGUACUAAAUCAUUCACUUGUACUCCCUAAAGGAGAGCUUGAACCUAUGUACUUGUGUAAACCCUUCACAAUUAAUGAGAACUCCUUUAUUCCGUGGACGUAGCCAAUCUGGGUGAACCACGUACAUCUUGUGUUUGCUUUCCUAUCUCUAUCCAUUUAUAUACUUAUCCACACUAAUGACCGGAGCAAUCUAGCGAAGAUCACAAAAAGUGACCGUUUUCGCUACCUAGGAUCUAUCUUGCAAGAGAACGGAGAAUUAGAUGGAGAUCUCAACCAUAGAAUACAAGCUGGAUGGAUGAAGUGUAAGAGUGUAUCCGGUGUGUUGUGUGAUCGUCGUAGGCCACUGAAGCUCAAGGGAAAAUUUUAUAGGACGGCAAUAAGGCCAACGAUGUUGUAUGGCACAGAAUCUUGGGCGGUGAAGCAUCAACACGUACACAAAAUGGGUGUAGCGGAGAUGAGGAUGCUUCGUGGGAUGUAUGGGCACACGAGAAAGGAUAAGAUUGGGAAUGAAGAUAUCCAAGGUAAAGUAGGAGUAGCCAAAAUUGAAGGAAAUAUGAAAGAAAAUCGGUUCUGGUGGUUUGGACAUGUGCAAAGAAGGCCUACUGACGCUCCGGUUCGAAAAUGUGACUACGGGACAGAAGUUCAGGGCCGAAGGGGUAGAGGAAGACCUAGGAAAACUUUGGAAGAGACCCUAAGAAAAGACUUGAUUACUUGGAUCUAACGGAGGACAUGACACAAAACCGAGCGCAAUGGCGUUCUAGGAUUCAUAUAGCCGACCCCACUUAGUGGGAAAAGGCUUUGUUGUUGUUGUUGUUGUUGUUGAUAUUUUGGAGUGGCGCUUAAGAGUAAAUUUGUUACCUGUAAGUUCAACAUCCCUAUCGAUUCUUUCGUAAAGCUGCUCAAGCUCAAUCAAAUUGAACCAAUGCAUCGGGAUUUCCUGGCUUGUUUUGUCAAUAGGAACGAUUGUGGUUUUGCUGUUCAAUUCAAUUAUGGCAGCAUGAGGGACAACCUUGUUUGAUGUCCUGUUGUGAACAACACGAAAUUUGUUGAUUUCGUAUGCUUCACCAACCCUUAGAUGGUUAAAAAAAUAUUGCAUGUCUCGACUGUUAAUGGUUGCAUGAACCGCAUCCCCCUUUUAGAAGAAGAAAAAUAAAAUCAGAUAGUAUACUAAUUGAGCAGGAGAACAUUUAACGCAAAAGGUUAUGGAACCACGUAAGAAGUAAGCGAAGCAUAGUGGUUCCUAUAGAGAUAACAUGUAAGAUCAUAUGGAAGAUAAUAGAGAAGAUUACUUUAAGAAUGAAAUUCGCAGCAAUUGAAGCAACUUUGUAAAUAUAUAUUUAGUUUCAUUUGUAUAGGUAGGAAAAAAGAAGAAAAUAAAUUAAGGAAAAGAAUAGUUGGUAGUUGAUACUCAGCUUCGUUUGUUCAGUUAAAAAAUCUUCCUCAAAAAUAACAAAAUAUAAUCUCUCUAGUGAAAUAUAAAGAGAGCCGAACUGUGUAUGGUGCAACAUGAAUAUUUUUGUUAAUAAUGCAAUUUAUCUUAAGCCAUGCUAUUAUACGGAAAAAAUGGAAUUUUGAUUUGUUGUCCACCUGCAUGAACUGGUUAAAUGCAGCCUCUAAAUGAAUGUCAAGGCCUAACAUUGAAUCUAGCAAAACAAUUCGCCAAAUAUUAAUUAUGCAGAAAUGAUGUAUAAUUGUGUAGAGGAUUUGGUUCAUGAACUUUAAGAUAAGUUUGAUCACAAAAGUGAGUUGUAAUAAUUGUGUGGACAUUUUGAUACACGAAAAUAGUAGUGUUUGACGAUAGGUUAAAAGGUGUAAGAAUCUUACUUGUUUAUCAACGAAUACACAAUCAAGACUUGUUGGUUGAGGAUCAUUUCCGAUGCUCUUCGUGACCCAUAUCCUACAAACCCUGAUCUGGAGUUUGUUUCCUGGUUGGUACGGCGUCAGAAAACUAAUUGGCAUCACAUCCAUUAAUCUAGCAAAAGAUGAAAAAUUUAGAACCAAAUUAAAUUCAACAUUGAAUAGGGUGAUUUAUCAAAGAAAUGGUGGAGCCAUGUUUACAAACAAAAAAAAAUAACAAAGGGACAAAAUGUGAACAUAAACGUAUACCUGUAUGUAAAUGUUUCAAUACAUCUUUAUAAACAAUGUUUUUUGUAUAACCGUAAGGCAUGUCACUAUUGUGAGCAAUAACAAUUUUGAGACCCUUUUUUGAGGUGACCCUGGAUAGCGCAACAUAGAGUUGUCCAUGAGAAAAAACAGUCUGCGAUAGAAACAAACCAACAAUUUUCAAGGAUUGUCCUUGACUUUUGUUAAUUGUCAUUGCAUAACAAAUUUUUAGAGGGAAUUGUCGUCUUCGCACAGUAAAAGGAUAUUUAUGCUGAGAUGAUUCAGUAAUGAUCCUGGGGAUAUAAACUCUUUCGCCAAUGUUGCUUCCCGUCAUGAUUUUUGCUUGUACAACUCUGUCGUUCAAUUGUGUUACAACCAAUCGUGUUCCAUUACACAGCCCUUGACUUUGAUUUAAAUUUCUGAUCAACAUCACUGGGGCACCAACUUUCAAAGAUAACUUGUGGUGCGGCAAACCAGGUAAAUCAAGUUGGUUUAGAAAUUCUAUUGGAUAAAGCAUAUCUAAAUUUUCAGAAUUUUCUGUUACAGAAGACACCGAAUCAAAACUGAGAUAAGUACGACUUUCGCCAGGUACUAUACCCAACACAAAAUCGUUGAUUUCAGUUGCUGUAUCAUUUCGUGGCGUCACAAUAGCUCUUUCUUUCAGAUAUGAGACAUCUCGGAAAUUUGUUUUGAAAUUUGUAUACACAGCUGAAACCAUGGCUUUGAUGGGAUCUUCAUCAAAAUGGAUAAGGAAUUGGUUUGGAAAUUCGAUCCAAGAGCUUUCUUCAUCAGUUGAAGAUAUAGAUCUGGCAACAGUACCAUUUCCAAUAUCUAGUAUCCACUUUGCAAAAUCAGCGAGUUCUUUUUUUUCCACUUCGUUCAGACCUGUUUUUGAAAGCCUCAUGUUUUGCUUAAGGAAAAAUAUAGUUAAAUAGGACCAAAGGUAUGAACUCGUAAAUGAAGCUUGAACGAUGUCAGCAACACUUCCGCUUGGAACAACAGGAAGAAUUUGCCUGAAAUCACCUCCGAAAAGAAUUGGUUUACCUCUAAAUGGCAAAUUGUCAAAGCCUGGUUUUGAUCCUUUAAGAACAUUACGAAGGGAUCUAUCUAGAGUUUCAAAACACCGUUUAUGAUUCAUGGGGGCUUCAUCCCAAACAAUAAGAGUAGCGUCAGUGAUUAGUUUUGCAAGAUGAGUCCCUUUUUUAAUUUCACUAACCGAACAAUCAGUGAUGUUGAUAGGAAUUUUAAAUCUAGAGUGAGCCGUCCUUCCACCAGGAAGCAAGAUGGAGGCAAUUCCAGAUGAAGCCACCGCUAAAACAAUUUGAUUUUGGGAUCUAAUUCUAGUUAUGAUGGUGUUCCACAAAAAAGUCUUGCAUGUUCCACCAUGACCAUGCACAAAAAAUAGGCCAGAUCUAUUGUUGUCAAUCGUCUCCAUGACGUUGUCAUAAACUAAUUUUUGCUCCUUGUUUAAUUGGGCAAUCAGGAGUGAGUGCUCUUGUUUUAGUGAGUUAACAUCAUAAUUUAACUCUUCUCUCAAACUCCUAGCUUUAAGUCUAUCCAUCAUUAGAUUAUUUGGUUGUGGUAGGUGAUGCUUUGAUAGAGAACUAUUUGAAGCUGUAAACAACUUUUCUAACUCGUACAAAAGCGAAUUUCUAAGUUCAUCCUGAUAUUUAGAAAGAUCUUGUAGCCCAAAAACGUUAUGCAUGUUCUUGGAAAUGUCAUCGCACAUGGUUUUCCAAUGUGCUUCAAACAAAGCUAAUGGAUCAGUAACAUCACAAAAGAGUACCAAUGUGACAAACAAUUGUCUCAAUUGGAAAGAUGAUGCAGUGAUAACUGCUUCUAACAUAGCGCUAUUCCAUUCCCUAUCAUCUCCCAAUAAACCAAGGGACAUGCAUGCAGCUUGGAAUGUGGGUUCAAGAACCUCUUUGACGGUUUUUAAAUGGUCAAAACUAAAGAUGUCUUUCUGGUAGUUUAGCAGCAACCUCAAAUAGUAUAAUUCACCAGCAGCAGGGUGAACAUACGCAACCCUACCUAAAGAUCUGCCUUGUUUUCUACGGCUCCAUUGUUUCUCAUCAUUUUUCCAAACAUACUUUGUCAGAAAUUCAACAUAAGAUAACUUAUGUGCAUCAGGGUCUUGGACAUUGGUUUCAAACCAUUGCGUUAACAUUGUUCUUUCGAGAUUAGGGUGGUUGAUAACAUAGUUCAGAUCAUCGGUCUCUCUAAAAACAACGUUUUGGUCAGAUGGAAGGUGUACAGACAAUCUUUCAACCGAUGGUUCCCUAAAAUGAAUGUGAAACUGUAACAAUCUCCAAACAGCUUCGUAAGGGCAUAAAUAUUACAAUUUAGAUAAGCCACAACCUAAUCAAACUUUUCAUCUUCAAAAACAACUCUAGCCCGAUCAACACCUUUAGUUAUGUACUUAAAAAGAUACUUGAUGAGUGUUGAUUGGCAGCAUGAUUCAACAUUGAUAUGCGCUUGAUAAUUCAAUAAUAGCUCACGAUUAUAAGGGACAACAAAUGCGUUAUCAAGCUUGAUUCCAUUUUUUAGAACAAACAAAUUUUCUUUAUCCCGACGCUUAUAUGCAACAAAACCAUCAUCAGAAAAAGUGGUUUCACUUGUGAAAGGUUUUGGAAAAUUUUUUGAACAUUUGUUUUCUUUCAUGCAUGGUGAAAAUCGAUUUGCAAGACCACAUGGCCCAUGGAUCAUGUAUUGUGAAACUGCAUCGUACCCAACUUUGUCAACAUCUGCAUCAGGAAUCUCAGCCGAAAUGAUAGAAUCAACAUCGUAGGGAGAAUGACAUUUAUAAUGUUUGUUCACCCAGACCAAGAUAUGACAAUGAGGAAGACCCUGUUUUUGGAACUCCACCGUGUAAAUCACUGUUUUUAAAUAAAGAAUGCAAAGACAUCAAAACAAAACACUUUAGAUAUGUAAUGAUUAGAUAGAUAAACAAAGAAAGGGAAAAUUUUGGCGAAGAGCGAUUAACUAACCUGAUUCAACAUCGCCAAAAGGUUUCCCUGAUUUGAUGAAUUUAAUCAUAUGGUUAAGCUUUGCUUUAAAAAUUCGGGAGACUAUAUCAGGCCUACAACCAGGUUUAUCACGUAGAUCUUCAAUAAUUUCAGGUCAUUUAGCAUUGCAGGUGAAAGUGAUAAAUAAAUCAGGAUUUCCAAAGUGACGGCAUAUGGCCAUAGCAUCCUGAUAAUUAUUUAUCAUAUAUCUAACGCUACCAGUAAACGAAGUUGGCAAAAUGACUCUCUUGCCAACACCAGAACUGCUUGUAUUUCCUGCUUUGAGUGCUUCAUGAAUUGCUUUAAGAUUUUCUGUUCUAAAAGAAUCUUGAUUUGCCCUAAUAAAAUCUAACCUAUCUUCUUCAAGCGUGGCAUAUGCAUCAACUAAAUAUUGUUGAAACAGUCUACCACCUUUCAAUAGGGUGUCAUUUUGUCCUGGUCUAUCCUGAAUUUGAUAACCUAGAAACGCUCUCAGUGAUACUCCCCCAAUUUUUGGUUUUUUCCCUUUAUAAUCUGGAUUCCAAGGAAGGCCUUUCUUAUACCCAUCUUCACCGUAGGGGAAAAGAAGAGGGUAUUGUAGUGCCAUGUACUUAGGAUGUAACUUUGUGAUUCUUUGUAGGCCAUGCGUCCUAUGCUCCACAAUGAUAUCUCUUUCAGUGUGGAAUUCGCCGAUAUCCCCAACUAUCAAGCCACCUAUCUCGUCACACGCCGGCAAAUUAUAUUGUGCAUCAUGGUUAGCCUGUGCAUCGUAUAAAUGCAAACGUAAAUGACUUCCUUCAUCAAUCAUAUCUCUAGCGAGCCUAAAAAGCUUAACAACCUCAUUACACUCGUCUAGCAUUUUAAUGAGGCCAUCAACAACAUGAUGGUCGAGUUUUUCAACCGUUUCUGAUCCACUAAAACAACCAAUACGAUUACUGACUUCAUUUUGAGUAUCAUGAAUGUAUAGUUGUGCAAAUUUAGGAUUUUCGCCCUCCAGAGGCAAUAAAGAACCCAUCAAAUGAUGCACUUGACCAUUAAUUUUAAAAACAUAAGGACCCCGACCCUUGUUGAUCGAUGCAUCAACUUUGGCUCCCAUUGAUGUUAAUGCCAUCAUUGAAUUAUAUGAUCUAAUAUUUGUUUUAAAUUGCAAGUUGUUUCGAGAAUUUUUGGGAUUCAACAAAUCAUCCAAAUAAGGAGGGGUGGGUUUAACGCGUGGGAAUUUUACUUUUUGACUCAUGCAACAGGUGGUGAACUGCAAGGUAGAAGAUGAAGCAUUCUUCGCAGACUGUUCUGUAGACCAAAACAGAGCACCGCAAUAUUGACAUUGACAAUUUCUUAAGCCAAAAUCAACAUAUUCUGGAUCAAUCCCUAUAAAAACAAAGAUUAACAGAAGCAUUCAUCAAAUCGACAACCUUAAGUUAACUGAUGGAGGAAACUUAACUUUUGAAAUUAGUAAGAAUGAGAAUAGAGUUAUGUUGAAAGAUUGCAUACUUUUUCUUUUUUUUUGAUAGUUGGCUUGUCCGGUUAUUAGCGGGUUCAAGCCAGAAUGAUUGGUUUGAGCAUGAAUGGCUAACAAACUGUGCACAUUGGCACGAUCAGCAAGGAAAACCGGUACAGAAAUCUGAUGAGAACUUGUCCCAGGUUCGAAAUGUGGGUUAAAAACACCACGGAUGGGAAUAUUUUGUUUUAAAGCUGAUGCAAAUGUUUGGGGAGGGCUGUCUUGGCUGUUCAAAGAUGUUGAAACAUCAUUAUCUUGAUCGUCGUAAGCGGUGGGAACAUCUUGCAACUCUGAAUUAUUGAGAUCACCAUCCGCAACAACCGCAUCCAAAUAGGCACGUUGAAUUUCAACGGCCCUUCUAGGUCGCCUUAUUCGUUUAGACAUAAAACUAUACAAAGUGAAAAAAAAACAGAAACAGUAGCGGUUCACUCUUUAAUAAAAGCAACACAUCAACGAAAGAAACCAUCUAAACCAAAUGAAAUUAGCAGCGAGAUAUAACCCAUUAAAGCAAGAGGUCAUUGAAAACACAAACACAUUCUAAACAUAACAGUAAAAACACAAUCAUAAUGAGAUUAGAUUAGAACAAAGAAUAGAGAAACUUAAUAUGCGGCUGUCUUCUUGAACAGCAUUGUUUCCCGUUGAAAUGGUAAAAUAUAUGAAUAAAGCAUGCAACGAUUGCUAAAAAACAUAGCGAUAAAGAAGACCAACAUAAAGAUCAAACAACAAAGCAACCAUAAGGUCUCAAAAGAGCAAACAGAAAUGAAGAAGGUAAUGUUCCUUAAAGGUGCAGAAAACUAACCGAUAUAGAGACGGGAUUGUAGCUGGGCACAAAUCCUAGUGAGCAGUAAUGCAAGAUUGUAACGAUUAAAACAAAAGUUGUAGAACCUACAAAAAGGAAGAGAAAAUAUAAACGCAUAUAUAAUUGGAACGACGUAUGUUUUAAUACUUUAAAGAAAUGACAUGCAUAAAAAGCCUUUAGGUUAGCAAAAGCUUUUAGGUUAGCAAAAAAAAAAAUGCAUUGCUUGAAAUAGAGAUGAUCAGGAUUUAAAACGUUUAAAUUUUGUCCUAAGUUGACUAAUUAGAUGCAAAAGUGAGACAGCAUGAACAAUUUAACACCGAGAAAGACUAACAAUACUAAAGCACAAUCGAGCUAACAAUAAAAAAAACAUAUAAUGCAAAAGAAUAACAACAGGGCAAAACACUUUUGGUUGAUCUUACAACAGGCUAACAGGAUAAGAUAAAUCACCAGAUAUUGCAACCAUGACAAAGUCCGGAAGGCAAGAUAAUGGACUUUUGCUCUAGUUAAAAAAAUAUUAGCAUGUGUUACAAGCAAUGUAAUGUUGUGAUGUAGUUUCAUUAUUUUUCACAAAGCUCUCAAUUUGGACUCUUAUGAAAUGUUGAGUUUGAUACAAAUUAUUAAUGAUAGAAAUACUCUAGCAUGUUUUGAGUUUAAGCGCAUGACUUAACGAUGCCAGCUCAUCUAUAGAUUGACCAAUUGUAAUUAGCUUCAUGACGCAGUUUUUAUAUACUUACACGAAUAAAAACCGACAAAGCAUGUAAAAUCAAAUUGAUAGUAAAAGAAUUAGGUAAAUCUAUUCAACAACUACUAAUCUAAUUGUAAAGUGAGAUAUGCGUUUUUCUAGGUUUAAUAAAAGCACCAAAGUCAAAGGUUUUUAUAUGCGUUAUGAGAAAAAUUCAUUACGGCACCAAAAAUCGUUGCUCAAAGCAAAGGCAAAAAAAAGCAAGAGCCACACAACUGAUGCUCUUCAUCAUCGUGGGGUAAAACUCUAGCUAAAGAACAUGCCGCAUCUACUUGGGAGAUAGGCAAGGCAGGAGAAGAUACCACUCCAGCAUACGAACAAAUACUGGUAGAGAAGAUACCGUAUCUGUUUGGGGGAAAAGUGGAGAAGCCACCAUUUCUGCCUGGGAGACAAGUAAAGCAAGUGAAAAUGAUACACCAGCCGUGGUGAUUUUGAACAAUAUGCUCCAGGAUCAAAUGAUUCAGGUGUUGAAUCCUCGUAAAUGUGGAUAUGAGAUCCAUAGGCAUUUGAAUAGAACACUAAUGGGGCGGGUCGUGUGGAAUUAUGAUGUGUUUGUAGUACUAUUUACAAAUACAAUGACACUUGUAGACCCUCCGGCUAUUUUUGAGUUCGUGUUGGUUUGUGUCCGUAGUCUGUAACGUAUGCAUUUAUAGUUUAAUCCAUAUAUUUUCACAUGCUGCUAUUAAAUUUUAAAGAUGGAGACAUGCAACAUGAAAGCUACAAUUAGAUCUCGAUCACAAAAUGGCAAAAAAAAAAAAUCCUAACCUAAACAUUUGUAUACUAAAACCCCAUUUAAGCAGCCAUUAACAUCUGAUUUAGUACUUCAGCGACUCACUAACCCGCCAUACCGUCAUGUCUCAUCCCCUCUCCACCACUGACUAAACAAACUAUAGGCGCAAUUGGAUAACAAAUCCACUCAAUUUUAGCAACCUCGCUACUUCAAUUGGCUUUGUUCAGCAUGAGACGAUAUAAGCAAAGGAAAAAGUCGAUGACAAGAGCAGCCAGCUCACUAUGAAAACUAAAACAUCAAGAUAGCAACGGCUUUAAAAGUGUAGAACCAGCAAAGAAGCAUCAGCUAAAAGAUCCUAUCAACAACAACAUAAAUGGCAUAAAAAAUAAAAGGAGAGAAAACAAAUCCCAGCACGAUAAGGUCAUUGCUAGGAAAAAUCAUUUAUCAGUGAGAUAGAAGUCUACCAAAAAGGUGCAAAAAAGACUAUGAAUAACAGUUUAUCCUUAAAAGAAUAUAACGGUCAGCAAAAUACAUUUAUCAGCAAGAUAGAAGUUGACCAAAAAGGUGCAAAAAAGAGUAUUAACAACAGUUUAUCCUUAAAACGGUUAAAGGCUUAUCUGUUUACAUUAUUGCCCUUAUGACCGAACAAAAAAAGUUUACAUUGCCCUUAUCUUAUCUAAAGACCCACCCCUUCUCUAGACAUUUAAAACUCCAAAGGCCGUUGCGGCGGAGGCAAGCAAGAGCAACAAAACUCCAACCUUUUUCCAGCUAGCAAACCUGUGGAUGCCAUUGGAAAACCCCAAAAAGCGUUGUGAAAGUGUUUUAUCGAGCGGAACUUUUUCUUUCGGCGGAUUACUACGAUUUGCAGGUGGAUACAUAGUAUGGACCACCAAUUUGUUUCGGUUUGCACCCCUACCAUAAACACGCAAACCCAUCCUUGUUUUUGCUAUUUUCACUGAUUUCUUUGUACCAGGUCCCGGGGCAGUGUCAGAAAAUCUCACUAAUGUCCCUCAAUUUUGUUCAUCGAUUCGAGCCUUAACCAGUUGCCUUAAAUUUUUGGCAAAAACUCCUCCUAGAAUCUGUUGUUCUCUUCGAUUGAUCUCUUGUACCAUUUUAUUUACCCUGAAUCAAAAUUUAAAUAUAGCGUCAAAAUUUCUGUUUUUUUUAAGUAUCUUUAAGCUUGUGAGUUGAAGAAUAACACCAUGAAAAACUUAACAACUCACAUUAAUAAAGUAAAAAUAUAAGAUUACCAAAAGUUACAUAUAAAUUAAAAAAAAACACAGUCAAAAAGCAUUUUGACAUUGUUUUAGAUCAAAUUUUGAAGUUGUAGCCGAUAAAGAAAAUACAUAACUUAAGUAUUAAUGAGUUAAUGAUACUUGUAGUUUUAAUGUUAAUAUCCAUGAAUUUUUCUGAACAUCUUAGUUGCAUUCAUGCAUUGUUAAAAGGUUACUCAUUUUCCUAAGUAUAGAAGUUGUGAAUUUUUUUUUUAAAAAUGUCUAGUUCGUUGAGAGAGCGCAGUUGUGAACAGCACAUGUUAAAGAACUUCGGGAGGAUGAGAUAGUUCACUAUUAGAAAACCUAACGAAAACACCAACCAACCAAUAACAGAAUCACAGACUGAAUUGUACAAACAAAAUUUUAAAAAAAACAAACAAACCAUCCAACCUCUGGACAAUGAGAGGAUUACAAAGACAACCAAGAAUGAGAGCAAAGCAGACAGCAGACAAAUAACAUAAAGCGAUCGAACCAAACAGUUAAUUAAAAAAGAAUCAUAAAGAUAAGAAGUCUGAAACGGAAAGAAUGGGAAAAGACCAUAUUAAGUUCAGGUGACAUAUGAAAGGCUUGAUUCAAAUGUGAUUUAAAUAUAAGCAAAAGAAUAGACGCAUAUCAUUUGUAUACACACACCACCAUCUGCAUAACCAACAACUUCAAUGAAUUUGCACAGAAUUCCAAACUCUAACCCUAAACCACACCCACCUUCUAAAAUCUCGAAAUAAUAGAAUGAAAGUGGAAAUUAAAUUUCAAAAACUCUCAUUUCCACAUCACAAUUAACCACUGCAACUAUAUAUUUUGCAACCAGAAAAACGAUAAUAGUUUCUUAUUUUAUACUUGUAUAAAUCUCUUAGGAGAAAUGGAGUUAAAAAUAAUAUAAAAUUAAAUGAAAACUUGAACAAAUAUUUCAAACCAACGAAAGUUUUUUUUCACCUGUCAACACAGAUUACAUAGUAAUGCAUUAGCUAAUUGUAACAAUUGGGAAAAAAAACCACUUGAACAACUCAAAAAAUCAGUUUGGUCCAAAGCUAUAACACAAAUCCUAAUUUGUUCUUUGCUGAUGUUGCUAAUUCUAUGAUCAAGAUGGGGAAUAUUAGUCCUCUUACAGGUACAACCCAAAGUAUGUGACGACUGGUGAGUGUGUGUGUGUAUGUGUGUGUAGUGAAGCGUUCACUUGAGAUGCUUAAGAUAAUAUUCGAGCAAACUCUGGCCUCAAGGUUUUACUUACCUCAAACCUAGCCUUGAUCUUCUCUUAAUUCACUGUUUAUUAACAUGGCUAAAAUCAUUUUCAUUUGCAAAUGCAAUAUGAUAUUAAGUGUGCUGCUACGUCUACUCAUAUGUUCUAUGUAGCAUAUGAAUUCUACUCAAUACCCUAACAUUACAGCGAAAAUUAAUUGAUAUUAUAAAGAAGUUGAGACUUUACCAAAGCAGCAAGGUAGCGGUUGCAAAAUUCAGAGGCUAAAGCUUUCACUUUGUUUCGAUUUGCAAAAUACCAAAAAAGAUAUUUACAAUCGAGGAAAGAAAACACAUUUCACUAAAGAAUGCACUUCAGCCAUUAUCAAAUUGUCAACUGAGCGAAACGCAUAAAACCAUACACAUAUACACAGCCGAAUUCUAUUCUUUUCAGCAGUUCCAGGUAAAAAAACCAAUCCCCCUACAGAAAAUCAACGAAAACAAACCCUGGUCGUAUGACUCUUAGGCCUAGUCAAAUGAUCCUAUUCCAUAUCCAAAUGGGUUUUCUUAAAAAAACCAAUCUCUCAGUUAUCCUUUUCUUUUCUUCUUUCAAAAAGUCAAAUCAAGACCAAAGUUUCACAGAUAAUGUAUACCCAGAAAAAUAAAAAGCAAAAUUAAUGUAUUUCAGAAAUGGACAUCGGGUGGAUGUUGAACCUUUAAAAUCUGUAAACCCAGCGAAUCAAAUGAGUAAAGAAAAAGAAAUCGAAAUCCUACUGUUCUGAAUUCAUUCUUCUGUUUGCUAAUCUAAAGAUGAAGGGAAAGUUAUCAUAAUUUCACUAUGCAAGAUUUCGCUAUGCCAGAUUUCAUUUGCAGGCACCAAAAACGUGCAAAAUUAAAGUUGGGGUGUUCAUACUCUAUUGGGUAUCUGAAGUCAUGUGAAAGCUCGGAAAUAACCAAACCAACAUCCAAUUUAGCACACACCUAAGAAAAACUUAAGCAAGAAAAUAUAUCCAACUGCUCAAUCAAUAAUCAAACACGGUAAUACAAUCAUUGAAAAAUUUUCAAUCAUUUAUCAAAAUUGAAUUAAUAAAAUUGAAUGUUGGGGUCAAAAUAAAAAAAAAUUAAUUUAAUUAUAGUUAACUAAUCAAGGUUAAGAUUAAUGAAAAAGCUUGAAAGUCUCAUAUCUAAAGUUACACCUCAGGCUGCAAGUAGAAUCAAAACCAUGGAAGAUCAAAACCACUAACCAUAAACACAGAGGUCUUCGUAGGCUUCAAAGAAAAGUCACCAACUCGAAAAACCCAAUCUCCUGAAAUCGAAAACAAAAUCAUAUUAACCAUCAUCACCCAGAAUCCAAAGCUCAACAGCUUGAAUCAACGUUCGAAUCAUAUAUGACAUCUUGUUUCAAUUUCCAUACAUGAGUUCAUUACAUGCACAAAUGCAGCGUUUGGUGUGUGAGAAAAACAAAAGAAAACCCUUUUGAAAAGGUUUUCUUUCAUUGAACAGAAAGAUGAAAGUACAUUUCACCACGACUAUGUUAAUUGAAUACAAAAUUAUUUUUGUGAUUAUUAAUUUAGUAUGGAUAAGGAUUAAGGGUUGCCAGUACAUGCAAACUUUCAAGCAUGACUUUGUUGUCGGAGAGGUUAUGUCAUGGAACCAAGUUUUAGUUUUAUAGAUUAUGCCAUGCAAUCAAGUUUUAGAAAUACGUUAAUCACACAAAAAAAAUAAAAAAAUCUAACUUGUUCUCAACCUUGGGCCUAGUGCUAUAUCGUUUCAACAUUCACAAAAUAUCGGUAAGGAUCUGAGUCGGAACAUAAGUGCUUACAAACUCUCUAUUGGUAGUAAGUUUUUGCGACGCUAAGUUGAAGGCCUAACUCUUGUUCAGUGCUGCAUCAUUUAGAUAAUCGUAGGCCUAGAGUAAAAAUUAUUAAAAAAAAGAGAGGGAUUUUCUCCCUGAUUGUUGUGAUAAGAAUCACUCAAAGACAAUAGGAACCACUCCAAUUCAUAAUAGCAUUUCACUGAGUUCAAUACUGUAAUGGAAAAAACGCAAGAAUAUAGAAACAUAAAGUGAGGAAGCACACUUCCUAUAUUUCAUGAAACCUCGCACAAAGUUACAGUUUUCAAUCUAAAAUGUUCCCAGAUAAAAGAAUCCAACAACCUAGUUUAGAAAAGAGCAAAACUUUCCUAGUAUUAUCUCAAAUUUCCUACCAAAUUUAUCAGGCAUCGUCUCUAAAUCAAAACUCUAAAAUCUUGAAUUUGCUCACCUUAAAUACACAGUGCUUUGAAGGCUGCAAACAAAAUGCCCAAAUCUGAAGAACCACGAUUUCCUAAAGCAAAAAACAAAACAAAACAAAAUUAAACACGACAACAGAUGAGCAAAACAAUAACUAAAAGAGCCUUCUAACACCCUUAUCACAUAAAUACAGAAGCAACAAAGUAUGGAGAAACAAUCUAGUAACAGAAAUACAUAAGCAACCAAGAUUUGCAAAAACAAUCUAUCAACAGAGGAGCAAAACAACAACUAAAACAGCCUUCUAACACCCUUAUCACAAAAAUAUAGAAGCAACAAAGUAUGGAGAAACAACCUAGUAACAGAGAGAUAUUCAAAGGAUGUAAAGCAGAAAGGAACCUCAGUUUGAUUUGUUGAGAAGGAAACAGGAGCAAAGCAUGAAGAAACAGAGAAAUGAGCACAGUGUAACUACCAAAGUUAUAAAGACACAAACCUGACUCUAACAGUGCACGAAACAGUGCACUAACCAGAUUGAUCUUCCUAACACCCAACUAAACGGGCUAUAAAAUUCCUUUACAACUUAAUCGAAACAAUAAAAUGUUAAUCAUAGUUUUAACAAAGCAAAUGACAAACCAAACAAUAAACAAUGACUGAAAAACAGUGUUUGAGCUAUUGAAUCAGAGUACAAAACCUCUAAAUAUCCCUGCCACUCAAUCAAAUCAUGCUUUCUGCCCUCUCUCUCUCACUCUCUAUCCUUCUUUAAAAACAUUGGACAAAAUCCAUAAAUGUCUCCCACAACCCCAAAAACUGCAUGCAACCAUGCCUUCCCCAUUAAUUGUUGAAGAAAUGGCAUCCAGCUGGAACCAAAAUCCCGAAAGGAACCCUACCCCUAGCCUUCCCAACUUGCCUCGCCGUCUCUCUCCGCACCCUUUGUUGUCGACCCUUCAAACCAAACUCUCAGGCACCCCUACCCUUGAUUCGCUCAUCCUACCCCUCUCUCUCUCUCCUCCCGUCUUUCCUCACAUCCCGUUUGAAACGCACGACUCUUCCCUCUCUCCUCUUCUCUCACCCACGACUCUUCCAUCUCUACUCUACUCCCUGCCAUUCUGCAAGCUACACUGGAUGACUCACGGCAUUCACCUCACCGCUUUCCUAUCCCUACCGAAACCAACCAAAUAAAACCCAUCCAUAGGCCAAACCAGCAAAAGGCCAUCUGCCCAAACCCAAAAAACAAUCCCCCAAGCCGAACCCAAAACUUCCACAAAGCCCACUCAUUAAACCAAUGGUAUAGAUGUAAUUAAACUGAAAUUCAGGUGCAAUGAACAGUAAGGAACAAUGCCAAUUGCAAUGCUUUCUUUAGACUAAAGUAAUUAUAAUUUCUUCUUUUUCAACAUAAUGGUUAAUCCGGAUAAGGAUGUAGUUGGAUGCAGGUGAGGUGGGGAGACUUUUUCUCAAAGAACCUCUUGGUGGAGUCCCCGGAGGAAAGAAUAGUAACUAUUCAAUGACUUGGAGCGGAGAGCCCAAUUUCAUUACAAUUUCUUCUUUUCAACUUAAUGGUUAUCGAAUUAAUUGCUUUUCCUCUAAGGGUACCAAAAGCAGGCUGAACUCAGCACUCAUACCUUUCCAUUGUUUCUUCCAAAUUCCCCAAGCAAUACCAAUGUUAUUCCGUUUUUUCAAAUUAUAAAUUUUCUAUAUGCAAUUCGAUUUUUUUUUUUUUUUUGCUCGGAAUUCAUAAGUGCAAUGUUUUCAAUUUGUAAAAAAGGCAGAAUAAUAUUUCCAUUUAGUUUAAUGUCAUUUUAACUUGGUGUUGGUUUACACAUAAUUUUCAGCAUUUUCCACAUAGGUUAUGAUUUUAAUUUUGUUGAAACCUAUAGAUUGUUAAACUAAUGACAAGCUAUUACUAUAUAUUGUUCAUAUCAAGGAGGAAUACAUUUUUAGAUUACCCUGAAAUAUAGCUAGGAAAACAUCUUUUCUUUCUUAUUACGGCGAACAUUUAUGCCCUACAUUGUUGACUUUCUUUAAUGCUUGCUCUGGAUUCUACAGGUUCUUUUUAAAGUUUAUUUGGUUGCUGGAAAAAAAAACUGAGAAAUGAAGGGCUUCAGAUUUUGAUCAUUUGUGCCUCAAAUUUGGUACGGUUUCUUUCCCCUAUAUAAUUUUGAUUGGUAAUUGUAGAUUUUCAUCAUAAAUUAUUGUAUUCUCUUGCAAUGUUGUUCAUUUUUUACACUUAUUUACUCAAUUUCAGUUAGAGAAAGAAAAAGAGGAGCAUAGAAGUUUGCCCAGUACUUCUCUGUUUCAUCAGUAAUAUCCACAAACCCAAUUCUCAAGUUUUAGGGUUUUUUUUUUACAUCAAUUAAUUUUGCCCAUCAUGUUAGAGCAUGAUAUUUUAGGGAAUUUUUUGCUCACAAUUUUUUUGGGUGAAAUAAAUAGAUAUGGGUCUUCAAUAAGUUAUUUUUAUGUAUUGUAGUUUUAUUAUUUCAGAACUAAAUGACAUCUUGCUGCUUUUGGUAGGUUUUGUGCAAGCUUACCUGCAUUGCAUACUUUGUUUACAAACAAUGUUUGGUUUAAUUGGGUGAUAAUAUAUUUGGUAAAUCAUUUCAGAAUUAGUCUUUCCAACCUCCAUAAGUUUACAAUAUUACUCUUGUAAAGCUUAAUUUCGGAUUGCAUGUAUUUUUUUUUCGUCGAACGGAUUGCAUGUGGGAAAAGGCGUGGAAUGAAGUUUUAGGAUUCAUACAGUCGACCCCACUUAGUGGGAAAAUGCUUUGUUGUUGUUGUCAAACGGAUUGCAUGUUUGAAAGUUUAGUCUUUUGUUUAGAAUUUGAAUUGCGUGUCUCAAAAUUUAUAGUAUUUUCUUUAAUUGCCAGCUUAGAGCACAAAGGAAGAGGUAGCAGGCAUCGAUCAAAUUCAAGUUCAAAUAUGAGUUCAUACCUGAUUUCAAAUCCUAUAUUUGAGCCCUUUGUUUCUUCGGUAAUCACGUAAAGCUCAAAUAUUUCGUACAUGUCUUAAUUUUGGAUUAGUCUCUAUAUCUACGCACAUACAUGAAACAAAUAUUCAUUGGUCCUUUACAAUGACGAUCCAACGGUUAUCAAUUAGUGUAGUUCAUCAUCUAAUUUUUGGCAUAUAUAAUCCAUGCAUAUUAAAUGACUUCGGUGUUUGUGACCUUUUACCCAAAUUUUAUAUAUUUUCUCCUUUCAAAUUUGUGUUUUUUGCUUUUUUUAGAAGAUUAAUUUUUGUAUAAAAUAUAAAUUUUAGAAACAUUCUACCCAUAGUUUAGUUUCUUUCACGACUUUUGUAGUGUUAGUUCUGCAUCAUUUCAAUUUGGCUUUGAUUGGAUAAAUAAUAGCAUUGUUUAGCUAAUUUGCAAAUUUCCUCAUAUUUAUAAGUUCUUUGUAAGCAGUAUUCUGGUGCCUUUUAUUCAAGGUUUUGAAGACACUGAGGACUUCACCGUGAAAAAGAAAUUGAAGACUUGGGUUGUAAAUAUAUUUUUACAUGCACGUAAAAAUAUAUGUAAAACUAUCUACAUAGUUUAUACAAUUUUUAAACCCUCGCAGCAUCGCGCGGGCAGCGUUUCUAGUCAACUACUAAAUUCAGUGAAAUAAUAGGUAAGUGUAAGAACAGUUGAGUGCAGAAGUGAUUUUUUUCUUCCUUUGAACGGCUUUUUAAGUGUUUUUUUUAUUAUCUGAUACCAAAGUAAGUAAAUGGUGGCUUCUUGUUUCAACAACGACUAGCGAGUCAACGAGGAGGGAUCGACGGAGACAACAACAAUCUUUACAGCAGAAGAACUUGAGAAGGCCACAGACUGCCACCAUGAGAGCAGAAGAACUUAAUGAAGUGGUUGCCAUAAAAAAGUCGAAAAUUGGAGCUUCAACCCAAAUGAGCAGUUUAUCAAUGAAGUUAUCGUUCUUUCUCACAGCCAUAGAAAUAUGGUGAAGCUAUUGGGUUGCUGUUUAGAGACACCGGUGCCAUUACCAGUUUACGAGUUCAUCACCAGGGCAACUCUUUUUUAUCAUCUUCAUAGCAUAAAGAGCAAAGAAUCAUCGCUUUCAUGGGAGUUAUGACUGAAGAUCGCAGCAGAGUCCGCCGGAGCACUGGCGUACUUGCACUCCACCUCCAUGGCAAUCAUACACCGAGAUGUGAAUAUAAUUAGCAGAAAGUCACUCAGGCACACGAGAAAUGAGAUACAUUGCUAACACAACAUAUUCAAAAUCCCAGGCAGAUUGACAUUCCUCAGAUGGAAUUCAAAAACGAGUUUUAACACGAAAAUGGUGUCUACAAUAUAUGAAAUUUCAAAGUUACAAAUAUCAGGAAAAUCAAGUAAUUUGCCAACUCAAUCUAAUUUGUUUAUUUUCAGAUGUCACAAGAAUCACCUAGACCAAAAUGGUCAACCUGUUCUUACAGCGAAAUGACCACGUACCUUGAAAUAAAAUUUGAAAUACAAAUACAAGAGAAGCACAACCUAAUUAAAUCGCGAUCUUUAACAUAGAAACCCUGCUCAAGGAGAUGAGACAAUCCACAUAACCGUUGUCGUACUUGAAGGUUGAAAAAAUUGCUCCCACUUGAGCAGCAGGAGAUCAUCUUAUCUGGGUAGGAGAACAGAGCAAACCAGACGCAUCUGAUCCAACCACUGAAAGAUCACAAACAGUACAGAGCUUCCCUUCCUGGUCGGGAACUAACCGAGAACUGCAGUACGGGCAUGACACAUCCUUCUGUCCACGGUAAAUAGACACGUAUGUUGCCCCACAAACCACAAAUGGGUUUCUGAAAUCAUAGUUUAGCUGGGUUGCAUCAGUCAUGUUCUUUUCGGCAGCUUGCAGGAUUUGUCUUGCAGUCUUUGCAUGGUUUUCAACAGUGGGGUUGGUCUCCAAAAGUCGCCUGGCAAAGUUAGCUGCCGUGUUGAGAUUACCAGCCUUAUAGCAAACACUCAUGGCAUUUAGUAAUGCAAGUCUCAAGUGAGGCAUCUGAAGGUUGCAGUGGGUGAAGUAAGCCGCUAGCUCCUGUUGGCAAACAGGAUCGCCUUUAAGUUCCUUCCUCUUAAUCUCCAUCUUCAAACCCAGCACAUACUCCUUUACAAUGAUAAUUAAUUCUUUUACUUCAUCAACCUCUCUCUUUGAAUCAACUACGAUCAGAGGAAUAGUAUACAGAAUACCAAGGAGAAGACGUAAAGCAUCAGCAAAUUUCCCUUGGGUUGUGGCCUUGUAACCCGCCUUAAGCUUCUCUUCUAGCUCUGAGAAUUUAAAUACAAGAGCAGCAGGACCCCUAACAUUAGAUACGUAUGACUGCCCAUGUGUAAAUCGAGAAAUAAUUGUCUCAAGGGAUCAAAGUUCUUUACACCCAGCUCCCUGCUCAACAAACGCAUUGCAAUAUCGAAAUUCCCAGCAGCAGCAUGUUCAGCAACAAGAGAUGAUUUCUGUGACCAGAUUUGGCUUACAGGCAUACCUGGAGUUGGGGCAACAAACACAGAAGAACGGGCAUUGCUCGCAGUUUUUGGAGUAUCAAUCUCAGGUGGAAGUUCAAGAUCUCAUCCUCCCUCCUCAUUUUCCUCGUGUGCUUCCUCAUCAUCCAGCACUGCACUGAUGUCUCCAUUUGGAAUAUUGUCCACGUCAACAAGAUUCAACUCCUCUCCCCAAUCAGCAUCUGCAGCCUCUCCAUAAUCUUCCUCAAUAUUCUUGCCCACAUUAUCAAGACCACCCUCAAAUAUUCCUCUCAUGACCGUCAACAAGGGCCAAUCUCCUCCGCAGAUGAUUGGCAUUGGUGGUAACAAUAGAGACGGAGAUUUCACCUUGGGUAAAACAGGAACAUUAUCUCCCAGUUCAGCCGCCAAACGUUCGGCAAUAUCAUGGAGCCCAUGAAUUUGCAUUACCCUGACGAAGGGCCUCCACUCCCAAUCGAUACCAGUGAUCUUUCUCAUCAAUCUCCUUGGCAGAAGCAACAGCAAUCUGGAUGUUCCCGCUCCCUAGUGCCAAGUUGAAGCGAGUCCUCUCAUCCUUCACAAAAUGAAGGGCAACCUCAGGGAAACCUUUCUGCUGUAGAUAUGCAAUCAUGGCCUGGCCACAGAGCUCAGAACUCCUUAUCAUGCUCAUAACCUGGUCAUACCUCUUCUUCAGUAAGGAUAACUUGAAAACAUAUUCUGUUGCAUCAACAACAAUGGCACGGUUCUUCCCAUCUCGAUCCAAGCAAUGUAUGGGUUUUCCAUACACUUUGGUUAUAUAUACGGGAACGUCGAGGGUCCUGAUGAUUCUACUAUCCCCAUUAGGAAGGCAGUAUUUGAUGUGGUUCAAGGUUGUAUAUAUGAAGACGCCAUUGUCAUCCCUAGCUCCCCAACAAUAAUUCUCUGCUGCAGGUAAAAAAUAAUGACUCUGUCCUCUGCCUUGCAGAGCAAGUUUCCAGUUCCAGCAUAAAAUAUUGCAUCAGCAACAAUAGGUAGGGCACUCUUCUUGACAAUCUCAUUUUUCAGAUUUUUAGCUAUAACUUGGUUGGUGCUCUUUUCAAGCACUGCAAACCUAUUUCGAGCCACGAACACAGCUGGGCCUCCGAUACCUCUUUUUGCCUCCUGCGCAGUAUCACCCCGACCAAAGCUAUCUUUGGGUAUAACGUAUAGUUCAUAAGACCCCCCUUCCAUAUCUGAACAUAUCAAAGCAGCAUUUUCUGUAGGGCUGUAAGAUAGUGUCUUUGCCCCUUGAUUCAAGUUGGAAGAACCACGCCUUCGAAUAGGGAUAAUCAUAGUGCAUUGAAUCACCGCUAACAGAAAAGGCAGGACGCUCCCUCUCCAAUUUAAAGACAAUCAUGCCACCAUCAUGGCCAGCAGCCAAGAGGUUCAUUUCAGGAUGUGCUGAAAGAAUCCAGAAUCUAUCAUGGCCAGCAAUCAAGAGCAGCCGGCUCAACAAAAUCAUUUCUACUUGAAUAAUUUUCCCCUAACUAACAAAAUAAGCAAUCUCUUCCCGUAGCACAUUUAGUCAUCCAUCUUAGCAUUCAUCUCAUUACUAUCACAGAAAUGUCUUAAAUUUCAUUACUAUAUGCAGCAUUCAUUUCUCGAAUACAGAGAGGAUUGUGGUCGACGGCACGGUGCGCCGGCGUUUGUACAGAAACAGCUCGCUGGUAUUGGAAGACCCAGACCCAGACCCUAACUUUUUUACGGUACAAAAAUAUUCAGAUGCAAAGACAGAGCACCACCAUUGAAGAGGAAUCCUCCUGGAGCAUCAAUUGCCGCAUAUUCAAAUCUAAAACGUUUUUACUCUUCAGAAAAUCACUGAACAUAUACACUGCAAACAACAGGCUUGGUGAAUGCCUUGGAUUUGUGCUGAGCAUGCAGAGCAGUCUGCAGUUGAGAAUCCAGAAGAAAAAACAAUCUCAAUGGAGAUUACAUAAAUAAGGGUACGGUUGAAAUCUAGGCUUGAUCUUUGGGUUUGGCUAGGAUAGCAGAAAAAUGAGAGAGAGCCUCUCGGGUUUUUCAGAUAGAAGAGGAGCACCUAGGUUUUAUCGUGGAUGUCAUGGACGGAGGAAGAGAGAGUGGGACAGAUACAAUCCCCCAAAUCGUGCACCCACAUUCACCCUGUGCAAACUCUAGAACGCAGCCGCUCACUUUCUCGAAACCCACUCUCAAACCUUAGAACGCAGCACUCUCACUCUCUCAAAACCCACUCUGAAUAACACGGAUGCAACAACCCGCCCUCUCUCCCGCCGUCAGCUUCGGUUCGACGCCGCUUUGUUUUCACCUAAACUCCAAAUCGCGCUCUCCCUCUCUCCCCAAAGAAAGCAUCACCGCUCAAUCCCCUCUCUUUUGUUAGGAAUGUCGGUACUACAAGAUAGAGAAUGCACAAGGUAAAGUAGAAAAUGGACGCCAAGAAUUUAUGUGGUUCGGCAAUUUAUGCCUACGUCCACCAAACAAGGAAUCUUCACUAUAUGAAAAAGAUGAAUACAACAAGAGUAGUCUUACCAAGCCAAAGACAAGGCUUGAUGGAUACAAGAAAGUAUAACACACACUUUCUAUCACUCUAAACUUCACUCACACAAUGUGUAGUGGAACACUCUCACUCUCACUCUUGGAGUGGAACUCUAGCUUUGGACUUGAUCCUUUGCUACUCACUCUUGGUUCUCAAUUGGUUACAUCACACCCAUAUUUAUAGGUGAGGGCUUGGCAUUCUACUAGUUUCUAGUUCCUUCUUCAAACCUCUAGUAUAGAAAAAUCUAGACUAGCCACAUACUUGUAGCUUCUAGAUCUUUCCAUUUGCAACCAAGGAAGCUAGUACUCUCUAGCUUCUUCCAUCAACUUAAUAACAUGCUAGAAUUGUCUAGCAAGCUCCAGCCUCAUCUCUUGCUUACUAGAAUAAUCUAGAACAUUGAUCAUGGGCUGGACCAUAUACCAACAAUCUCCCCCUCCAGUCCAUGAGGGAGGAAUUCCGAUCAUGACUCCAAGUUACCUGGAGUUCAUCCCAGCAGCCUUAAUGCAGAAUUCCAACUUUGAUUUUGUGACUACCUUUGUCAACAUGUCUGAAGAAUUAUUAUCGGUAUGAAUCUUCUUUAGCUGUAGCAACUUGUUCUCGAUAGCGUCUCUAAUCCAGUGAUAACGAAUAUCAAUGUGCUUAGUGCGUGAAUGAUAUGUAGUGUUCUUGCUCAAAUCCAGAGCACUCUGACUAUCACAAUAAACGCCAUAAUCACUUUGCUUCAAACCCAACUCUUGGAGAAACCGCUUCAGCCACAACAACUCCUUGCAUGCUUCUGUAGCGGCUAUGUAUUCAGCCUCGGUUGUGGACAAAGCAAUGCACUUUUGUAACUUGGAUUGCCAAGACACGGCUCCCCCUGCAAAAGUAAACAAGUACCCAGACGUAGAUUUUCUACCAUCCAGGUCACCUCCCAUGUCAGCAUCUGUAAAUCCUUCCAAGAUUGGUUUGGAACCGCCAAAGCACAAGCACAUCUUAGAAGUCCCCUUCAAAUAUCUGAGAAUCCACUUAACGGCUUCCCAGUGGUCCUUCCCUGGAUUAGAGAGAAACCUGCUCACCACACCUACUGCAUGAGCAAUAUCUGGUCGUGUGCACACCAUUGCAUACAUGAUACUUCCUACUGCUGAAGAGUAGGGAACAACUGCCAUUUUCUCCUUUUCUUCAUAUGUUUUUGGACACGACUCUUUGCUCAACUUGAUAUGAUUGGCUAAAGGUGAGCUUACCGGUUUGGCUGCUUUCAUGUUGAACCUUUCAAAGCACCCGUUCAACAUACUUUUCUUGUGACAGCCACAACUUCUUGGAUUUUCUGUCACGAAUUAUCUCCAUGCCCAAAAUCUGCUUGGCUGGCCCUAAGUCCUUCAUGUCAAAGGACUUAGAUAACUCUUCUUUGAGCUUUUUAAUCAUAGAAGCAUCUUGUCCGACAAUCAACAUGUCAUCAACAUAAAGCAAUAAGAUGAUGAAUGUACCUCCAGAAAAAUUGUUUGAUAUAGACACAAGAGUCAGCAUGAGUUCUCUUGUACCCAUUACUCACCAUGAAUGAGUUGAACUUCUUAUUCCACUGUCUCGGAGCCUGCUUAAGACCAUAUAAACUUUUCUUGAGCUUGCACACCAAAUUUUUCUUUACCUUUGACUUCAAAGCCUUUGGGUUGCUCCAUGUAUAUCUCCUCUUCUAAAUUGCCGUGGAGAAAUGCAGUUUUAACGUCUAACUGCUCGAGCUCAAGAUCCAUGCUUGCUGCCAUACCAAGGAUAACUCGAAUGGAAGUCAUCUUCACCACCGGUGAGAAAAUCUCAUCAAAGUCAACUCCUUUCUUUUGACCAAAACCUUUGACAACCAAACGAGCCUUGUACCUUGUCAUGUUGUCGUCAUUUUUCAAUUUGAACACCCACUUGUUUUUCAAUGCUUUUCUGCCCUUUGGAAGCUCCACCAGCUCAUAGGUAUUAUUCUUUAAUAAGGAAUCCAUCUCUGACUCCAUUGCCUUCAUCCAUUUAUCACUGUCGUUAUGAGCUCUGGCCUCCUCAUAAGUUUCGGGCUCUCCAUAAUUAGUCAACAUGAUAUACUCUGAUGAAGAAUACUUGGUAGACGGUCUUCGACUUCUGCUGGAUCUUCUGACCUGAUCUUCAUUCUCUUGCGGGGCUAGAGGCUCCCCCUGAUUGGAUUCUCCUUGAAUCUGCUCUUCUUGACUAGGCUCCCCCUGAUCAGCAAUCUCAUGGUCUGGCACAUCUUGAUCAGGCUCCUCUUGAUCAGCAUUAUCUGAUUCUGCAGGCACUUCAUUGGCAGUUGCUUCAGGGAUGUCAUCGUGACUUUCUUCAUCUAAAGCUAAUGGAUCAACUCCUCUGACUGCGCCAUCUGGUUGUGCCUCUUUAUCCGAAUCCCCAAUUGUUUGAUCUUCAUAAAAGACCACAUCUCUACUUCGGAUAAACUUCUUCUGGUAUGGGUCCCAUAAUCUGUAACCAAAAUCUUCACCGCCAUAACCAAGAAAGAUGCACGGUGUAGCUUUGUAGUCUAACUUCGAUCUCUGCUCUUUGGGCACAUGCACAAAAGCUUUGCAACCAAACAUCUUCAGAUGAGAGUAAGACACAUCAUUACCAGUCCAUACUCUCUCUGGAACAUCAAGACCUAAUGGUACUGAUGGAGAUCGGUUGAUCAAAUAGCAGGCUGUCCUUACAGCUUCACCCCAGAACUGCUUAGAUAACUUUGCAGUCCUCAACAUACACCUGACUUUCUCCAUGAUGGUUCGGUUCAUUCUUUCAGCAACACCGUUAUGUUGUGGAGUUCCAGGAACUGUCUUCUCAUGACGUAUGCCAUGUUUUACACAAUACUCUCUAAACUGGUGAGAUGUGUACUCGCCGCCGUUGUCGCUACGAAGGCACUUGAGAGGUUUCCCAGUUUCCCUCUCCACCAUGGCAUGGAACUCCUGGAAUGUCUGAAACACCUGGUCUUUGGAUUUCAACAAAUACACCCACACCCUUCGUGAAGCAUCAUCAAUAUAAGUAACAAAAUAUUUAUUUCUUCCAAGUGACUCGACUUCCAUGGGACCACACACAUCUGAAUAAACAAGAUCUAACAAGUUUCCUUUCUUUGUAGAUGGAACAGAAAAACUAACUCUUCUUUGUUUUCCGAAUAAACAAUGCUCACAAGAGUUUAACGACGUACCUUUGGCAAAGGGAAUGUGAGACUUCUUUGCCAAAACCUGUAGGCCUUUCUCGCUCAUGUGACCUAGCCUCUUAUGCCACAAGUCUAGAGAUGAGUCCUCCACAGCAUUCAACUCACCUUUCAAAACCUUGGCAUUUGACCGGUACAACGUACAACAAAGUCGUGCUCUUGCUACCACCAUUAAGCCUUUAGUAAGCUUCAAAUUUUCCUUCGCCAAUAUGGUGAUAAUAUCCUUGUCGAUCAAGGGUACCGAUGGAUAUCAGAUUGAGACGUAUAUCAGGAAUAUGUCUCACAUCUUUCAACAUCAAUUGGCAGCCGAGAUUAGUUCUUAAGCAGAUAUCACCAAUUCCAAGAAUUUUGGAAUAGCUUUCAUUCCCCAUCUUCACUAUGCCAAAGUCACCUUCUUUGUAUGUACUGAAGAACUCCCGUUUGGACGUAGCAUGGAAGGAAGCUCCAUUAUCAAAGAUCCAUUCAAUGUCUCUGUCAGAGUUGCCUAUAUGCAGACAUUCACCAACAGACAAUAUUUCUGGUACAUCACCACAUAUGACAGCGGUGGUAUUGCCAGUAUCAUCUUUCUUCUGAUUGUUUCCUUCCCUUUGCUCUCUCUUCCAAACUCGACAAUUUUUCUUCAUAUGGCCUUCUUUGCCACAGUGGUGGCAUGCACCCCUGAACCUUGACUUGGAUCGGCUAGGACUCCUGCCAUGACCUCUAGGCCCUCUACUCUUGCUUCUUCCGCGGUUCUCUGUGACAAAUACUUGGCUGCUAUCUGUGCCAGAAGUCUUUCUCCUUGUUUCUUCAUUGAGCAUGCUAUUUUUAACAUUAUCAAGAGUAAGAACACCAUUAGAAGCAGAGUUACUUAUACUCACCACAAAGGUCUCCCAACUGUCUGGCAAGGAUCCAAGUAACAAGAGCGCUUGUAGCUCGUCCUCGAUCGUCAUUUUCAUAGUAGCCAACUGGUUGAUGAUAUAUUCUGGAAAUUGUUCAAGUGUUCUGCUACACUUAAACCAUCCUUGUACUUCACAUUGAUGAGCUCUUUGAUCAAGAAGGCUUUCUUGGCUGGGGUCUUCUUCUCGAACAAGGACUCAAGCUUCGUCCAAAACUCGCGAGCAUUGGUUUCAUUAGACACAUGGUGAAAAACACUAUCAUCCACCCAUUGUCUAAUUGUGCCAAUAGCCUUGCGAUUCAUCUUCUUCCACUCGGCAUCGGACAUGCUCUCGGGCUUAGCGGCAUCUCCUUCAAUUGGCUCAUGCAAAUCCUUGCAAUAGAGAAUGUCCUCCAUCCUUGGCUUCCAUGUUACCCAAUUGGAGUUGGUGAGUUUGAUCAUAGUGCCACUUCCUUCCAUCUCGUAGUACGAGCCAACCGGGCUCUGAUACCACUUGUUAGGAAUGUCGGUACUACAAGAUAGAGAAUGCACAAGGUAAAGUAGAAAAUGGACGCCAAGAAUUUAUGUGGUUCGGCAAUUUAUGCCUACGUCCACCAAACAAGGAAUCUUCACUAUAUGAAAAAGAUGAAUACAACAAGAGUAGUCUUACCAAGCCAAAGACAAGGCUUGAUGGAUACAAGAAAGUAUAACACACACUUUCUAUCACUCUAAACUUCACUCACACAAUGUGUAGUGGAACACUCUCACUCUCACUCUUGGAGUGGAACUCUAGCUUUGGACUUGAUCCUUUGCUACUCACUCUUGGUUCUCAAUUGGUUACAUCACACCCAUAUUUAUAGGUGAGGGCUUGGCAUUCUACUAGUUUCUAGUUCCUUCUUCAAACCUCUAGUAUAGAAAAAUCUAGACUAGCCACAUACUUGUAGCUUCUAGAUCUUUCCAUUUGCAACCAAGGAAGCUAGUACUCUCUAGCUUCUUCCAUCAACUUAAUAACAUGCUAGAAUUGUCUAGCAAGCUCCAGCCUCAUCUCUUGCUUACUAGAAUAAUCUAGAACAUUGAUCAUGGGCUGGACCAUAUACCAACAUCUUUCUCUCCCUCGAAACGUACAGCCCCAUGUGACUCUGUCUACAUGCAAACCCUCUCCUCAACCACUCGGAAUGACACCAACACCAGCCACCCACCCCCCAAGCGCAUUCGCAGAAAUCCUCCCAUAACGAACACCCUUGCCCCCAUCUCUCUCUGCAAAUCCCUGAAUCUCGUAGCCAUCGAAAUCCCGCCAUAUCUCUCUCUUCGGGUUUCAGUAGGAAAAGGCCGGCUUUUCCAUCCCUUCUUCCUUUUCCACGAUUAUCAACACGUGUGCAUCAAGAGCAGCGGUAGAGAGAGUCCAAAACGCUGUCCAUUCCCAGAGUGCAAUUUCAUCCCCUACUCUCUCUCUCUGCAAGCAGGACCGCUGUCCAUUUGCAGGGAGGCAGCCCUCUACUUGCGGUGCCUACAUGCCAGCUAUAUAUCGUGCGAUGACGGUUAAGCCACGUCAACAUUUUAUAUUUUUAUUAUUUUUUAUCUUAUUAUCUCAUUAAAAGAUUAAUAUAAAAUAUUAACGUAAUUUAAUCGUAACCGCACAAAAUAGGAAGGCGCACCACAACUAGGAGGGCAGACAAUCUGCCUCCCAUUUGCAGCUCUCGUCUCUUUCCAAUCCGUCAAUGCUUCUGUCCUUCUUCCCCCAACAACAACAGGCCUACCGAAGCCGAAGCAAAAGCAAAAGCCCAGAUGCAGCCCAAACGCUCAAAACCGGUUCUUAAGGUGAUGGCAAAACCGUAAAUGUAACCAAAUUUACACAGUGGCAUAGACGUAAAUAUAUCAAAAAGAACAUGCGGUGGCAAUUUUGUAAAUAAAGUGAAAUCCGGCCAAAUUCACUGUUCAGUUGAACAGUGCAAUUGGAUUUCUUACUUUAGACUAAAGUAAUGAUUUAUUAAGGAUGUACUAUCCACACACCUCUUUUUACUUCUCUCACAUCUCUUGUUAAUUUGUGUCCUUUGAUCUUCUUCAAUUCAUCUGAUCCGACGACCGAAUUAAACGGGUGUGAGAGAAGUAAAAAGAGGUGUGUGGAUAUCACAUCCCUUUAUUUAACUUCUUAAUGUGAGGAGAAAUUUUUCAUUGUCGCGGAAACAUGAGGGGUACAUCAAGUGUUUUUAUGCAAGUGGUGAAAUUUUUUAUUUUUUAAGUUAUUAAUUUUUUAAUACACAUAUCACACCAUUAGUAUAGUGACAAGUGGUGUAUCAUCCCGUAUUCCGAUCACAUUGAAAAAUCUCUCUGAGAACGGUGUAAGUAUGUGUUUUAAGAUUAAAAACAAGAAGGAAAAGUUAGAUCGUAGUACAAAGACCUUAUCAACCUUCUAUACGUUCCUAGAAAACAAGAAAACAAUAUCUUCAAUUUCAUUUUUUCAGAAACCAAUAAAACUUUGAUAAGUUUUUGCUCCACCAUCUAUCAUUUCUUUCCUGUUUUUACUCAAAAUACGCAGACUAUGCAGCCCUCACAAAAGUAUUUCAACAACGGAAAUUUUAUUUGAACCCAUAUUUUGUAUCUCAACAUCCAGCUUAUUUUUUAUACCCAUAUUGUAUUUAAUUUAUCUAUCAUUAUCUCUUUUCACUCAAUAUUAUUUCCAAAACCGUCCUUACUUAUCAAAAUUCAACUCAAUCAAACUUCUUUUUACACCCAACUCAAUCUACUUAAAAAUAAAAAAAUAAAACUCUAACCAGUCCAUCAUCUCCAGGGAGAAAAGGCCCUUCUCUAUCUUUAAAAAAAUUAUUCCAUCUCCUAUGGUUGUCAUUCUGCACCCCCAUAUACUCCUCCAUAGUCGUCCAAACCUCUUCAUCUUCCUUUUCUUCAUCAUUUGACAUCUCUAAAUUUCUAGAGCACUAAUUAGCUUAAUAAUUGGUAUGUGUUCAAUCAAUUGGUUCAAUUUUUACGUAUUGAUUCCUUUUUCUUUUCAAUUAAAUGAGCUUCUAGUUGGAGUGUUUAAUGAGUUUGGUAUGCUUCAAUUAAAUGACGGCGUGAGUUUGAAUUUUAUUGGUGACUAGUCUACCAUCUAACUUACUAAUGCUAUCGCUCGACUAAAAAAAAAAACAUUUGAAAUGUAUGUAAUGGAUAAACACAAUCUCAAAAUUUAAUUAAAGUUAUAUAAGAACGAUAAAUAAAGGCAUUAUCACAACUUAGGGGUGGUGGGCAAUCUCAUUAAAAUAGAACUUAAUAUAUACAUAUUAAAAACAAAAACAAAUUAAUGCAAAAUCUCCCGACGACUAAUACUAUUCCAAGUCAUGCAUGAAACAUACACAUUUGUCCCUUCAUGCCACUUGGUUAUAAGCAAACAUCAUGCAUUUACUAAUACCAUUCAAAGUCAUGCAUGAAACCUACACAUUUGUCCCUUCAUGCUACUUGGUUAUAAGCAAACAUCAUGCACAAGUUGUUUACUAAUUAGUAUUACUACUAUUUAGCUUGUAUCAUGACUGUUUUCUUUCCGUUAUUCAUACGCCCAAAACUUUGUAAGAAAUAAUAUUGAUUAUUCAAAACGAAUCAACAACUAGUUGCACAGUGUCACAGUCAGUGAUACUCCCAACCUGAUAAAGAAAGAAGAAAAAAAAAAUGAAGUCGACUUCCAAACUAAAAUAAAAUGUAUAUAAAUAUAGAAAAUUAUUAUUAGCAUUCCAAAAAUCUCAUUUGGCACUCCAAACUUUCUAUAAUUAGAAAGAAAAAUACAUUUGUGUGAAGUGUAAAAUGAGAUUUUUGGAGUGCUAAUAACAAUUCCCUAAAUAUGUCUUAACAAAUAUUGUACGUGACAUUGACUUAGACUUUCGCGAAUAGACUUAUAAUUUCUGGUAUCUAAUAAAUAUCCAGAUUGAAAAUAUUCAUCGAUUUACAAAAUUUUCUCAUGGAGGUACCCAUUUUUUUGUCACAGAUACUAAUAUAGAGGCUAAAAGACAAUACAAUAUUAAAUUCAUAUGUGGUUGAGAUUUAUGAAUUUAAUCAUUAAAAUGCAUAAGCUCAAUUAUACAUUCAAGUUAGAUAAAUUCCUAAAAUUUUGGUCAACAAUAAAACUGCUUACGUAUGAGUUCACCUAUAAAACGUGCAAAUGCGAUAUACUUUUUAACCACAGUUCUAUGUAUUGUGAAUUUUUGUUUACAACUUUUGUGGCAUAUAGAGGCUAAAAGAUACUACAUAUUAAAUCCAUAUAUGGUCGAAAUAUUUAUCAGUUUAAUUAUUAAAAUCUAUAAACUCAAUUACACAUCCAGGUUAGAUCAAUUCCCGAAGGUUUGCUCCACAAUAAAAACUGCUUAGCUAUGAGUUUGCCUAUAAAACGUGCAAAUGUGAUAUACUUUUUAGCCAUAGUUCAAUGGAAAGUGAAUUGUUGCCCGCAACUUUUAUAUCUAAUAAAUAUCCACGGUUAAAAUAUUCAUUGAUCUACCAAAAAUUAUCAUGGACGUACCCAUUUUUCUACCACAGAUAGGAAUAUAGAGGCUAGAAGAUUCUCAUUUAAUUGAAACAUGCCAAACUUAUUAAACACUCUAACCAGAAGCUCAUACUGAUUUUUAAGCUAAUUAGUGUUCUAGAAAUUUAGAGAUGUUAAAUGAUGAAGAAAAGGAAGAGGAGGAGGUUUGGAUGACUACGGAGGAGUAGAUGGGGGUGCAUAAUGAUAACCAUGGGAGAUGGAAGGAUUUUUUUUUAAAGAGAGAGAAUGAGAUUUGCUCCAUGGAGAUGAUGGACUGGUUAGGGUUUUAUUUUUAAGUAGAUUGAGUUGGGUGUAAAAAGAAGUUUGAUUGAGUUGAGUUUUGAUAAGUAGGGGCGGUUUCGGAAAUAAUGUUGGGUGUAAAUAGAUAAUGAUAGAUAAAUAAAAUACAAUGUAGAUAUAAAAAGUAAACUGAGUGUUGAGAUACAAAAUAUAUGUUCAAAUAAGAUUUCUCUUUCAACAACUAGUUUCUUAAAAAAAAGAACAAUAAUGUUAUUCUUACUAUGUUUAUACCACAUUUAUAUAUCACCUUAUGUGGUAUUUUAUGUGGACGACCAUAUCAUUAAAUUAAUCAGAAUUUAAUAUAAAUUAAAAAUCAUUUAAUAAAUCAAUAAUUAAAAUAAAAGCUGGAAUUAAAUGGUGAUUAUGGCAUACGAGGAGUUUUCUUCUUCCUUCCCCAUUCAAUCAUGCUUCUUCUCCUAUUUCUUCUUCCACGCCAAUUCUUUCAUGCCAUAUUUUUUCGCUCCCUUAUUUGGAUUAUUAGUACGCAUCUAUCAUUUUUUUCAAUGAAUUUAAUUUUUUUAGUCUGUUUAUUUCUUCUUCUUUCUCUCAAUCUCCAUUGUGUAGCAAGAUAAAUUCUUCUUCGGGUCUUGAUCAGAGUUGACGUUAGUGGUGUUGUGGUGAGGGAUGAAGGUUUCCUGACAAUACGUAAUUGAGAUUCCUUUAAUUUGAUUAUAAGUAGGAACAAGAUGGAGUCCUUAAUGACUCAUAGUGUUAAAUCUUCAACCCCCAAGUGUCAUUUUUCUAUGAACAAAAAGGUUUAGGUAAAUAGUCCAAUGGAGAUCGAAAGAAAGAAAGAAGAAGAAUAAACAGACUAAAAAAAUAUAAAUUCAUUGAAAAAUAAUGGUAAAUGCUUACCAAUAAUCCAAACAGGGGAGCUUCGAUGAACCUUUGCCGUAGGAGAAUUAGUUGAGAUUGUGGUAGUCCGCACUAACGGGAAAAAAACUUGAGUGAAAAAAUAUGGCGAAGAAACGGAAGAAGAAGCAUGAUUGAACGGGGAAGGGAGGACAAGAUUCCUCGUAUGCCACAAUCACCGUUUAAUUCCAGCUUUUGUUUUAAUUAUUGAUUUAUUAAAUGGUUUUAAUUUAAAUUAAAUACUGAUUAAUUUAAAUGAUGUGGUUGUCCACAUCAAAUACCACAUAAUGUGGUAUAUUAAUGUGAUAUAAAAACAUGGUAAGAGUAUCAUUACUGAAAAAAAAGAAAGAAAAUAAUCAAUAAAUUCACUUUAGGUGUAAAUACAUAGAUUCACAUCGCUUUAUUUAUUUAUUUAUUUGUAUAUUCCAAGUUGAUUAAGGUAAUUAAGUAAUCUUUCUUGACUUAACUUUAAAUAAUUAAAUAAACUUGGCUUGACUUUGCACACUCCCCUCGCUUAUUGACCAAUGACUCAGUACUAAGUCUUUUUUUUUUGUUUGGUCAUAACUCAGUACUAAGUGAGAUCGAUAAUUUCUUGUGCUCGUCCUGGAAAUAAACCGGACAAAGCCUAAUGGUGGCCUAAAACAAUAACAGACAAAUCAGCCAAGAUGAGGAACACAAAAUAUGCAACCAUGCGUUUUAAUCCCCUCCUUUUAUAUUAAUUCCUAGAGAAGGCCAACCAUGCUCAAGGCAACGCGUAUCGACUAAUGACCAAUACUAAGUCAGGUGGCUGUUUUCUUGUGCAUUUCCUGGAAAUAAAUGGGACAAAGCCUAAUUGUGGACUAAAACAAUAACAGUCAAUUAAGAGUAGGGACACAUUUUCCCCCAACCGAAAAUAUUCCACCACGCCUUUUAAUCCCUUCCAUAUAUAUAUAUAUAUAUAUAUAUAUAUAUAUAUAUAUAUAUAUAUAUAUAUAUAUAUUCCACAUUAAAUGCCACAUAAAAUGGGACUAAGUCAGGUGGAUGUUUUCUUGUGCAUUUCCUGGAAAUAAAUGGGACAAAGCAUAAUUGUGGACUAAAACAAUAACAGACAAAUUAAGAGUAGGGACACAUAUAUAAUAUAUUCCACCAUGCGUUUUAAUCCCUUCCAUAUAUAAUAUAUUCCUACAGAAGGCCAACCUUCUUAAUUAGCAGUUCCUUAAUUUCUUGGAUCCAUCACCUGCUUGGAUUUUAUUCUCUGCUACUGCUAGGAUCUGCUCGACCCUUUUCAGUUAAUACUAUAUGGCGUUACAUAGGAGGAUGCAUAUUUUGCAUCUCUCUUUAGUAAUGGUGGUAGAAGUUACAAUUUUACUAGCAACUCCAACAACAGCUCAAUCUCAACUGGCACUGCCUGACUGCCCUGACCGUUGUGGUAAUCUCACAAUUCCAUACCCAUUUGGCAUAGGCGAUGGUUGCUACCUCGACGACCGGUUUAACAUCACUUGUGACAGUUCCACUCAACAGCCAACAACAUUUUUGUUGACGACCAAUAUCGAAAUUACCAACAUAUCUCUUUAUGACGGUGAGCUCCAAAUACAUAAGUUCACAUGCAGUGAUUGUUAUGAUGCUGUUGACCCUAGAAACUACAAAGGCCUACGUGGCGCGCAGGCCGAGUAUUUUCUAAGCUAACUACGUCCUUCGGUGAUUGCGGGGCGUGCCAACUCGUCGGCCGAGCUCGGCCGAGGAGUAAAUUUGAUGAUGUUGCGUCGAGCGCGCUGCUGACUUCUGUGUCUUGCGAUUGCGGCCGAGGAAGGAACAAUUCUCAGCCUCUUGGGUUCUAGAGCCUGAAGACAAGGCUGCUAAUUUGCGAAGUUCAAUCUCAAAUUCGGCUGUCAAUGUGCCGAAUACAGUAACCUGGUAACACCUCACUUCGCCGAGAAGGCUGAUGAGAUGACCUCGACCAAUAGGGAUUCGGAAAUCCUUCUCGACCGAGACUUGGAUAGGUAACCAGUCGUCCUCGCCGCAGUGCUGUUGAUGCCAACGAAAGAUACUGCGAGACCGACUGACUCUACGGUGACAGAGCUAUCUAUGCCGACUUAAGAUAUCACCGGUUGCUUCCACAGUGCUGUUGAUGCCAACGGAAGAUGUGUCAGCGAAGAAAGGAAAAAGAAAAAUCACAAGUUGUGAGAGUUUGCGCAGGGCAAUUUUUGUAUUGAUUUUGUAGGGGCUUUUCCUGAUGCACAGCGUCCCCUAUUUUAUAGUACUGAACCUUGAGUCCGAGUUUACAUCCUACUCGGACUAGGUUUCCCUCUCCGGAUCACCUCGACCAGUCCUACACCUAUUAGGACUAUGAACCUAGUCCUUAGCUAAGCUGGAUUAAUUUCCUGGAUAUCCGAUCCCGUCGAGACUCCCCAUUGCACUAGGAUUCGUCUUAACCGCCAUAGGUUUGGACUCCCACGGGUUGACCGAUCCAUGGUCCUUUUGCCGCCCGGCCUCCUGGGCCGAGAGUGAUCCUACCCUCGGCCCAAACUAUUAUUUUGGGCCCAAACAUUGCCCCCUCGCUUCUGAGGUCCUCGGCUUGAAACCUUCGGCCGAGUUUCGGCCUUGAAGAAGCGAAUCUACCACUCAGGAUCCUAAUACCUGAGUUCCAAGGCGCAUUUAUUGAGCACGAUCGCACGAUCUUGAUCCUGCUAACCCACUCGCCACGUGGCGUCCUCUAACAUGGCCAAUCCCCCAUAAUGACGUCUAAGGCGUGCGGCAGCCUGAACCGUCUUGCCAUCAUGACCACUAUCUCAAUCCGCGAGCCACUACCUCAGUCCGUGAGCCCACUUGUCAUCGUGCGGGCGUCGAACCGUCUUUCGUCAUUAAUUUCGCCGUCACACGCAAUCCUGCGCCCCCAAAACCCUGACCUUCGGUCUUCUCAACCGCAUUUCCCAAAUGUUCGUCAUGAUCGACAAUUCCUUCGGUCGAUUUUGCCCUUUGUUUUGAAUUUCGAACGAUUGCUCUUCCCCCUAUAACUCUAUAAAUACCGAAAUUCCCUCAUUUGUACCUUUACGCUCUCAAACUUCCUGAAAUCCUCUGCCGUUGAUUUCUAGUGCAUUUCUCCUAUUCCAAGUCUUCGUCUUUAAAUCCCCAACCCAGACAACCCUUCUACUCCGUGCUUCUUUCUCACAAUGGCGUCCUUCAUCUCCAAGCUUUCCAGGGAGUGUGACCAACAUCAGAAGAUUUUUGAUCGGAGCUCGAUCAAGACCAUCCGGUUUGAAAACGACAUGAGCACCCAGUACCAAAUCAUGGGCCCUCUCUUCAAGGCUACAAUACCGCCGACUAUCAUCGGCCUUCUACAGGAGCACUGCCUAACACCCUUGCUUCAAGGGUUUGAAUGGUCGCGAUGGGAUGCGGCUAAGCCCCAGGGCUCCUGGCCCUCGACGACCACAUCCUGGGCAGCCUGGGUCGUUCGAAUGGAACGACUUUUCGGCGAGCAAUGGAAGGCUCUUGGCAUCUACGACGCCAUCCUCCUUUCGUCUAUGGAAAUCGUUCCCGACAAGGAGCUUCUCCAAGCCGCUCUGUGCUUCUGGUGCUCGGCCACCAACACAAUGGUCCUUCCUCUGGGUCCUAUUGGUCCCACCAUCCUGGAUAUCACUGCCAUUCUGGGGACUUCGGCGACCGAGAUCCCCGUCGACGCGACCCUCUCUGGGCAUCCGUCGAAUAUCGACCUGAAAACGCUCUUUGACCGUCGGGCCUCCGAGACCUUGAACCGUGACGGUCAUAUCCCGUCGAAGGAAGAUAUUCAGAAGCUCCACAAGAACUUCUGUAAUUACAACACCCUCUAUCUCCACUUCGCCGGCCGAGGAGAAGAGGUCAUGCGAGAGGGAGAGCAUGAAGCCUUCCUCUUCUACUGGUACAACAAAUACAUUUGUUGUACCAAAUCCAACAAGUGUUUGGUCGAGAACAUGCCGGUAGCCGAAGCCCUGGCUAGUGGUCACGUCUUGGCACUGAGUUCCAACAUUCUCGCCCAACUUUUCCGCUGCCUGGCCGAGGCGACCCUCCACAAGGUCGACCCACACCAGAAUGGUCCUCUCUGGAUCUUCCAACUCUGGUUGCAGGUAUACUUCGCCUCCCUUCGGCCGGCCAUAGCUGAAUUCUCACCAACAGAGGCGCUUGGGCCUCAACUGGCCUCUCGACCGACACCUCCCCAUCAAGCCGAAGAGGUAUUUCGGUACCUCUUCGCUCUCGACGACUUCUCCAACGACGAGUUCCUAAUAUGUCGUCGUCGAGACUACCCUUCCUCCAUCAGGCUGCCUACCUCCCCAUGGAGCGCGGAGGAAGACGCCGAUCUUCGUCAGACCUGGGGGUCGUUUGUGCUUGCUCGCGACCUCCCUCUCGGCUGUGAUGGGAAACGGUCAGGUUGGGAAGUAUAUCAUCCGAACUUCCUUGCCCGACAGCUCGGCUACCUUCAGGGCUGCCCUAUCCCCCUUCUCUCCUCCCGAACGGUCCUAAGCCGUGGACGCGAACCUCGUUCCUCUGAGAAGGAGUGUAGAACCGCCGUGAGGGAGUUCCAAGAGCGCUGCCAAAAAUUCCGCCUUCGACCAGCCACCCCGGAAACCCAUUGCACCGACACCUUUGGUGAGUGGUGGGAGAAAUACACCCAGGAAUUCUUUGGUGCGCCGGUUGGAGAUGUGCUUAGCAGACUCUUCGGUGACCGGCCUAAGAAGGCAUCGGCCCCUCAUCCUCAAGGUACCUGUUCCACUUUCCUCCUUUCCAUCAACCUUGCAUAUUGAUUUGCCUUACUGAAUUGUCUUUAUCUUUUUAGGUAGUCGGCCUUUGAGGAAGACGGAGGCAGUUGCCGCUGUCACGGCCGAGAAAAAAUCGGUCGUGGCCCAAAAGGACAAACCCGCUGGUAGGGCUGUGCUGAACAAACGGCCUCGCCAAGAGGCCGAUCCGGCUGUUGAGCCUUCCCCGCCUGCUAAGCGGGUUAAACAAAUGGCGAAGAAAGGUACACGGGAGAUCCACGUUAUCUCCAGUCACACGACGACUCCCAGUGCUUCCCCUUCUCCCGCCGCUGGUAAUUCUGGGGUCGAGAAACAACCGGCUUUGGCGCAGAGACGGCCCUAGCGCGGCCUGCCUCUGUGGCCGACGCAUCAAUUGUCCCUCCCUCUAUCGAGAAGGCACCUGUCUCACAACAGGCGGUUUCUACGACCGAGGGAACCUCUCCCAAGAAUCCAAAUCCCUCGGUCCUCGUGUUGGAAGAGAGUGAGGGGAGCGACGAGGUCCCGCUGGCGCAUCGUCCUCAUACUCGUCGACAACCUCCUCCAGUAUCCGAGAUGGUGGUUCAAACCGGCCCCUCCUCGGCUAAUCGUGGCAAGCGCACGGUCGAGGAACCGACCCCUGUGGCCGAACCUCUCGUUCCUUCUCAGGACCAGGAAGUCCCUGCCUCUGAAGCAGCUGCGCCAAUCGGCCCAUCGGCAGCCGACCGUGGCAAACGGCUGCUCGAGGAACCCGAGGCCACGGCGGAAUCGCCGGUCCAUCCUCAAGACCAAGGCUUCCACAUUCCUCCACAGGAGGUUACCUCGGCUUUUGUAAGUACCUCCACUUGUCUCCUCCUGAUUGCUUUUCUGCUUUAGAAUUCUAAACAAGGAAAAUACUAAAUGUCAGGUGCCUAUACAUUCUUUUCACCGUCAAUUCUAUGCGCCGAAGGGCGUUAUCUAUAUUUCCUGGCCGCCUCAGUGGCCAUCAAACGUAGAUAACCUCCAUCGGCCGCGUUAAGUGAGAAGCAAUCUGAGACACUGGGCUCGGCCAUUGAGUUCUUUAGGUUCAAGCAACGAUCCUGGGGACAUGGCCGAGGUCUUCUCUCAGCAGGUUAAAAAACGACACCUUCUUGCUAUUCUUGUCAGGACUUCCUUUAAGCUUAACCUUGUCUAUUCGUGCAGGCUUCAUGGGAGGUUGAAUUCAAAGCCCUCAUUUCCAGCACGACUGCAGAGUCCGGCCCUUCGGCCGCUCCGACUGAGGCUGCCGAUCCAAGCGCCCUAACCCAGUUGCGAGAAAUCCUGUCGCUCUCAUCCUCGCAAGUACUUGAGCGCAACGGUCUUGAUCUGCUCGGCGUGUGUCUGAACGACCUUGGAGCUGACGGUCGCCUGAGCGGAGAUGCCAUUGUUCGGGCAUCGUCUGCCUUGGAGCGCGUUCGGGAGACAUUCAGUAUCUUCCAGACUGCUCUGAAGGCCGAACAAGACCUGCAAGCCGCCACGGCCGUUCAAGACACCCUCCGUCCGAAGAUUGACGAUCUACGGGCAAAAGGAGAAGCGUUAGCCGAACUCGACCGUCAGAUGGCCGAACUAGCGAAACGCCGGUCGGCCAUUGCUUCUGAGCUUGCGAGGGACUUCGAGUCAGGUGGGAAGAAUCGCCUAACUGAGUAUGCGGCGGCCAAAAAAUGGGUCGAGCGACUGAAACUGGACAAAAAGAAUCGGCAAGCCGAAGUCAUCAUGGCCGACGUGCGGUGGUUGGAGUUGAAGGCUCUGCUCAGCACUCUUCUUCCCUCGUCUCCUUGAAUGUAUUCGACCCACUCAUUUUUGUAAUACCUAUCAAUCUUAAUGGAAUGAUUUUUUUCUACUGGUACAAGAAAUUUUUUUAUUCGCGCAUUUCCCAUGUGACCGGAUAGUAUUUCUUCAAGAACUUCCCAUUAAUCGGUAAUUUGUGAACUACUCCAGUCCGGUCUUUAAGAUGAUACGCCCCUUUGCCGUAUACUUUAUGCACAAUGAACGGCCCUUCCCAAUUCGGCGACCACUUGCCGAACCUAGGAUCUUUUAAUCCUAUGGGCAACACCGUUUGCCACACCAAUUCACCUUCGCCGAACGUUUUCUGUCACACCUUCUGAUUAUAGGCUCGCUCGGCAAUCUGUUUUUGUGCCACCAGUAAGUUAUAAGCGUCAAUUCGUGCCUCUUCCAAAUCUUCCAGUCCCUGUCUUAUGGACUGAUUAUAUUCGGCGCUAAACAAACUACUUUGUUCAAUUAAUCGCAACGAAUUUAUGCUCAACUCGACUGGUAGCACCGCAUCGUGUCCGUAGGUUAAUGCGUACGGGGUUGUUGCAGUCGCCGACCGGGGCGACGUUCGGUAUGCCCAUAAUGCCUCGUUCAAUUUCAAAUGCCACAUGCCAGGCCUUUCUUUUAUUAUUUUUUCGAGGAUGCCGAUCAACACUUUAUUACUUGCCUCGGCCUGCCCAUUCGCCUGUGGAUAAUACGGUAUGGACUGUUCCAGCCGAAUUUUCAAAUUGGCCGUGUAUUCUUUAAACCUUUCGGCUGUGAAGAUUGUUCCAUUGUCAGUUAUGAUCGUUUCUGGAACACCGAAUCGGGUCACAAUGUGUUCCUCCACGAAAUCGCAAACUUCUUUGGAUGUUAACUCGGCAUAUGAUUUUGCUUCGACCCACUUAGUGAAGUAAUCAGUUGCGACUAUUAUCCAUGCAUGCUUAGCAGCUCCGGAAGUCGGCAUGAUUUUGCCGAUUACAUCCAUGGCCCAUCCUCUAAACGGCCACGGCUUAAUGACCGAAUGUAGUGAUUCGGCCGGGACCCUUUGUAUAGGCCCAUGGAUUUGGCAUUGCACGCAUCCUCGUGCAAACUCGAUACAAUCUUUCAGUAUUCUCGGCCAAAAAUAGCCAUGUCGUCGGAGUAGCCAUCGCAUUUUUCGUCCCGACUGGUGAGCCCCGCAUACCCCUUCAUGAACCUCUGCAAUCGCCCGAGCACUCUCUUGGGGGCCGAGGCAUAGCAAUAACAAACCAUCUUCGCCCUUUCGGUACAACUCGUUCUGGUACGUGACAUAGUUCGUGGCGUGAACCCAUGUCCUGCGACUAUGUUUUCCGUUAGGAUUGUCAAGGUACUGCAUAAUGGGCUUUCUCCAAUCAUCUGGUACUGCCUCGACCGUGCAAAUUUCUAUAGAGUCCUGCCGAUCUAACAACGACGGCAGGGACAUGACCCUGGUGCGUAUCACAUUGUCUCGACGGAAGAUUUGCUGAUCAACCAAGGCCGGGUAUAAUUGUCGUAAUAUUGGUAUCUCCCGGCCUAGCUUGCCCCCCAGGAGUUGUGCACCGGAGGUGAUUUGAGCCAACUCGUCUGCGUCGGUAUUAUGAACCCGGGAAACAUGCUCGAAUGUAAUACCGUCAAAAGACUCGGCCAAAUAGCUGGCGACCAUGUGGUACGGCGCCAGAGUACAACUCAUGUAGCGAAAAGACCCAUUAAUUUGGUUAAUCACUAGUUCAGAAUCCCCGAGGACGAGGACACGAGUGGCAUGUAGGUCAAGAAGGAGGCCCAGACCAAUGACCAGCGCCUCGUAUUCGGCCUGAUUAUUGGUGCAGUCGAAAUCCAAUUUGAGCGAAAAAUACCAACGAUCGUUGUGAGGAGAUUGAAUGACGAUGCCUGCGCCGGCCAAGGACGAAGUACUAGAACCAUCGAAAUACAUCGUCCAAUAAUUGUCGCGGGUCACCACCAUGCCGAUUUCGACGUCAGCACUCCCGAAACCGUAAGGCGAAGGGUGCUGGGCAAGGAAAUCGGCCAACGCCUGUCCUUUCACAGCUUUUUGCGGCACAUAUUGCAAACUGAACUCGGACAACGCCAUCGUCCAUUUCCCAAUUCGGCCCUUCACAAUUGGCCGGGUAAGCAUGUACCGGAGAACGUCGGUCUGGGCAAUAACUUGUGUGACCGUCGGGAGCAUGUAAUACCGAAGCUUGGAUGCAGCGAAGAACACGGCGAGACAAAGCUUCUCAACGGCGGAAUAAUUGAUUUUCGGAUGACUCAGAUUACAGCUGAGGUAGAAGAUAGCCUGUUCCCGUCCGACAUCGUUGUCUUGCGCAAGGAGGCAACCGAUGGACUCUUCGGCCGCCGAAAUGUAUAGCUUGAGAGGCUUGCCGCGUUAAGGAGGGACCAGGACAUGUGGGUUUGUAAGAGAAACCUUGAUCUGCGUAAACGCCGCCUGAUGCUCCUCAUUCCAUACGAACUUAUCUAAGUCCUUGAGUUUCAAAAGUGUGGAAAAUGCUUUCAUUUUACCUGCCGAAUUAGCAAUAAAUCGACGUAAAAAAUUGAUCUGGCCGAGUAAGGACUGUAAUUGUUUCUUUGUUGUUGGGGGUGGGGCAGUGAUGAUUGCGCGUGCCUUAUUCUCAUCGACUUCAAUCCCACGAUGAUGUACGAGGAAACCAAGAAAAUUUCCGGCCGAUACACCGAAGGCACACUUGGCAGGAUUCAUCUUGAGGUUGUGCUGACGCAUGCGGAGGAACGCCUGUCGGAGAUCGUCCAGAUGUGUCUGUCGGCGUUUAGAUUUGACGACAACAUCGUCGAUAUAAACUUCGACGAUGGUACCAAUCAAAUCAUGGAAGAUGGUGUUCAUUGCCCGUUGGUACGUGGCGCCGGCAUUCUUGAGGCCAAAUGGCAUGACAACCCAUUCGUAAGUGCCGAGUGCCCCCGGGCAACGGAAAGCAGUUUUGUGCACAUCGGCUUCGGCAAUAAAUAUCUGGUUGUACCCGGCAUGUCCAUCCAUAAAGGAUAAGAUCGCAUGAUUCGCCGCGGCAUCGAUUAACAGAUCUGAAAUCGGCAUUGUAUAUUCAUCUUUGGGCGUUGCCAGAUUCAGAUUUCGAAAAUCGGUGCAGAUGCGCAGUGCACCACUUUUCUUUAAUACAGGAACAAUAUUCGCCAACCAUUCGACAUAUCGAGCUGUCCGGAUGAAUCCAGCUUUCAAGAGCCGAACUAGUUCGUCCUUGACACUGAGUUGUACUUCGGUCGAGAAUCGACGAGGAGGCUGACGGAAAGGCUUGAAUCCGGGCUUAAUACGUAAUUCAUGCUCGACCAGAGCACGAUCUAAGCCGGGUAUUUCAUGAUAACUCCAAGCAAAACAAUCUUUGAAUUCCGUAAGCAAGGCCCGCAACUCGUCUUUCAUUUGCUGAGGAAGUAAAGCGCUAACAAACACAGGCCGUGGGUCACCGGCCGUCCCAACAUUAAUUUCUUCUAGGGGGUCCUUAACUUGGGGCCGAUAAUCUUCAAGCUCGGCCGGGGCCGCUCGAACUUGAUCAAAAGAUAGGGCAGGACCAGGAUCCUCUUCGGCAAGGAAUUCGACGAGGUUCACGCCUGAAUUCGGUUGCCGAGAUAUAGUAUACCAAUGGGCCAGCAGUCGUUCCAUCGUAGAUGAAACCGCGGCCCUACGUUUGUCCUGGUCUGUGUCAGACAUCAGACUCGGGGAGGAAAUUGGCCAAUCCGAGUCUCGCCGAAUCCUGGUGGACAGUCUCGGCGCCAACCUCGAUAGCUUUCUGAACCGAAAUCUGAGUCGGCCGUCCGUCUUCAUUGAAACCUUGCAAUGUAAUAUAGCCGACGUGGUCAUCAUAAUACCGGGCUUGGACCAUGUUAGCUUCGAAGGGUUGGCUAUCGGCCGGAUGAACAGUGACCGAUUUGCCGUCCCAAAAGACAAGCACUUGAUACAACGAAGAAGGAAUACAGCUGGUUUGAUGGAUCCAAUCUCGGCCGAGCAGUGCAUUAUACUCGGUUUUGGAAUCAACCACGAAAAAGGCGGUCAUGUGGGUGCGACCAACGAUAUUGACGGUUAACGGAAGUACCCCUUUGGUUUGGGAUUUGUCGCCGACGAAACUACUCAUUGUGAUUCCUGACGGAAUAAGCUCGUCAUUCGAACGGCGUAAGGCCUUCAUGAUGUUCAAAGGCAUGAUAUUGACGGUAGCCCCACAGUCGACAAAAACUUUAGAAACUGGAUACCCCUCAAUGUGAGCCGUCACAUACAAUGGCUUUAAAUGGUGAAGCUUGGCCGAUGAUGAACGAGGGAACAAUUCGGCCAAGGCAGCCUUUAAACCAUCAUCUUUUGUUGCUGACUCUCCUUCAGCAACCGAUACAAAAUCAAUAUGGCCGGGUUCUUUGGCAACCACAUCUCCAUCGAGGAAAUUUGGUUGAGCCGUGCGUGAUUGAAAAUCGGCAGGUAACACAUGGACCAUACUGAUUUCCAUAUUCUCCAGGACUGAUGGGCCCAUUGGGUCAAUACCCUCCUUGCUCGGUUGGUCGGCAACGAACGAUUCCGUUGCUGUCAAAGUUGGACAACAAGACUCCUCUGUUUCCUCUGUGAUGGCUUCAUGCGGCGGUGCUGCAUCAGCGAGUCGUUGGUCCUGUGCGACCGCUUCAGGCAGGGUCGAAAUUGCCAGUGCUCUUGGGGCCAAAGCCUGAACCUGCUCUUGAUAGUGAAGCCGGGCAUCCCUGAUGUCGAGAUAAGCAUCUAGACGUGCGACACGUGCAACUUCAUCGGCCGUAAGGCCGAAGAGAGAAACAGCCGAAAAUACCUCGAAGUGAUAUCGUAAAUACUGAAGGUCCUCCAUCGAGAAAGGGAGGUCAGCUGCACCGAUAUCGGUGCACGGGUCAACUUCAAAUCCAAGGACCCGAGCUUCUCGGAUAUGCUGGAACCUUGCUUUCAGUCCUGGAUCUGAGGUCUUUUGGAUGACUCGCUCGGCAUCCGGACAAGUCAGGACCAGAUCAAUAGUGUCCUGGCAUGCCUUCGGCAAACCAUACAGAUCGUUGGCCGAAUGCUUCUUAUGAAAUUCUCGCAUAUAUUCCAAGGCCUCCCCAAGAAAUGGUGGAUGCAAAUUCCGUCGAAUUUUGAUCAAAGGUUCUUGUAUAGCUGGCGGUGCGAACUUGCUUUCGGCCUCUUGUCGGAAAAACUCGAGUCGUGCCUUCAUCUCCCCUGGCCGAAGAAGAAGUUUGAUCCGUUUAUCAGCCUCCUCGAACGUAGUUUCAACAUCUCGGUCGACCAACCGUUUCCCUUGAACCAACUCUGUCAUGAUAGAGGGACUUGGUCGCUCAUCAUCGGGAGCAAUUGUGUCUUUCGGCCGCCAUUUAGGGCCCGAAGUUUCAUGGGUUGCCCGUCGGCGAGCCAUGCAAUCUAUCCUUUGGUGCCUACGUUUUUGGGAUUUGGACAGUGCCGUGUAAACUCCCCUCGAAGAAUGAUAUGUAUACCACCGUUGAUCUUUAGGUUCAGGAGGUUUGAAGGUUUUCUGGCUCCGCGAUGAUUCUGUGCUGCUAGAAUUUCGUUUGUAGUAAUCAUCGUCAUAGAACGAAUCAUCAAAAUCGAGGCGCCUCCGAACCGGGGGUAUCUCUUCCAUCCGUACUUUAGGACCAAGCCUGUCAAAAACCCCUUGAUGUUGGCCUAUCUUGGCAACAGUCCGCCGGGUUGCGGCCACGGGUCGUUCCGUCCCACGUGAAGGGGGCUUCUCCUCUGACUCACUCUCGACCUUGUUCUACAUUUCCUGCACAAAACCACCGUCCCGCUGUCUUCAUCGGUGGUAUAAUCCAUCAUAGGUUUGACAACAGCGGGUCCUGUUAAAGCCGUAGGUGGUGCGUUUAAACGGAAAUCGGCCAUGAAGCGUGGCCGAGAACUCUGAGUCCGAAAACAUUGCGUCGUAACGACUUCGGCCUUCCCUUUCCCUUUGUCCUUAGGGAGGCACGCAUCGACCAUAUUCACGGUUGCCGUGGGGAACGGAUCAACGUCAAUACCCAUCUUCUUCUCAGGAAAUUUCAGUUUACCAUUAUCAAUCCAGCUUUGGACGUUGUCGCGAAAUACGACACAAUUGUUUGUCGUAUGUUUGCUCGAAUUGUGAUAUUUGCAAUACACCUUUCCUUUAAGCUCUUCGGCUUUAGGAAUGUUGUGACCAGGCCAAAGCUUGAUAAUUCUUGCGGACAACAGUUGGUCAAAAAUUGCGUCAGCCUUGGUAAUAUCAAAAGUGUAAACCUUCGACGGUUUCAAUGCUCCUUCGGUGGCCGAGCGACUUUUGACUUCUCUAGAAUCAACCUGAGUCAACGCCUUGCAAACGUAUGGCUUAUCUAUCACUAUCUCGGCCGCAUCCACACUAACGCAUUCAUCCUUGGUGGACGCAUAGUUGACAGUAGGAUUCUUGUAAAGCGUCCCCCGAGAUGGCGUUUUCGAAACCUUCUCCUCGCGGAGCAAAUAGUCAUACUGUUCGACAUGUUGGGCUAAUUCGUACAUGUCCCGAAAGUUUGCCCCCAAGAAUUUCUUUUUAUAUUCGACGUCUAACCCGUUCAAAGCAAGCCUGACGAAUUCUACUUCGGGUAAAGGUACUCGGCACCAAUUCCUGGCUGACUUGAACCUAGUAAGAUAAUCCAUUGGUGAUUCAUCAGAUGCCUGAGCCAUCCUUGCUAACGAAGAAACUGACAUCUCCAUCCCUGGCCGAUAAAACUGCUCAUGGAAUUUCUCGACCAACUCUUCCCAGUUCUGGACGGAAUUGGGGGGUAAAUUAAUGUACCAAGCGAAUGCCGAGCCGGUCAAUGAGAAGUUGAACAGCCGUAACUUAUGAAAGUCGCUAUUAACAUCUCCGCAUUGCGCGGUAAAACGAGCCACGUGUUCUAACGAAGAUAAGGACGAUUCACCGGCAAAGAGGCUAAAAUCUGGAAUCUUGAAGCCUUUAGGGUAUCCAAACGUUUCCACGUAAGCCGGGUACGGAUGGAUAAACUUAGGAAACUUCGGCCCCUUUUUCAUGGCCGAGUCAAUCAUCCGCUGGACUUCGGUCAUAUCAACAGGUGCUGCUUCACUCCUCUGGUUGGUUCCGUCUGACCCGCUGUUCGACCCUCCACCUUUUUCCAAUUCAAUUGGUUUGGGGCGAGCAGGAAUAGGUUCGGCCGGUACAAUUGGUAACGGAUUGUUUCCCGGAGGGCAAUGCUGGAGAAGAUCGGAAGGCCUGCUGCCACCGACUUUACUAAACAACAUUUCGAGCAACUUGUUCUGUCGCUCAGCAGAACUGACUAUCGCAUCAUGCAAUUUGUCGAUGCCUCGACUAAAUGUCUGCUCGACUGACCGAGACUGCUCGUCUAGUCGCUUUCGGAGAAACGACCUCGUUGGUGGGUCAGAUCCUUCACCACCAUCCUCGUCGCAAUCUUCUAUUAUCCCUUCAUUGAGAACGCACGUGUUUCUGUUAGGGAUCUCUAAACCACGGGGUUGACCGCCGAGAUUAACUUCUCUCUCUCGGCGAGUCGCGCUCGUGGACUCAGGUGUCGCAGCGCUAAGGAGGUUCUGCGCCUGUGGCACACUCUGUCCUAUGCUCUAACUCGGCAAAUCGGCUGUCGACUUUCCCAUAGCUGUUUUCUUCUUUACCGAUCGUGUUUCAAUUGGCAUGAACUUCGUAGUUUAGCACUGGGUCCCACCGGGCGUGCCAAAAUGUUGACCCUAGAAACUACAAAGGCCUACGUGGCGCGCAGACCGAGUAUUUUCUAAGCUAACUACGUCCUUCGGUGAUUGCGGGGGGUGCCAACUCGUCGGCCGAGCUCGGCCGAGGAGUAAAUUUGAUGAUGUUGCGUCGAGCGCGCUGCUGACUUCUGUGUCUUGCGAUUGCGGCCGAGGAAGGAACAAUUCUCGGCCUCUUGGGUUCUAGAGCCUGAAGACAAGGCUGCUAAUUUGCGAAGUUCAAUCUCAAAUUCGGCUGUCAAUGUGCCGAAUACAGUAACCUGGUAACACCUCACUUCGCCGAGAAGGCUGAUGAGAUGACCUCGACCAAUAGGGAUUCGGAAAUCCUUCUCGACUGAGACUUGGAUAGGUAACCAGUCGUCCUCGCCGCAGUGCUGUUGAUGCCAACGGAAGAUACUGCGAGACCGACUGACUCUACGGUGACAGAGCUAUCUAUGCCGACUUAAGAUAUCACCGGUUGCUUCCACAGUGCUGUUGAUGCCAACGGAAGAUGUGUCAGCGAAGAAAGGAAAAAGAAAAAUCACAAGUUGUGAGAGUUUGCGCAGGGCAAUUUUGUAUUGAUUUUGUAGGGGCUUUUCCUGAUGCACAGCGUCCCCUAUUUAUAGUACUGAACCUUGAGUCCGAGUUUACAUCCUACUCGGACUAGGUUUCCCUCUCCGGAUCACCUCGACCAAUCCUACACCUAUUAGGACUAUGAACCUAGUCCUUAGCUAAGCUGGAUUAAUUUCCUGGAUAUCUGAUCCCGUCGAGACUCCCCAUUGCACUAGGAUUCGUCUUAACCGCCCUAGGUUUGGACUCCCACGGGUUGACCGAUCCAUGGUCCUUUUGCCGCCCGGCCUCCUGGGCCGAGAGUGAUCCUACCCUCGGCCCAAACUAUUAUUUUGGGCCCAAACAGAUGCUCAAGGCAACUCGAUCAGAUCCAACAGUCCCGAGCUCUGGGUGUCUCCUCCUUACACCAUCUCCGAAACCAAAAACGUGUUCGUUGCAGUUGGAUGCGACACAUAUGCGUUUUUUAUAGGUUACCGGGGUGAAGAAGAGUACACAACUGGGUGUAUGUCCAAAUGUGACAAUCUUGGCAACGCUAUCAAUCGGCGGGAUACUUGCUCUGGCGUUGGAUGUUGCCAAACUAAAAUCCCUAGUGGGCUGAAAAAUCGGACUGUGACCUUGGGAAGCUUUAACAAUUAUACAUAUGUGCUAGACUCCCACCGAUGCAGCUACGCGUUCCUUGUGCAAGAAGGCGAGUUCAACUUUAACAGCACGAGUGAUCGAGAACUAAACGAUACAACCCAGCGUCCGGCAAUUAUUGAUUGGGUAAUUGGGAAUGAGUCAUGUGAUAUUGCAGCUAAAAACGAGAGCACUUUUGCAUGCAAGGCAAAUAGCUACUGCCAUAAUCGGUCUUCAGGGGGCUACAUAUGCCGGUGCCGGUCAGGUUACGAAGGGAACCCAUACCUCCCAGGUGGUUGCCAAGGUAAAUAAAUCUAGACAGCAUUUGACCAUUUGAUUAUUAUCAUAAAAGAUUUUGCGUUCAUCAAAACAUAUUGUAUGUAUAUGUGUAUGUAUGUAUGUAUGUAUGUAAUGUAAUGUAUGUAUGUAGGUCUACUUUUUUUAUUAUGGUUAAACAAAUAAAUUUUCAAUUUGCUUGACUUUUGUGCAUAUAUGAUUUUAUUGUUAGGCUUAUUGGGGUUGCGCUGAGGGAUUCAGCACACUUUUGAUCCCUUUAUAUCUUAUUAUAUGUUGCAUAGUACUAGUAGAAAAAUAAAAAAAACAGCAUUAGUCAGCAAAUAAUUGCCACUUUUGUUGGGUAGACUAUAAUAUUAGUACAGAAAAAUUGUUCAUGGUCAUAGAAAAAGCAUGCACUAUGCAGUAGUUUCCUUUUGGAAAAAAAAAAAAGAUCAAUUGGUAGCUUCAUUUCGGCAGUAUAUCUUUUUUGGGGCGAGAAAGACUCACAAAUGUAUUUUAACUUCUCCCCAGCCACCAUUGUGUCCGGGAAUCAAACUCAAGACGUGAUGUGUCAAAUACAAGCCUAAAAUUCGUUCUCAACCAUUGAUUCACCCAGUGGUGGUUGCACUAUGCAGUAAUAAGCUAUAAAAUAAUAUUUUCUGUUACAGUGGUUUUAAAACAUUAAAAUAAGAAUAAAUUAGGAUUUCAUUUCUCAUUUUUCUUUCUCAUUAAUUGAAACUUUUAUUUUUCAUUUUUGAUCAAGAUCAUUUGACUUUUGUCCAUGUCAAUUUUUGAAUAUUAAAUUAUUUACAUGUCAUCAUAUGUCAAUUUUAAAAAUAAAAAACUUAUGAACCACUUCCAAAAUAUCUUUUUAGUAUUUUUCAUACAUUUUUAUUUUUAAUUUUUACCCUUUUUUUAAAUUUAUACCAAUAUUCUUUUUAGUUUUAAUUUAUACCCAUAAUUUUAAAUUUUAAUAUAUACCAUAUUUUUAAUUUAAUAUGGACCCAUAUUUCUUUUGGUGAAUGUACUCAUGCUAAUUACAUGUAUUUAUUUUAUGUUUUAAAAUAUAUCGAUAGUUAUUUAUUAAAAUAUACUAAGAAUUACCUCCAUUAAUUUUUUUUGUUAGAACUAUGUGAAGAACAAUAUUACUCUAUUAUUAAUUUUUAAGUAAUUAUUAUAUUGAAAAUAUAUGAUUUGAAUUUGUUUAAAUUUCAUAAUUUGUGGGAUAAUGAAUGCAUAGAAGCAAAUGUUAAAUCCCUUAAAUAAUGCUAGGAAUCUCAAUCAAAAUAUUUAAAUAAACAAGGUUUUAAUAUAACAAUUAGGUUGACUAGAGAUCAGAAUCAAAAUGACCCUUAUCAUUAAAAUAAUAUGUAAGCUUAGCUGAUGAUGCCAAAGUAGUCACCAAUUAGCCACGGAUGCUGUUGCUCGGUGAAGAUAUAAUGUCCACAAGCUAAUAGUAAUUGUACCCAAUUACUAAAUUUUCCGUGGAUUGUCAAAUCUGUGGGUUCAUGAACUGUUUCCUUUAACAUUUUUUUAGUAGCGAGUUGUUAACAAAAAGUCUCAAUAGUGGAAUUUAAUUUUCACCCUUCAUGGAUUUAAUUCAUUCUUUUGCUGUUCAGAUAUUGAUGAGUGCAAGGCUCCAGACUCCUGCGGUAAUGGAACCUGCAUAAAUAAAGCGGGAGGUCAUUCUUGUCUAUGUCCGAAAGGGUACAUAUACGAUCCGGAUGAAAAAAGUUGCAUCAAGGACAAUGGUCGAGCGGACAAUGGUCGAGCAAAGCUCAGUCUCCCGCUUAUUAUUUCACUAGGUAUGCAUUUGUUAGUUUUACUGUAAUUUUUUCUUUAGGCGCUUGUUUUUACAUCGCCUCUGGAUUUAAAGAUGAAUGUUCUUAACUAACUCAGCUGCAAAUCUCUUACUUUAGGUUGUUAAUUUAUUAUUUACAUGUCAUAUCAUAGUCCUAGUCUAAAAUUCAAAACUUCCUAUUUAUCUUUGAACAAUUGCACUCAAAUUUUAUUUACUUUACCCACUUUUAGAUCCAAAACUUUCACACAUACUUAUAUCAGAAGUGUUCUCUGGAAGAUAGGUUUUUAAUCAAUAUUGUCAAUAAUGUACCAAUCGAAUCAAUACGUACACUUUGUUUUUGACAUGAUAUCAAAAUUAACAUCGACACCUUGUCAAUAACAUAUGGAGAGUAUGUCUUGCCUAGAGAUUACUUACAUAUGUGUCAAUAACAUAUGGAGAGUCAUCUUUGCAGGUGCCAGUGGAGGCUUCUUGCUUUUACUAAGUGCUUCUUGGAUAUAUUGGGGAAUGCAAAGAAGAAAGUUCCUCAAACUCAAAGCAAAAUACUUUAAAGAAAAUGGUGGCUUAUUGUUACAACAAAAAAUUGCUAGUCAAGGAGGCUCUGUGGAGACAACAAAAAUUUUCACGGCAGAAGAACUUGAGAAGGCAACAAACAAUUACCAUGAAAGUAGAAUCCUUGGUGAAGGAGGCUAUGGAAUAGUUUACAAAGGAAUAUUAGCAGCAGAUAACAAUAAAGUGGUUGCCAUAAAAAAGUCUAAAAUUUGUGUCCCAACGCAGAAGGAGCAGUUUGUCAAUGAGUUGAUUGUUCUUUCUCAAAUCAACCAUAGAAAUGUGGUGAGGUUAUUGGGUUGUUGUUUGGAGUUAGAAGUUCCUCUACUAGUUUACGAGUUUGUCGCUCACGGCACUCUCUUUGAGCACAUACAUGGCAAAAAGAGGAAAGGAUCAUCAUUUUCAUUAGAAUUACGACUCAAGAUAGCAGCUGAAACUGCUGGAGCACUAGCAUACUUACACUCCUCAGCUCUGAUGCAAAUCAUACAUCGAGAUGUGAAAGCGACAAAUAUACUGUUAGAUGAAAAUUACAUUGCAAAAGUGUCUGACUUUGGAGCUUCACGAUUGAUUCCUCUUGAUCAAGCCCAACUUACAACUUUAGUGCAGGGAACAUUCGGAUACUUAGACCCUGAAUACUUCCUCACGAAUCAACUAACAGAUAAGAGUGACGUCUAUAGCUUUGGAGUUGUCCUUAUGGAGCUACUAACAAGCAAAGUGGCACUUGCUUUUGACAGGCCUGAGCAAGAGAGAAACCUAGCAAAUUUCUUUGUUUGUUUAAUGAAGGAGGAUCGCCUGAAUGAAAUUCUCGAUGAUGACAUACUCAACGAGAGAAACAUCGAGACAAUAAAAACAGUGGCCAAUCUGGCAAAAAGAUGUGUAAGGUUAAAAGGGGAGGACAUGCCAACAAUGAAAGAAGUUGCCAUGGAGCUGUAAGGAAUGAGAAUUACAGAAAAGCAUCCAUGGGGAAAAGCUGAAAUUUGUUCAGAAGAGACUGAGUGCUUACUUGGGCCAGGUAACUCAGAUGCUUAUCCUGUGGAUGUUAGAGCUAAUUGUGGUCCUAGUACUACUACAACUAUUGGGUAUGACAGCAUGCAGAUCCAGAUGUUAAUUCCACAUGAUGAUGGAAGAUAAUUCACUGCUUCAUAUAAUCAACUCAACAUUGUUUAUCAUUCUAGCCAUAGUGAAAUAGUGUUAUUUUUCAUCACAGACUGUAAGUGUAGCCGCAUUAGCUAGAGCCAAUGUGCUUCCUCUGUACCCUCGAGUUUGAAUUUUUCUUUUGCUGUAGUUUAGAUUUAGUUGAAAGUAAAGUAUCGCUUGUAUAAAAUAAAAUACUAUUAUUCAUCAUUUUGACAUGUUUUUAUUUAGGGUAUGUAUCAGAGCAUUAGGUGGUGGAGAUCCCAACUUUUGCACGUAAGAAGUGGCCCAACACCCAAAAACUAUAGCUAAUUUCUUCUUCAAAAUAAGUAUGAGUUUGGAAGAUCCCGAGUUACAUGCUUAUGACAUUCCGUACUUAAUUAGUGUAUAUGAUAAUUAAUUGUUAAUAUGGUAGUGAGAAAUAUUUCAAAAAAUAAAGUUAUAGAAAGAAAAAAAAAUCCCCGUAUAUCAACUACUAAAGUCGGUGAAGUAAUAGGUAAGUGCGUGCAAAAGUGAACUUUUUUUUUCCUUGGCUUUCUAAGUGUUUUUUUUUAAUUAUCUGGUACCAAAGUAUUUCAAAGGAAAUGGUGGCUUGUUGUUACAACAACGACUCGCGAGUCAACGAGGAGGGAUCGAUGGAGACAACAACAAUCUUUACAGCAGAAGGACUUGAGAAGGCCACAGACUACCACCAUGAGAGCAGAAGAACUUAAGGCAGUGGUUGCCCUAGAAAAGUCGAAAAUCGGAGCUUCAACCCAAAUGUGGUGAAGCUUCAUCAGCAGGAGAACUCUUUGAUCAUCUUCAUAGCAUAAAGAGCAAAGAAUCAACGCUUUCACGGGAGUUACGACUGAAGAUCGCAGCAGAAACUGCCGGAGCACUGGCGUACUUGCACUCCUCCACCUCCAUGCCAAUCAUACACCAAGAUGUGAAUAUAAUUGGCAGAAAGUUACUCAGGCACACAAGAAAUGAAAUACAUUCCAAACACAACAUAUUCAAAAUCCAGGCAGAUUGAUAUUUCUCGGAUGGAAUUCAAAAACGAGUUUUAACACGAAAAUGGUGUCUACAAUAUAUGAGGUUUCAAAGUUACAAAUCCAGGCAGAUUGAUAUUUCUCGGAUUGAUAAUCUACCAACUCAAUCUAAUUUGUUUAUUUUCAAAAGUCACAAGAAUCACCUAGACCAAAAUGCUCAACCUGUUCAUUACAGCGAAAUCAUGAUCACGUACCUUGAAAUAAAAUUUGAAAUAGAAAUACAAGAGAAGCACACAACCUAAUCAAAUUGCGUUCUUUAACAUAGAAACCCUGCUCAAGGAGAUGAUAAAACUAACAUAACCGUUGUCGGACUUGAAGGUUGGAAAAAUUGCUCCCACUUGAGCAGCAGGAGAUCAUCUUAUCUGGGUAGGAGAACAGAGCAAACCAGAUGCAUCUGAUCCAACCACUGAAAGAUCACAAAAGAACAGAGCUUCCCUUCCUGGUCCGGAACAAACCGAGAACUGCAGUAUGGGCAUGACACAUCCUUCUGUCCACGGUAAAUAGGCAAGUAUGUUGCCCCACAAACGACAAAUGGGUUUCUGAAAUCAUAGUUUAGCUGGGUUGCAUCAGUCAUGUUCUUUUCGGCAGCUUGCAGGAUUUGUCUUGCAGUCUUUGCAUGGUUUUCAAUGGUGGGGUUGGUUUCCAAAAGUCGCCUGGCAAAGUUAGCUGCCGUGUUGAGAUUACCAGCCUUAUAGCAAACACUCAUGGCAUUUAGUAAUGCAAGUCUCAAGUGAGGCAUCUGAAGGUUGCAGUGGGUGAAGUAAGCAGCUAGCUCCUGUUGGCGAACCGGAUCGCCUUUAAGUUCCUUCCUCUUAAUCUCCAUCUUCAAACCUAGAACAUACUCCUUUACAAUGAUAAUUAAUUCUUUUACUUCAUCAACCUCUCUCUUUGAAUCAACUACGAUCAGAGGAAUAGUAUACAGAAUACCAAGGAGAAGACGUAAAGCAUCAGCAAAUUUCCCUUGCGUUGUGGCCUUGUAACCCGCCUUAAGCUUCUCUUCUAGCUCUGAGAAUUUAAAUACAAGAGCAGGAGGACCCCUAACUUUAGGUGUAGCUGAUUCACUCCAUCCCCUCUCAAUGGCCACGGUGAGCACAUGAGCUGCCGAGAAGGCAUGUAGAUACAUAUGACUGCCCAUGUGUAAAUCGAGAAAUAAUUGUCUCAAGGGAUCAAAGUUCUUUACACCCAGCUCCCUGCUCAACAAACGCAUUGCAAUAUCGAAAUUCCCAGCAGUAGCAUGUUCAGCAACAAGAGAUGAUUUCUGGGACCAGGUUUGGCUUACAGGCAUACCUGGAGUUGGGGCAACAAACACAGAAGAACGGGCAUUGCUGGCAGUUUUUGGAGUAUCAAUCUCAGGUGGAAGUUCAAGAUCGCAUCCAGCACUGCACUGAUGUCUCCAUUUGGAAUAUUGUCCACGUCAACAAGAUCCAACUCCUCUCCCCAAUCAGCAUCUGCAGCCUCUUCAUAAUCUUCCUCAAUAUUCUUGCCCACAUUAUCAAGACCACCCUCAAAUAUUCCUCUCAUGACCCUCAACAAGGGCCAAUCUCCUCCGCAGAUGAUUGGCAUUGGUGGUAACAAAAGAGACGGAGAUUUCACCUUGGGUAAAACAGGAACAUUAUCUCCCAGUUCAGCCGCCAAACGUUCGGCAAUAUCAUGGAGCCCAUGAAUUUGCAUUACCCUGACGAAGGGCCUCCACUCCCAAUCGAUACCAGUGAUCUUUCUCAUCAAUUUCCUUGGCAGAAGCAACAGCAAUCUGGAUGUUCCCGCUCCCUAGUGCCAAGUUGAAGCGAGUCCUCUCAUCCUUCACAAAAUGAAGGGCAACCUCAGGGAAACCUUUCUGCUGUAGAUAUGCAAUCAUGGCCUGGCCACAGAGCUCAGAACUCCUUAUCAUGCUCAUAACCUGGUCAUACCUCUUCUUCAGUAAGGAUAACUUGAAAACAUAUUCUGUUGCAUCAACAACAAUGGCACAGUUCUUCCCAUCUCGAUCCAAGCAAUGUAUGGUGUUUCCAUACACUUUUGUUAUAUAUACGGGAACGUCGAGGGUCCUGAUGAUUCCACUAUCCCCAUUAGGAAGGCAGUAUUUGAUGUGGUUCAAGGUUGUAUAUAUGAAGACGCCAUUGUCAUCCCAAGCUCCACUCUUUACACUAAUGCACUAGCUUCUUAUUUGCUAUCACAAUUGAAUGUUUGCUCGGUAAAGCAAUGCUCUCCAUGUCAUUUGACCAAACAAUAUACCUUACGAAAGGAGUUUGAAGCUCCCCAACAAUAGUUCUCUGCUGCAGGUCAAAAAUAAUGACUCUGUCCUCUGCCCUGCACAGCAAGUUUCCAGUUCCAGCAUAAAAUAUUGUUGUGCGGAAGCAUCAAAUAUGAAACCAAUAAGCUACAACAGCAAAAUAUGACAAGACAAGCAAUCCAAAUGACACAAGGAUUUAUACUGGUUCGGCAUAAGCCUACGUCCAGUUUCGAGACGGCGAGGAAAUUCCACUAAUAUCAAAAUGGAAAUUACAAAUUGAGUUUUAACUCUAUUUGUAAUCUCCUUUUGAUAUUAGUGGAAUUUCUCCGCCGUCUCGGAACUGGACGUAGGUUUACGCCGAACCAGUAUAAAUCCUUGUGUCAUUUGGAUUAUUUGUCUUAUCAUAUUUUGCCGUUGUAGUUUAUUGGUUUCAUAUUUGACGCUUCCGCACAACAAGUGGUAUCAGAGCUCUGGGUUUCGACUUGGGGCUUUGUACUAAUAUGUCUAUGAAACCUUCGAAUAUGUCGGUGAAAUAUGAUAUUGAAAAAUUCAAUGGGAGAAAUGAUUUUAGCCUGUGGCGGGUUAAGAUGCGAGCUGUGCUAGUUCAACAAGGGUUGCUUAAGGCGCUACAGGGUGUGGAGGCCUUGCCACAAGAUUGGUCUGCUGAAGAAAAAGAAGACACUUUGAAUCGAGCAUAUAGUGCAAUUAUGUUAUCACUAUCUGAUGAAGUUCUUCGUGAGAUGGAAAAUGAAACUACUGCAGCUGGUUUGUGGCUUAAGUUGGAGAGUAUAUACAUGACCAAAUCCCUCACCAAUCGUUUGUAUUUGAAGCAACGUUUGUACACUCUCCGUAUGACUGAAGGUACACCUAUUCAAAACCAUCUUGAUGAGUUUAAUAAGGUUAUUAUGGAUUUGAAAAGUAUGGAUAAUAAAAUUGAUGAUGAGGAUCAAUCUUUGAUUUUGUUGUGUUCUUUACCUCCUUCGUAUGCGAAUUUUGUUGAAACUUUGUUAUAUGGGAGAGAUUAUAUUUGUAUGGAGAAUGUAAAAGCCGCUUUGAAUUCAAGAGAGUUAAAGAACAAAGUAUUUGGAAAUUUGAAUGAUUCUCAUUCUGAGGCUUUUAUAGCAAGAGGCAGAGAUAGGGAAUAUGGUUCAGGUAGUAAUAAAGGAAAUUUGAGAUCGAAGUCUAAGACCAGAAACAACACAUGCAACUAUUGUCGCAAGGAAGGGCAUUGGAAAGUUGAUUGCCCAAAACUGAAAGAUAAUGUUGGUGUGAGUGCGAAUGUCGUCGAUGACGACUUCGACUUUGUUCUAUGAUGACAGUUGGCUACACCAGAUUUGAAAUAAAAAAAAUAAAAAAAAAAGAAAAAAAGAAGAAAGGGAAUCUGGUGUUGUGGGUACUCUUAAAUCUCUUUGCUACAUAUGGAGAUUUAAGAUUUUGUAAGGAUUCUUUGUUAUGAUUUGAGAAAGUUGCUUAGUAGCCUCUAUGUAUGUUUGUGUUAUGUCAGUUGCUCUUCAUCGGUGUUUUUAUUGUUUUGGAUAUUGGUAUGGUUUUGCUUUUUUUUGGUAAAGUUGAAUUCAGUGAGGGCCAAUUUGUUAAGUUCUGCAAGUUUGGAUAGUGAGACACCACACUAUUUUGGAGACACCACAUGCACUGCAGAACAUUUGUGUGGAACCCUCUUGUAGAAGGCAAGUUAUAUGCUUUCUAACUUUGUUUGGUCUAUGGACAUUUGGUUGGAUUUGUUUACCAUUGCUAUUUGGUCUGUUGGUCUCCAUCAUCUGCAAUUAGUUUUCUUGAAGACUCCAGUUGAGGUAUGAUUUUGGAUCUUUAGCUGAUUAUUUGAAUUUGAAAUUUUGGUUGACCUGUUGGUGCUCAUGUGAUGAUGGUAAACUUGAGUGAAAGGCAUAUUUUUUGUUGUGGUAUGUGAGACCUUGUUGCCAAAUUUGUAAUCAGUUUUGACUUGGAGAAUGUGCCAUGCUAUGUGAAUGAGUCUAUUGGUGCAGUUUAAGACCAUGGUGUUUAUGAGCAGGUGGAGUUCGUUGUGUGUCCAACUUUGGUAUGGUGUGCUUGAUCUUUUGUUGGUGAUAUUGAAGAAUUUCAGUUCUUCGUUUGAAUCACCUUUUGUUUUGAUCAAGGCACUUAUGGUUUGCAAAUUUGGAGACGACGGUAGAGAAAUGGUCUACUUUUGUUGGCUUUGGUACAAUUUGAGUCGAGGUGGAGAUCAUUAUGAGUACCGAGAGCUUGUGGAAUUUGAUUUAGCUUCCGUUGUCUCUAGUUCGUAUUUUGGGUGCUUAUGAUGAUUGUUGAGUCGACUCUGUGUUGCUUUCGAGAAUUUCGCCAAGGUGGAGAUUGUUGGAUUUUGUGGCUCAAUACUUCUUGGGCCUUUAGUUUUUUGUCUCAAGCCCAAAUAGGUUUGGCCUUUUGUUACCCAUUUGAAAGCCACAUGGCAGCUAGGGUUUAAUUAAAAGGCACCAGCCUUAUAUAAGGCAAUUCAUGCCUUUUGGUAAAAAAAGAGAGCAUAAACUCAGCGGCAGCAGAUAGCAGAAAACAGAGAGCAGCCGAUAGAGAAGAAAACAAAGUGCUGCUGUUUUACUGUUCUCCAUUUGUGCAAUCAUUCAUUCAAAGAUAUAUUGCUACAUUUUGUGGCUUUUGGGAGAGAAGGAUUUGGUAUGUGUUUCUUCUUCUCCAUUUGUUCUUUGUAUGAGUGAAAGCUAUUGGGUGUAUGUGAGAUUUGGGUUUGAGUGUUGAACUCUAUUUGUAAUCUCCUUUUGAUAUUAGUGGAAUUUCCCCGCCGUAUCGGAACUGGACGUAAGCUUACGCCGAACCAGUAUAAAUCCUUGUGUCAUUUGGAUUAUUUGUCUUAUCAUAUUUUGCCGUUGUAGUUUAUUGGUUUCAUAUUUGACGUUUCCGCACAACAAAUAUUGCAUCAGCAACAAUAGGUAGGGCACUCUUCCUGAAAAUCUCAUUUUUCAGAUUUUUAACUAUAACUUGGUGCUCUUUUCAAGCACUGCAAACCUAUUUCGAGCCGCGAACACAGCUGGGCCUCCGAUUCCUCUUUUUGCCUCCUGCGCAGUAUCACCCCGACCAAAGCUAUCUUUGGGUAUAACGUAUAGUUCAUAAGACCCCCCUUCCAUAUCUGAACAUAUCAAAGCAGCAUUUUCUGUAGGGCUGUAAGAUAGUGUCUUUGCCCCUUGAUUCAAGUUGGAAGAACCACGAUGUGAAUAUAUCAAAAGAACAGGUGUAAAUAUAUCAAAUUUACAUGGUGGCAUAGACGUAAAUAUAUCAAAAGAACAGGCGGUGGCAAUUUUGCAAAAUAAAAUGAAAUCCGGCCAAAUUCACUGUUCAGGUGAACAGUGCAAUUGGAUUUCUUACUUUAGACUAAAGUAAUGAUCUAUUAAACUUCUUAAUGUCAGGAGAAAUUUUUCAUUGUUACUGAAACAUGAGGGGUAUAUCAAGUAUUUUUAUGCAAGUGGUGAAAAUUUUAUUUUUUAAGUUAUUAACUUUUUAAUACACAUAUCACACCAUUAGUAUAGUGACAAGUGAUGUAUCAUCCCGUAUUCCGAUCACACUAAAAAAUCUGUCUAAGAACGGUGUAAGUCUAUGUUUUAAGAUUAAAAACAAGGAAAAGUUAGAUCGUAACAAAGACCUUAUCAACCUUCUAUACGUUUCUAGAAAAACAAGAAAACAAUAUCUUCAAUUUCAUUUUUUCAGAAACCAAUAAAACGUUGAUAAGUUCUUGCUCCACCAUCUAUCUUUUCUUUCCUGUUUUUACUCAAAAUACACAGACUAUGUAGCCCUCACAAAAGUAUUUAAAUGACGGAAAUUUUAUUUGAACCCAUAUUUUGUAUCUCAACAUCCAGCUUAUUUUUUUAUACCCAUAUUGUAUUUGAUUUAUCUAUCAUUAUCUCUUUACACCCAACGUUAUUUCCAAAACAGCCAUUACUUAUCAAAACUCAACUCAAUCAAACUUCUUUUUACACCCAUAAAAAAUAAAACCCUAACCAGUCCAUCAUCUUCAUGGAGCAAAUCUCCUUCUCUCUCUUUAAAAAAUCCUUCCAUCUCCCAUGGUUGUCAUUCUGCACCCCAUCUACUCCUUUGUAGUCAUCAAAACAUCUUCCUCUUCCUUUUCUUCAUCAUUUGACAUCUCUAAAUUUCUAGAGCAUUAAUUAGCUUAAUAAUUGGUAUGUGUUCAAUCGAUUGGUUCAAUUUUUACGUAUUGAUUCCUUUUCCUUUUCAAUUAAAUGAGCUUUUGGUUAUAGUGUUUAAUGAGUUUGGUAUGUUUUAAUUAAAUGAGAAUCUUCUAGACUCUAUAUUCCUAUAUGUGGUAGAAAAAUGGGUACGUCCAUGAUAACUUUUGGUAAAUUAAUGAAUAUUUUUAACCGUUGAUAGUUUUUUUUUUUUUUUUGUCGAAAUAUGCAUGAAACACACACAUUUGUCCCUUCAUGCCACUUGGUUAUAAGCAAACAUCAUGCAAACAUCUAACUUACUAAUGCUAUCGCUUGACUUAAAAAAAAAUCGAAAUGUAUGUAGUGGAUAAACACAAUCUCAAACUUUAAUUGAACUCACAUAACAACGAUAAAUAAAGGCAUUAUCACAACUUAGGGGUGGUGAGCAAUCCCAUUAAAAUAGAACUUAAUAUAUACGUAUUAAAAACAAAAACAAAUUGAUGCAAAAUCUCCCGACGACUAAUACUAUUCCAAGUCAUGCAUGAAACAUACACAUGUCCCUUCAUGCCACUUGAUUAUAAGCAAACAUCAUGCAUGCACAAGUUAUUUACUAAUUAGUAUUACUACUAUUCAGCUAUCAUGACCCUUUUUUUUCUGUUACUCAUACGCCCAAGACAUUGUAAAUAAUGUUGAUUAUUCAAAACGAAUAGAUUUAUAAUUUCUAGUAUCUAAUAAAUAUCCAGAUUAAAAAUAUUCAUCAAUCUACAAAAUUUCCUCAUGGAGGUACCCAUUUUUUUGCCACAGAUACCAAUAUAGAGGCUAAAAGACAAUACGAUAUUAAAUUCAUAUGUGGUCGAGAUAUUUAUGAAUUUAAUCAUUAAAAUGCAUAAGCUCAAUUAUACAUUCAAGUUAGAUCAAUUCCCGAAGUUUUAGUCAACAAUAAAACUGCUUACCUAUGAGUUCACCUAUAAAACAUGCAAAAGCGAUAUACUUUUUAACCACAGUUAUAUGUGUUUGUACCAUACUUAGGGCAUUCGUAUUUAGAUCUCGUAUAAAUACUCGGGAGACUCAAAUGUAAUUAUGUAAUAAAUGAAGGGGCAAAUAUGUAAUAAGUAAGGAGCCCUUAUUCUAUAAAAGGGCCUCAUCACCCUCACAAUCCUCAAGCUUCACUUUCACAUUACAAAGCUCUCAUCCUCACAUACAGAGGCCAAGUUUUAGGCCAUGGGAGGAGAGCACACAGAAAAUAGGCUAAAGAGCGCAUUGCCACUAGCCUUCUUGUAUAUUCGCCAUUCAGAAUGAAACAAUAUCAACAUCAGUGUGGACGUAGCCCAAACAUUGGGGUGAACCACUAUACAUCUUGUGUUCUUUACUUUCUUGCAGAUUCACGGUCGGAUUUACGUUGUUCCGAUACCCUUCCGGUUUUGUGCAUCAACAUUUGGCGCCGUCUGUGGGAAACGAUACAAAAAGCUGUGUCGGUUCUCUUUCAUUUUUUCACCUCCAUCGUGAAUCUGCAAAAACCAACCCAAGGCUUUCCAGAAAACCCACGGAGCCACCUCCUCUCUCAGUCAGUCGCACACAAAAACCAAUUUGCAAACCCAAAGAAAACAUUUCCUCGUUUGGUUGCGGCUGUCCUCUCUCAUUCUCUCGUCGUGUUGCUUUCUUUUUCUCUCCCAGUAAGAGCCUCACGUCACAUAACUUGAAACCAACUCUUGUAAUUAGCACUUCUCUGAGAUUCAUGAAAGCGGAAAGCUCGAGAGAGAGAGAGAGAAAGAAAGCUUAGAGAGAGAGAAAGAACCGAUGGCUCUGAGUCUGAAUUCAAUGCUGACCUUCUUGUUUCACAACCUCACUGCCAAGUCCCACAAUCUCAGAUCUCCCAAAAUCUUCAUGGCCUCCACUCUUCAGUCAUCCACUAAAGAGACUGAGUUCAAUCGGGUUCUCCGCCUCUCUCCGCUUGUGUUCUUAAACCGAGUAGUGAGUUUAAUGUGUUUGGAAGAAAUCCAGCAGACAAGGAAAGCAAGCAGCUUAAGAGGUUGUUGAGGAACAGAGUUUCAGCACAGCAAGCAAGGGAGAGGAAUAAGGCAUAUUUCACACUUCCCCUAACAGAAAUAGCCGAUCCCAACCGCCAUCGGAUUUCAAAUCCACUCUGAGAACAAAUGGUGGAGAGUGGGAGCGAGACCGCCGCCGGAGCUAAACCCAAACGAAAACCAAUCGUAUGGCUGGGGAUUUUCCUCAUCUCCCACAGUUUCUUCUUCAGUAUCGUUUUCUCCGCCGCCAGGGUGGUGGCUCUCUCGCUGCUUCCGGUUCUCGUUAAGAACACUUACAUUUUCGAGAAUGCCCUCAUGCCUGGCUCUGCGGCAUCUACGCUUUCGAAUCAGAAGGUUGCAGAGGCAAGCAGAUUGGUUAAUGAUUUGACCUCUUCGAAUUCGAAGCCUCUCGUUUCAGCAAUUAGAAGGGGAGCCGCCUUGGCAGCCUGCCUUUCCUGAGCAAGACGUACGACAUGGUGGACGACCCGAUUACCAACCUGAUCGUAUCCUGGAGCUCCACCAACAGCAGCUUCGUGGUUUGGAACCUGCCGGAGUUCGCUAGGGACCUCCUGCAACUCUGGGCUUCUCUAGGACCUCCUUUCAAGAAUCUGGUACCCAAUAAACCGGUUCAGAAUAACCCAGUUCAAACUCGGGUUUUGGACUCCGAGAAAAAGAUGAUGCUGCAGACAGAUGACCCACGGGAGAACAUGCAAAAGGGGAAAAUCAUUUAUGGGUCGUCUUCCAUUUGAGGGAUCCAGCUGAAAUAAGCUUUCCCAUCCAUUGUUCUCACUUUCUUCGAAUUCCCUUCUACUCAUUCCUCUCGGCGCAGAGACAGACUGUAAAGAUUAAUUGGGUGCACAUGCAUGAUAGCAGCGCACAAACAGACAGAAAGCAGAAAACAGAAAGCGAAAGCGAAAGCAAAGCAGAAAAAACCGAGAAAAAGCAUAAAGCAAAAAUGAGGCUUUCCUCUGCGAGAGCACAUGGGGACACUGCAAAAGCAAGGAAUAAACACCCACACUACAAAAGUAAGGAAUAAACACCCCAUCAGAAUGAUGUGAUUUACUUUUCUUGUUUUUGAAUGAUGUGAUUUAUUUUUCUUAUCUUUCGGAGAUAUCUGUAUAACCCUAUCAGAAGGUAAUAAUAAAAUAAAAUAAAAUAAAAUAAACGGCAAGCCCAAAGUAAUGGGCUGGAAUGUUCUGUGAAAGGCGAAGGCCCAUAUGCCCAAAAAAGCCAGGCUUCUAUUAUCACCAAUCAGGUGAUCAAAAGUACGUCGAGUACUCCAAAUUUAUUCUGCAGCCUGCCGCUAGUAUCACCAACCAGGUGAUCAAAAGUACGCCCAGUACUCCAAAAUUAUUCGGCACCAUGCCGCUAUUAUCACCAACCAGGUGAUCAAAAGUGAUCAAAAGUACGCCCAGUACUCUAAAAUUAUUCGGCAGCUUGCCGUUAUUAUCACCAACCAGGUGAUCAAAAGUACGUCCAGUACUCCAAAAUUAUACAUGAGCAUCACUCAUGUCAAUCAUACAUAAACAUUUAUGAGCAUCACUCAUGUCAAUCAUACAUAAACAUUCAUGAAUAUCAUUCAUGUCAACAUUUAUGAGCAUCAUUCAUGUCAACAUUCAUGAGCAUCACUCAUGUCAACAUUCAUGAGCAUCACUCAUGUCAACAUUCAUGAGCAUCACUCAUAUAAACAUUCAUGAGCAUUACUCAUGUCAAUCAGCUUCGAAAGCUUCAUUUACAGAGCUCCAGCUUCGAGAGCUUCAUUUACGAAGCUCCAGCUUUCAAAGCUUCAUUUACAAAAGCUCUAUCUUCAAAGCUUCACUUGCAAAGCUUCACCUACAAAGCUUCAGUGCAGGGUAUACAAAUACCGCCUCCGAACAACCGCCACUUCGGCCCAUACAUGGUUCGAAUUUGAAGUCUCCAGCCAACAGACUCUAUUGACUGAAGACUUGGGGGACUACACUAUGUACCAUAUAUUGGGCCUCAUAAAAAAUACUUGGGGGACUUAGCCCAUUAUUUAUGUACUGAGGAGUGAACCCUUAUUCUAUAAAAGGGACUCUCUCACUUUCAUUAGAGAGCACCCAUUAUUCAUGUACUGAGGAACGAACCCUUAUUCUAUAAAAGGGACUCCCUCACCUUCAUUAGAGGGCAUCGCCGCCAGCUGAGCAACUGCCUCGCCGCGAGCAUCACUCCUAACCCAUCACUCAUGUAUUGAGGAGCGAGCCCUUAUUCUAUAAAAGGGACUCCCUCACCUUCAUUAGAGAGCAUCGCCGCCAGCUGAGCAACCGCCUCGCCACGAGCAUCACUCCUAACCCAUCAUUUAUGUAUUGAGGAGCGAGCCCUUAUUCUAUAAAAUGGACUCCCUCACCUUUAACGCCACAAGCCAAGCCAACCAAGGCAACAUAAGCCACAAGCAGAGCAACCUCGCAACAUGUGCUACUUCUAGUUGAGCAUCAUUUCAGAUUGGGCACCGCCUCAUAUCGAGUAUCAGUUCUAGACGACAUCUAGUUACUUCGACCCACACAUAAACUGAAUUUCAAAUCUCCAGCCAAAAGACUCUCUUGACUGAAGACUUGGGGGACUACUGUUUGUACCAUACUUAGGGCCUCCGUAUUUAGAUCUCGUAUAAAUACUCGGGAGACUCAAAUGUAAUUAUGUAAUAAAUGAAGGGGCAAAUAUGUAAUAAGUGAUGAGCCCUUAUUCUAUAAAAGGGCCCCCUCACCCUCACAAUCCUCAAGCCUCACUCUCACAUUACAAAGCUCUCAUCCUCACAUACAGAGGCCAAGUUUUAGGCCAUGGGAGGAGAGCACACAGAAAAUAGGCUAGAGAGCGCACUGCCUCUAGCCUUCUUGUAUAUUCGCCAUUCAGAGUGAAACAAUAUCAACAUUAGUGUGGACGUAGCCCAAAUAUUGGGGUGAACCACGAUACACCUUUUGUUCUUUACUUUCUUGCAAAUUCACGGUCGGAUUUAUGUUGUUCCAAGACUCCUCCGGUUUUGUGUAUCAACAUUAUGUAUUGUGAAUUUUUGUCCUCAACUUUUGUAGCAUAUACAAGCUAAAAGAUAAUACAAUAUUAAAUCCAUAUAUGGUCGAAAUAUUUAUCAGUUUAAUCAUUAAAAUGCAUAAACUCAAUUACACAUCCAGGUUAGAUCAAUUCUCGAAGUUUUGCUCCACAAUAAAAACUGCUUAGCUAUGAGUUCACCUAUAAAACAUGCAAAGGCAAUAUACUUUUUAGCCACAGUUCAAUGUAAUGUGAAUUGUUGUCUGCAACUUUUGUAUCUAAUAAAUAUCUACGGUUAAAAAUAUUCAUUGAUCUAUUAGAAGUUAUCAUGGACGUACCCAUUUUUCUACCACAUAUAGGAAUAUAGAGGCUAGAAGAUUAUCAUUUAAUUGAAACAUACCAAACUCAUUAAACACUCUAAUCAUAAGCUCAUACCAAUUAUUAAGCUAAUUAGUGCUCUAGAAAUUUAGAUAUGUCAAAUGAUGAAGAAAAGGAAGAGGGAGAGGUUUGGAUGACUAUGGAGGAGUAGAUGGGGGUGCGGAAUGACAACCAUGGGAGAUGGAAGGAUUUUUUAAAGAGAGAGAGAAGGGAAUUUGCUCUAUGGGGAGAUGAUGGACUGGGUAGGGUUUUAUUUUUUAUUUUUAAGUAGAUUGAGUUGGGUGUAAAAAGAAGUUUGAUUAAGUUGAGUUUUGAUAAGUAAGGGCGGUUUCGGAAAUGAUGUUGGGUGUAAAUAGAUAAUGAUAGAUAAAUCAAAUACAAUGUGGAUAUAAAAAGUAAGUUGGGUGUUGAGAUACAAAAUAUGGGUUCAAAUAAAAUUUCCCUUUCAACAACUAGUUUCUUAAAAAAAGAACAGUAAUGCUAUUCUUACCAUGUUUUUAUACCACAUUUAUAUAUCACCUUAUGUGGCAUUUGAUGUGGACAACCACAUCAUUUAAAUUAGAAUUUAAUUUAAAAUUAAAAAUCAUUUAAUAAAUCAAUAAUUCAAUAAUUAAAAUAAAAGCUGGAAUUAAAUGGUGAUUAUGGCAUACGAGGAGUCUUCUCCUUCCUUCCCCAUUCAAUCCUGCUUCUUCUCCCGUUUCUUCUUCAAUGCCAGUUCUUUCAUGCCGUAAUUUUUUCGCUCCCCUAUCUGGAUUAUUAGUACGCAUCUAUCAUUUUUUUUUCAAUGAAUUUAAUUUAUUUUUGUCUGUUUAUUUCUUCUUCUUUCUCUCAAUCUCCAUUAUGUAGCAAGAUAAAUUCUUCUUCGGGUCUUGAUCAGAGUCGACGUUAGUGGUGUCGUGGUGAGGGAUGAAGGUUUUUUGACGAUACGUACUUGAGAUUCCUUAAUUUGAUUAUAAGUAGGAACAAGAUGGAGUCCUUAAUGAUUCAAAGUGUUAAAUCUUCAACCCCCAGUGUCAUAUUUUUCUAUGAACAAAAAGGUUUAGGUAAAUAGUCUAAUGGAGAUCGAGAGAAAGAAGAAGAAUAAACUGACUACAAAAAUGUAAAUUCAUUGAAAAAUAAUGGUAAAUGCUUACCAAUAAUCCAAAUAGGGGAGCGUUGAUGAACCUUUGCCUUAUGAGAAUUAGUUGAGAUUGUGGUAGUCCACACCAAGGAAGAAAAUAUCGGUAAUAUCGGAAAUAUCGGUAGUCCGAAAACACGGAAAUAUCGAUGGAAAUAUCAGGAUAAUAUCGAUAUCGAUAAAAAUUACAUGGAAACCACGGAAAUUGUAAGAAAAACUUGGAAAUUUUUAUUGAAACUUUGCAGGAUGUUUAUUUAGUCAAUUAUCUAUUAGUUUAUCACAAAAAAUUGGAAGGAAAUGCAUUGCAUGAUGGAUUUAACUGAUUUAAGUUGAUUAUACAGCGAGCUGGCAAACACUGUGAGUGUAGAAAAUAUGUAGUAAUUAAUGAAAAAAAGAUUAAACACACCAUAAUCAUUUAUAUAUAAUGAUUUACUACAAUAUUUUACACUUUAUACAUUGCAGGGUAAGAUACAUGAGUGAUUUAGAAUCUUGAUGAAACCACCAUUACUUUUUAUCUUGUCAAAAGUUGUAAAAGUUGUCAAGAGUCAGAGACAGAGAGUCAGAGACAAGGUUAUGAAUUAAGGAAAACUAAUGAAAAGAGCUUGAAAACUUUGAGUUUUAACGAUAAGGACAAAAUAAAUGGUAAAAUGAAUAGUACCAAGAUUGAUUUUUUAGUGUAAAAAUGUGAUUUUUCAUUAAAGUGAACAGUACCAUGAGUUUUUUGUUAAAGUUCCCUAUGAAUUAUUUGAAUGCUUUUUUUUUUUUUCUCACACGCCACCACACACAUACACAGAGUCAGAGACUCUCACACGCCACCACACACGCACACAGAGACAUUUAUAAAAUAUAUGUUUAAUUUAAAUAGGUUUAAGAAUUAUGUGGAUCGUCGGAUUGGUUGAGAUUUAAUCUCAACCGUCCAAUCCAACUUAAGUUUUUCAGUCCUCUCCUCUCCGUCUCUCAUUCUGAAUCUCUGAUUCAUAGACACGCACACACAUUCUUGAACUCUCUCAAGUCUGAACCCAAUCUCAUCUCUCUCAGUCUCGACUCCACAGUCGUCGAGACGCCAUCAUCAUCAUCCAAGAGUCACCGCAGAAAAAAGGGGCGCCGUUGUCGUCAGAAGUAAGGAGGCGCCGUCAUCGAGACUCUUGCCUCUCCUUCUGUAGAAGUAUGAAGGAGGCACCGUCAUCGUCAUCCAAGAGUUGUCGACGUUGUUGUUAUCCAAGAGUCGCCGCAGAAGAUUUGACAACGAUUCUGCAUUGUAUACUGAGUCCAAUGGUUUCGAUAGUCGCAACUCCUCUCCGGCGAAGCUCCAGGGAGCGGAAGGAACGAAGCAGUCGUAGAAAAAGCAGCCGCCGGAAUGAACGAUGAGAUUUCUGGGUUGAUUUCAAAAUAUAAGGUUUUAUUUCGAUUUUUUUUUCUGGGUUGAUUUCUAGGGUUUGUCAAGAUUGGGGUUGAAUCUGUUUUGAUUGUUUCUUGAUCUGCAAUUGGAACAAGAUUGGGGUUGAUUUCUGGGUUGAUUUCUAAAAUGUCGCGAUAAUAUCGGUAAUAUCGCGAUAUUAUCGAUAAUAUCGAUAAUAUCGCGAUAUUAUCGAUAAUAUCGAUAAUAUCGCGAUAUUUUGACGAAAACCUAUUGGAUGUGUGUGGAAAUAUCGGACUCCGAAAAAAACGAUAAUAUCGGCGAAAUAUCGCCGAUAUUAUCGAUUUUUUAUACCCUGGUCCACACUAACAUAAAAAAAACUGGUGCGAAAAAAUAUGGCGUGAAAGAACUGACGGAAGAAGAAACGGGAGAAGAAGCAUGAUUGAAUGGGGAAGGAAGGAGAAGAUUCCUCGUAUGCCACAAUCACCAUUUAAUUCCAGCUUUUGUUUUAAUUAUUGAUUAUAAAAACAUGGUAAGAGUAUCAUUACUGAAAAAAGAAAGAAAAUAAUCAAUAAAUUCACUUUAGGUGUAAAUACAUAUAUUCACAUCGCUUUACUUAUUUAUAUAUUCCAAGUUAAUUAAGGUAAUUAAGUAAUCUUUCUUGACUCAACUUUAAAUAAUUAAAUAAACUUGGCUUGACUUUGCACACUCCCCUCGCUUAUUGACUAAUGACUCAGUACUAAGUCAUUAUCACAACUUAGGGGUGGUGAGCAAUCCCAUUAAAAUAGAACUUAAUAUUUACAUAUUAAAAACAAAAACAAAUUGAUGCAAAAUCUCCCGACGACUAAUACUUUCCCAAGUCAUGCAUGAAACAUACACAUUUGUCCCUUCAUGCCACUUGGUUAUAAGCAAACAUCAUGUCAUGCAUAAAACAUACACAUUUGUCCCUACAUCUAACUUACUAAUGUUAUCGCUUGACUUAAAAAAAAAAAAAAAAAUCGAAAUGUAUGUAGUGGAUAAACACAAUCUCAAACUUUAAUUGAACUCACAUAACAACGAUAAAUAAAGGCAUUAUCACAACUUAGGGGUGGUGAGCAAUCCCAUUAAAAUAGAACUUAAUAUAUACAUAUUAAAAACAAAAACAAAUUGAUGCAAAAUCUCCCAACAACUAAUACUAUUCCAAGUCAUGCAUGAAACAUACACAUGUCCCUUCAUGCCACUUGAUUAUAAUCAAACAUUAUGCAUUUACUAAUACUAUUCCAAGUCAUGCAUGAAACCUACACAUUUGUCCCUUCAUGCCACUUGAUUAUAAGCAAACAUCAUGCAUGCACAAGUUAUUUACUAAUUAGUAUUACUACUAUUCAGCUUGUAUCAUGACCUUUUUUUUUUUUUCUGUUACUCAUACGCCCAAGACAUUGUAAAUAAUGUUGAUUAUUCAAAACGAAUCAACAACUAGUUGCACAUGGUCACAGUCAGUGAUACUCCCAACUUGAUAAAGAAAGACAAACAAGGAAAUCGAAUUCCAAACUAAAAUAAAAUGUAUAUAAAUAUAGAAAAUUGUUAUUAGCACUCCAAAAAUCUCAUUUGGCAUUCCAAACUUUCUAUAAUUAGAAAGAAAAAUACACUUGUGCAAAGUGUAGAAUGAAAUUUUUUGAGUGCUAAUAACAGUUCCCUAAAUAUGUCUUAACAAAUAUUGUACGUGGCAUUGUUUUAGACUUUCGCGAAUAGACUUAUAAUUUCUAGUAUCUAAUAAAUAUCCAAAUUGAAAAUAUUCAUCGAUCUACAAAAUUUUCUCAUGGAGGUACCCAUUUUUUUUUGCCACAGAUACCAAUAUAGAGGCUAAAAGACAAUACGAUAUUAAAUUCAUAUGUGGUCGAGAUUUUUAUGAAUUUAAUCAUUAAAAUGCAUAAACUCAAUUAUACAUUCAAGUUAGAUCAAUUCCUGAAGUUUUAGUCAAUAAUAAAACUACUUAUCUAUGAGUUCACCUAUAAAAUGUGCAAAGGAGAUAUACUUUUUAACCACAGUUUUAUGUAUUAUGAAUUUUUAUCCGCAACUUUUGUGGCAUAUAGAGGCUAAAAGAUACUACGAUAUUGAAUCCAUAUAUGGUCAAAAUAUUUAUCAGUUUAAUCAUUAAAAUGCAUAAACUAAGUUACACAUCCAUGUUAGAUCAAUUCCCGAAGUUUUGCUCCACAAUAAAAACUGCUUAGCUAUGAGUUCGCCUUUAAAACGUAAAAAAAAAAAAGGAGUGAAAAAAUAUGGCGUGAAAGAACUGGCGGAAGAAGAAACGGGAGAAGAAGCAUGAUUGAAUGGGGAAGGAAGGAGAAGAUUCCUCGUAUGCCACAAUCACCUUUUAAUUCCAGCUUUUGUUUUAAUUAUUGAUUUAUUUAAUGAUUUUUAAUUUAAAUUAAAUUAUGAUUAAUUUAAAUGAUGUGGCUGUCCACAUCAAAUACCACAUAAGGUGGUAUAUAAAUGUGAUAUAAAAACAUGGUAAGAGUAUCAUUACUGAAAAAAGAAAGAAAAUAAUCAAUAAAUUCACUUCAGGUGUAAAUACGUAGAUUUGCAUCGCUUUAUUUAUUUAUUUAUUUGUAUAUUCCAAGUUGAUUAAGGUAAUUAAGUAAUCUUUCUUGACUUAACUUUAAAUAAUUAAAUAAACUUGGCUUGACUUUGCACUGCCGUCGCUUAUUGACUAAUGACUCAGUACUAAGUCUUUUUUUUUUUUUUUUUUGGUCAGGUACUAAGUGAGAUCGAUAUUUUCUUGUGCUCGUCCUGGAAAUAAACCGGACAAAGCCUAAUGGUGGACUAAAACAAUAACAGACAAAUCAGCCAAGAUGAGGAACACAAAAUAUGCCACCAUGCGUUUUAAUCCCUUCCAUUUAUAUUAAUUCCUACGGAAGGCCAACCAUGCUCAAGGCAACGCGUAUCGACUAAUGACUAAUACUAAGUCAGGUGGAUGUUUUCUUGUGCAUUUCCUGGAAAUGAAUGGGACAAAGCCUAGUUGUGGACUAAAACAAUAACAGACAAUUAAGAGUAGGGACACAUUUUCCCCCAAUCCAAAAUAUUCCACCACGCGUUUUAAUCCCUUCCACGUAUAUAUUCCUACAGAAGGCCAACCUUCUUAAUUAGCAGUUCCUUAAUUUCUUGGAUCCAUCACCUGCUUGGAUUUUCUCUGCUACUGCUAGGAUCUGCUCGACCCUUUUUAGUUAAUACUACAUGGCGUUACAUAGGAGGAUGCAUAUUUUGCAUCUCUCUUUAGUAAUGGUGGUAGUUGUUACAAUUUUACUAGGAACUCCAACUCCAACAACAGCUCAAUCUCUCCUUCCGCCUCAGCUGGCACUGCCUGACUGCCCUGACCAUUGUGGCAAUCUCACAAUUCCAUACCCAUUUGGCAUAGGCUCUGAUUGCUACCUCGACGACCGGUUUGAAAUCACUUGUAACAUUUCCACUCAACCGCCAACAGCAUUUUUGAUGACGGGCAAUGUCGAAAUUACCAACAUAUCUCUUUAUGACGGUGAGGUCCAAAUACUACAGUUCGCAACCAGUGAUUGUUAUG